rnacentral:lncRNA from 1 species
CAGUUUAUUUUUCUUUUCUGUUUCACCGUUUAGUCCUUGGAAUUAGCAUAUUAGCCCUAAACUUAGAAUAGCCACAACUUUUUAACCGUAGGUCCAAACUCGAUGAAACCAGCGGCAAAUUCUUAGCCAUGUUCAGAUCUAUCCAGUAGCAUCAUGUUUGUAAGCUUUUUCCAAAUUCAAAUUUGAACUUUAUUCAGAUUUGAAUUCAAACUUCAACUGGCCAUAUCUCUUAAACCGUAGCUCCGAUUGAUGUGAUUCUUUUUGCACCGUGUCACCGUAGCCAAACCCUAUCACCUAGACCUUUCUCAAAAUAUUUUCACACACCUAGGAUAUGUCCAUGAUAGUUUCACUUAUAUGCCUUGUAUGCACUAUAGUUCAGAUCACAAUUUUGAACCGUAUGUCACAUGUUGUUUUGCACUUAGUAUUUUUUUUACAGUUUAGUGUGUGGUGUUGGAUUUUCAUUUGGUUUUCCUGAGUCUUUUCAUGUUGCAUGUUAUUUGGUUCCCUGAAAUGAUUGCUUAUGUGAAUGCAAUGUUUGAUUUAUAGAUUUUCAUCGGAGAGUGACGAAUAGUUCUAUUAAGUAAAUUUCAGAGAGCGAUAUAGUCUUCAUCAACUAUUAUCAGGCAAGUUCACAUUUGACCAUUCUUCCAAUUACCCAUGUUUAUAUUAUGCACUUAGUCCUUUUGUGGUAGGAUUGCAUGGUAGGAUUUAUUGUUGCCAGAUGACUAUGCCGUUACCUAGUAGUUCAUUUGAGGUAGGUCUGAUCUAUACAUCCUUGUCACCACCGUGUAAGUUUAUUUUUGCCUCGCUAAAUUUAGACGUGGUUUGGGAAGCGAACAUGGUGAGACAUGAGUGACAAAGUAGUAAUCAGGACCAAGACUUGUAAAUGAACUACCUGGGCGGUAUUUGGUCUGAAUGGUGGCGAAGUACAGUGGGAGCAUGCAUGGUUAAUCCAUGGUGGUGCACCACUAGUGGUCGGCCGCCCAGGCUCAAAGAGAUCAAUCGUAUUCUCAUGUCUAGAAGCUUACGUGUGCAGCCACAAGCCAAUAUGGGCUCUGGCUUAGUUGAGUAGUUAGUCUGACCCCUUUCAGGAUGGGCUAGCAGAUGUAGAAUGAGUAGGUGUAUCGGCCUAUCCAUGGGUUAAGGGGAAAUACUUGCGAAAGACUAUGUCUCGGUCAUCCUGUUCUCAAACACCAGGCAGUGCGAGAAUUUCAAGGGAGGCGAUCGAGUCUUGUGGGGGAGAAGUGCGCAAACCUCUGCAGAGUGUUAAAACCUAAUCGAUUAGCCGUGUCCCCGGUUACGGACAACUUGAGCAUCUAGUAGUGAAAAUGCCGGGAGAUCUCCUCACCUUUAAUUAAACAGUUGGGUUUUAAAUGAAACUUGGGAUUGGAUUGAGUUGGGUUUGCCAACUCAUCCUAUGCUAUAUUGUAGUGAUAGAAUAAUAUCUUUUCUAAUAGGAAAAAACUAGCUUUAUGCAAAAACUAAACUUAGAGCUUUCCACCAGCCAAAUUGCAUGUACAAAUAGGUUCAUUAUUCUUAUGAUGUGACUUGCCAGUACAUUCAAUGUACUGACCUACAGGGCUGCAAUGUCUUAUGUUGCAGGAGUUUCUACGAUGAGUAAGAGUUACGUUGUAGGGUUACAGUCUACACUCAACUUGUCGGGGAUAUACCCCGCGGUAUGACCCGGCCGGAAGUAUGACCCGGCCGGACUUGGCGCUUCACCGUGACCCACCGGAGGACUGGCGGCUCACAGCCAGACGACUCACGAGCCUGAGGACUCACGGAUGACCCCGACGGCGGGUUAGAUAGAAGACUAGGCCCAAGGCCCAGAAGGCCGGCUCACGUUUAUGAUGGGCCGGCUUAAAAGGAAAGGGAUGACGAAUAUUUCCUUUACAAGGAAGCAAGACCCGGACUUGUAAUUAACUUAUAAGAGAAGAUAGACUAGUCCUAAUCCUACUAGGAUUCCACAUGUAACCCGCCCCUCUAAAUUAUAUAAGGAGGGGCAGGGCACCUCAAAGAGGGACAAGCAACAAGAAACAAUCUCUAAGGCUAGACACAAAGAGCCGGCUUACCGGCGACUCUCUCAUGAGCAUAAUGAGACCUAGCCUCAAACAGCAUGUAGGGCUAUUACUGGAUGAUGUUUCCCGGGGCCUGAAGCUGUCUAAACCCUUGUCUUGUGCGUUGAUCCGCCCUGCGUCUCUCAUCCCAAUCAACCCCUCUCAAGCUACCACAUAGAUGCGCUGGCCUCGCGACUAAGUCCUGACACUAAGGACAUCUGCCGUGACAAUUCCACGACAUUUGGCGCCCACCGUGGGGCCUGCGCACGGUGGUGUUGAGUUCUUGAAGGGAUUUCCCUAAAAGGAUUGAGAAGUUUGCAAUUUUCCGGAUGAAAAAGAAGUCGGCGCAGAAGACAACAUCAUCAACAAACAGUCAAAGCGACGUAUACAUGAUUUAAAGAUCAAAGGAGAAAAUUAGGGUCGUGUUUAUGCGCCAACGCACACCACCAGAUGAUCCGUCGGGGCUGGAUUAAUUUCCGUUGUCGUUGAGGGUCGAAAUCUUGCAUCUAAAAUCAAUCGAUACGACGUGCAACUUGCGGAGACCGAAAGACUUUGAUGGUUCUGUCGUCCAGUGUCCAAACCCAACUCGAAGCAUCACUAUUGCAUGGCGUGGCACCCUAGGCUUGCUGCCAACUUUUUAAAAGGACCAAGUGCUACUAGUACAAGUUGGAUCUGAGAAACAAUCAUCCGGGCGCUCGCAUCAAGUCCUAAGGCGUAUCAGUGUACGCUGUUGCUGCUACUUCCACGAGCAUGGAGCAAAGAUCGAAGGAAAGGUACUACUUCAAGUAGUAGUGCACGUGAAGCAGAUACGUCAAAUCAGUCAUUGUCACUACUUUUUCUAGCCUGAAGCCCGAGUCAAGUCCAAAGAGCCCCCAAGCGCUUCCACUAGUACUGUAAAAAAGGAUAGUACUGUUUGAGUACUAGUAGAUCGGGAAAAGAACAAGGAAAUUAUUGGAUUGGCUGGCUACAAUUGCGUGAAUGCGUAAAAAAAAUCCACAAUUCGGAGAAGGACUUGGCGAUCGCCCGCGAGCGUCUCUGUUGCCACUGGCCGCAGACUGGACCGACACAUUGCCUUGUCAGCCAUUACCCACACGGCCUCCCACGCAGGCGUCUCCCCCGCCCUGCCCCUCCUUAGUCUGCGCGAAUCAGGUGUUAUUUCUCCUAUGCAUUUUUCUUAAUAUACUUUAAUUGCUAUGAGCACAACUACUCUGCUCUACGGUAUUUUCAUAUGCAGGAGAAUCAUUCAUACAAAGUGGUGUUAUGCCACGGAGGCACGUUCGGCGGUACCACGCGGCUUCACGGACUGGCGUGUCAUGAUCCGGAUUACAUCAAUGCGCCGGCCGACUCGCCCGUCCGCACCGCCUUACAACGCCGCGGACGACUUGCCCGUCCGCCCUCGCGGCCGGUUCACGCGUCCGCGCCGGCUUACAACGCGGAGGACAACUUGCUCGUCCGCACCGGCUCACAAACACCAUGGCCGGUUUAUCUGUCUGUUCCCACGGCCGAUUCACCCGUGAAGGAUUCCAGUUUCACUUAGUGAUCAUCAACUUCAUGGCGGAUUAUUUUCGGCCUAAACACAUCAGGUGAUAUCCAUCUAAAAUAUAUUUUUAGUACAUAUUAUUUUUGUCAAAUAAUAGUUUAUGUUUGCCUUGGUCUGCAAUAUUGCUUAUACAGGGCAAUUAUUUAUGACAAAAAGUGAUAUUAUACUGUGGAGAUGGAGGCACGCCAACAUCUUUUGGCAUAGGUGGUCUUCGUUAUUCAACGGACCCUCGCACCGGCUUACAACGUCGUGGCCGUCUCUCGCGACCGCGCCGGCUUACCACGCCGUGGCCGUCUCUCGCGACCACGCCAGCUUACAACAAGGAGGACAACUCACCCGUCCGCACCGGUUUACAACGUCACGGCCGACUCAUCUGUCUGUGCCGCCUCUGAUGUUAUGAUCGUCUUUACCGUCCGUCUCUCGCGGCCUGAUCUACAUCAACACACCAGGCCGCACUUGGCUGGAUGAGUUGUUUAUUGAUUAUGAGCAAGUCACUACUUGGGAAGCCCGGUUUUCUUCCAACAAACUGGAGGCAAAUUAUCAUAUAUUAUCAGCCGUCGUCUGCACUGGAUGGUUCAAUGGGCAGGUGCACGAGUCGCCGUCACUACAGUUUGGUUAAACUUCAAACAGCCAGUUGGAAGGAACCAUUGGCCGAGUUGCUAACACGGCUCAUACGGGAUCAUUUAUAACCCGCCGCAGUCACCUUAACCUUCUGUGGAUACACAUCGUGUUAUCAACACCAAUGAUAUACAAGUUAUGCCGGUUUAUAUCACGGUUAAAUAUGGAGAAUCUCAAGCCAACUCCUCGAGUCAUCUUGAGACUCGGGGGCUACAGUGACAUGACUCGGGAACCCCGGGUCGUUGGAGGGAAUGAUAACCCGGUUCCGGAGGCUGCUACAUAUUGAUGAAACUUUAAAGGCCGUCAGAAAAUUGCCGGUUCAAAUAAAGAUUCCGGUUUAAAAUCCGGUUCAAGAGAUAUCUUUCUCCCGCAAAGUUUUGAAGCUCUCAAAUCCGGUUCAAUCGUCCGGCUCAAGGUAAAUUUGUAUCUUAUAAAGCUUUGAAGCUCUUAAUAUCCGGUUUACAAAUUUCCGGUUCAAAAAGAGGUUAUCUCUCGCAAAGUUCGAGUUCUCAGUAAAAAUUAAAGGGACCAAAGAGAGUCUGUUACAAAGCACAACUCAAAUAUAGGUACCCUGCUUUAAUGACCAUUGGGAGCUGAUCGUAUUUAAAUUUAGCUUAACCCUUUUGGUGUGACCCUGGUCGCAUUCGAAUCAGAGUCGUUAAAUAUUCUCAUGAUCACUAGGGGGCUUCCUGUUCAAACAUAGGUCGUAUUCGAACCAAAGAGAACAUAGCUGUCGAUACCCUUUUGAUCGGCACACUGCCGAGCUCAUUGGGGAGUUUCUUGGUCAUAUUUGAACCAUAGCUCAACCCCCUUUGGGAACCGACGUGGAUCGUAUUCGAAUCAGCGUCGUUAAACAACUCUCAAGGUCAUUUGGGGGCUUCCUGUUCAAACAUAGGUCGUAUUCGAACCAAAGAGAACAUAUCUGUCGGUACCCUCUUGAUCGGCAACGCCAAAGCCACUGGGGGCUAUAUGAUCGUAUUUGAAUCUUAGCUUAACCCCUUUGGGAUGGUUUUCUGAUCGUAUUCGAAUCAGAAGCCUCAAAAAUUUUCGAAGUCUCUUUUUGCAAACAAUUUUUGGAUUUUAUUUGAAGCUCUUUUUUCAUAUCUGAAGUGUAUAUGAGUGGUUGCUAUUUAACCCGGCUUGAUUUUCGAUGAUAAAUCGCCAGCUUAUGACAAUCAUCAUCUAUGUGGAAGCAUUGGCUUCUAAGGAUCGGGUUCUCACCCUUACUGCACAGGUCAUGUAAACCGGCAGUACAAAUUCAAUAUCACAGUGGUUAUAUGUAAGAUAUUAUGACCCGCCCUGCGGUAAACCGCCAAGGGAUCUUGUGAUCUACUUGUGUGCAGGAUAAGACUACAUUUGGGUGGUUACCCGCCCUGGCUUUUAACGUUAAGUCGCCAGGGCAUAUGUUGUUGGAACUCUGUGCAGGAUUUACAGGGCUAUGACUUACAUAAAUGAUUAAGUUCAAGCCCAUCAUCAAAGAUUGAAAUUGGUGUCUCAAAAGGGUUAUCAAUUCUUGGUUUUCUCAAAGGCUAUAAGCCGCCGGGUUGUAAAAAUUCCGGCUUACAAUGGAGGCAUAAUAAAUCGCCAUCGGCCAAGAGCCGCCGGGUAUUUAAACUCCGGAUUUACUUGUCAACAGAUAAGGUAUUUGGAAUCUUUAAAUAGCUAAACUUGGCUGGAUUUUCAUUAUGAUUUGAAUGAUUGAGGUUUUCAAACCGGGUUAGUCAAAUCUUUAAUAGCCAACAUGGCUGGAUUUUUAUUAUGGUUAUCAGAAACUAAUAUUAUGAUUGAGGUUUUCAAAGUCGCUUCAGCGCAAUGGCUAUUAUUUUAUCAAUGGAUAUGAUUUAUUCUACAAUGGAAGGAAUAGUCCCGAGUCGCUGCAGGCUUACAACCCGGCACUUGGGGGCUACAUUAUUCAAAUUGAGAUUACAUCAAAUGUGCAAGUCCCAUGUCACUGCCAGCAUGCACCAUGGCACUUGGGGCUAAUGCAAGAUUACUUUUUAUUGGCCUUGUUGAAGACCCGACUCAUCAUAUUAUGAUAAACCGGCCCUUGGGGGCUACCAAUUGCUCCUGUCAAUAAUUCAAGGUACAUAAGUCUUAAUCCAUUAUAUUGAAGGAUCCACUGUUUAGUUGGUAAAGCACAAAGCUCUUAACCUUGUGGACGUGGGUUCAAGCCCCAUGGUGAGGGUUACAUCAUAUGAUUAUUUUCACUGAAAAGUCCCAGCUCAGUAUUAUCUUACUAAGCCGGCCCUUGGGGGCUACACAUUGCUGUUCAAAUUUACAUGGUCAUAUUUAUAAAGUCCCUGCUCAUUAUUGCAUAAUGACCCGGCCCUUGGGGGCUACACUGGUUGAAGUUUUUGAGAAUCGGGCAAUUACAAGUCCCAGGUUGCUGCAAGCAUGACAACCCGGCACUUGGGGGCUACAUAAUAUGGAAUAUUCAGUUUUUACUAGUGAUUGGGAUGAACAACAUGGAUUUCUUCAAAGUGGCAGUAUUCAUAUUGAAGCAAGUCUUAAGCCGUCGCUUUGUUCUGCUCAAGACUUGGGGGCUACAGGUAUUAUAUUAUUAUCAAAGAAAUAUCUCCAAUUUCUCUGUUUUGAGCAAAACCAGAUUGAUCCGGUGUCACCAAUCAUUAUGACCCUGUGUCUGUAAACCGGCGUCAUUAACAAUCAUAAACCGGCGUCGGCGACAAUUAUGACUUGGCAUCAUCUAUUUAUAACCCGGCAAUUUUGGUACUCAUAAACCGGCAAGUUUUAUAUUUUUAAGCCGGCUGAAUAUAAGUUGAAUAUUUGAAGACCAAUAUUUUUGUCAAGUCAGAGCAUUGAAAGCCGACUCAAGUGGAUUAUCUCUUACAAUAUUUCUCAACAAGAGACCAAUGUCAGCAAAUUGACUCUGAAGCUGGCCUGUUGACCCGGAUUUUUCAAAGGAAGUAUCUGGAUUUUUUGCAUUGGCAAAAUUUGAACAUAUCUGCUAAAGAGAUUUGCUAUGAGAUUAUGGAUACAUAUCAAGAAGGAAGAUGACAAGGACUUAAGGAUGAUCAUGUGCCGGCUUACAAAGAAUAUUUAACCCGGAACACAACCUGUCAAAUUUGUUCUUGUGUUUAUAUUGCAGAUUAGUUUAACAUGGAUAAAUCCAAAUUAAACUGGGGGCUAAUGUCGGGGAUAUACCCCGCGGUAUGACCCGGCCGGAAGUAUGACCCGGCCGGACUUGGCGCUUCACCGUGACCCACCGGAGGACUGGCGACUCACGGGUCUGGCGGCUCACAGCCAGACGACUCACGAGCCUGAGGACUCACGGAUGACCCCGACGGUGGGUUAGAUAGAAGACUAGGCCCAAGGCCCAGAAGGCCGGCUCACGUUUAUGAUGGGCCGGCUUAAAAGGAAAGGGAUGACGAAUAUUUCCUUUACAAGGAAGCAAGACCCGGACUUGUAAUUAACUUAUAAGAGAAGAUAGACUAGUCCUAAUCCUACUAGGACUCCACAUGUAACCCGCCCCUCUAACUUAUAUAAGGAGGGGCAGGGCACCUCAAAGAGGGACAAGCAACAAGAAACAAUCUCUAAGGCUAGACACAAAGAGCCGGCUUACCGGCGACUCUCUCAUGAGCAUAAUGAGACCUAGCCUCAAACAGCAUGUAGGGCUAUUACCGGAUGAUGUUUCCCGGGGGCUGAAGCUGUCUAAACCCUUGUCUUGUGCGUUGAUCCGCCCUGCGUCUCUCAUCCCAAUCAACCCCUCUCAAGCUACCACAUAGAUGCGCUGGCCUCGCGACUAAGUCCUGACACUAAGGACAUCUGUCGUGACAAUUCCACGACACAACUUGCCGUUGGCGUUGAUGGGACUCCACACCCGUUUGUUUGUUUCCGCUGAGACUUAUGAGGUAUAUAUCAGUUUUACGUUAUUUAUACAUGUGAUUGCACUUUGAUAUAUACAUCAACGUACUGUGUGUGCCAGCAUACUGAUCCAGGGAUGGCACAAAUACAUAGAGGCUUGACCGUUUGAGGUCGGGUCGUUACAGAGAUGGUAUCAGAGCACAUGUUGACUGUAGGACGUGGCCCUAGAAACUGGAAUGCCCUUAGGAAAUGAUUUCUCUAAAACUUUAUUUUCAAAAGGAUCUUUUACCUCUCUUGUUUUCCGAGCUUUAUCAAAUCUUUCCUUUUACCUCAAAUAGUUAGGCAAUACCCUUUUUCCCUUUGACCACACAGAGGAUCAACUGAUGAGACCCCUCCGAGAAGGACAAGGUAUCAGACUUCACCAUACACUAGAAAAACUAAUGCUACGACAGUCGAAGACUCGAAGAAUAUGAAGACACGGAAGAAUUCCAAGAUUUAUAUGACCUUUAGAAGACCAAACCCUUGUUGUAUACUCACGUUAGAUGCGAUGAUUUGAGAGCUGUCAUAUUUUGUGUGUGUUUUCCGACAGCAACAAAUAAAACCAUUUACAAAACUGUAUUGUUUGUAUUGUUUGUAUAUCUCUCUAUCCCUCUUAUCUCAUCCCAAAACCCUUGGACCCAAUAGAUGAUGAAUGAAGAUGGACUUGUAUUCUCUGGACCGAUCACUCAGUUGGAGGCGGAGCUAUGGAUUCAAAACAUGGAGAAUCACUUCAGGGGAAAAUUGGUUGCAAGGAAGUAUGAGGUUCAAUACGCUCUUCAGUACUUUACAAAAAGUGCUACAACCUGGUGGAAAAUGCAUCAAGCCAUACAAGGAUGUAAUGGAGCAAAAAAUUGGGAGGAAUUGAAGAAGACUCUGUUGGGAUCCCGUCUUAUCCGGAAUUACGAUGGUAACCCGAUGAAGAAACCUUGUGCCUGCAAGAUAUGUGGAGAAAUAGGGCAUACCCAUAACACAAUCAUGGAUGCCCUCAUUGUGAAGGACAUCACCGAGCUGAAGAAUGCCCAACUAGGCAGGUUACUUGUUUCUUGUGUGAAGGAACUACGCACUACCCUGCCCAAUGUCAUAUUUAUCCCAAGGUACAAGAAAUUAGCAAGCAGCAGAAGGGAGCAAUGAAAGAAACCCUCAUGGAAAGUUUAAAAGAACCUGUGAUGAAGGAAGAUGUUGAAGACCCUAAUGGAGAAGGCCUAAACAGAUUUUACUCCAAUGCCUAUUAUUCAUGUGGAGAAGAAGGACAUUUUUCACUGUAUUGCAUGAAGCAAAGCCAAGAGUAUCUGGGAGACUUCCCGACAGAAGAAGUGGAGUUUGAUCCACAAGAGUUAGAAGAAUUGAUCGGAAAGAAGAAGUCCAGGAAGAGAACGAGCAUGUGUCCCCAGAACAACCCAAUAUCUGCAGGAAAGGAUCUAAGUCAUAUCACUUGUUACAGGUGCAAGGAUUUAGGUCAUUACGCUAGCAAAUGCCCAACAAGGAAGCCAAGGACCCAAGGAGCCAAGAUAACUACCAGGAAGCCCCUGGAUUUGUCUGACGUCAUUUGUUUAUGCUGCAAAGGAGUAGGACAUUUUGCCAGAGAAUGUUCAGACCUGAGGAAAGCUUGAGCAGAGUAGUUGAUAUCUUGAUAUUGGAAUAAAGCAUGUAACAAAUGUGGAACACACUUUUAUUUUUAUUGGGGAUGUUGAGUUGAGUUAUGAGAUGGAAAUUUGUAAUAGCUCGUGAAGCAAUAAAAGUUGAUAUGAUUGGGAUCUCAUGUGAAAUGUUAUGAGUUGUUUGUUGAUUGUGAGUACCUCUCUCGCUAUCUUGCCCAGACUUAAAUCUUGAGCCCAUGGACAAGCUGACCCAAAUCUUUCCCAGAAAAAUAACCACAUUUCACCCAAGAAAAUUCAUACAGUAUCCUGAGUACCCCUUCUAUCUUAUACCUGCAGAUGACAACCCUUUACGAGUCUUUUCUCAAGGGCCCGAAAACGAUCAUGACCCUGACUAGUGAUCAGGAUUACCCCAAAAUCCUGAAGGACAUGAUGAAGCAUAUUCAUCUUGAAGGAGAUGCAGUCUACAAGGGUUAUCCUUUCAUGGAGAAGGGAGUUGAACUUUGGUAUGUGGAGGUACACCUACACCAUGUGAAGGGAGUUUUCCCAAAUACUAUGGGUCAAUACUUUUUCUUCUCUCGAGUACCACAAGCAACAUUCUUCGACUCUGUUCGUGAAGCUGCUAUGGAAGCCAUACGUCAGAUUGGAGAAAUACUUGAAGCAAGACUUUGUUACGCUCAGGAAUACCUGACAGAGGUACGUGCAGAGAUGAUGGAGAUGAAGCUGAUGGCCACCACGAUGAAGCAAAAUAUUGAUGAUUUGAAGGAUCACAUCGCACAAUUACAGUGGCACUAAAGCAUCUUCAAGUAGGGCAAAUGAAUAAAGAUGGAAGUAAUGCUUGACCAUACCAAACUAUGUGGAUGGCAACAUUUGUAAUAAAGUACUUUUGGAAUUUGAGUUUUGAGUAGUGGUUAAGGAUAUAACAAAGGAUUUGAUAUGAAGAGAAUAUGAAUUAUGAAUGAACCAGUACAUUUUGUUUUAAUGGUAAUACCCUGUGUGAACACUAGACCGAUGGAAAAGAAAAUGUAUUCCAUAGAGUGGAGUUUGGACAAAUGAGUUGGAGUUUGGUUUUAGUUAUGAUGGUUACCCCAAGAGUAUGAAGGAAUGAAGUACAACUGGAUUUAAAGGGGAUGUAAUGUUGGAAUAUGAGGCAAUAGUAACUCCAAGGAUGAGUUAAAUAUAUACAAGUGUUGAAGUGGGCCAUAACCCACAGGACCGAGAUUUAAAAAGAAGCAAGCACAGCCUUGUUGCAGAAAGAAUUCUGGAAGAAGCUGUGAUUUCAUCAGCAGACAUUCCAUAGGAGGUUACGUAAACCCAAGAGUUGUGAAGAAACGAUAGAGGUUUUGUUUGGCUUGCAGAACCAAUGGAUUACCCGAACCCAGUUCGUGGAGAAGAGAAGUUAUGCAAUGCUUGUGAGGAUGCCCAAGUGUUAGAAUACAUGAUUCACUAUCUGCGUAUGUGGUAAUGAUUCAAGUACGGGAUGGAUUGGCCCCCAUACCAGAGACUUCUAUCAUGAACUAUCAUAUGUUGAUGGAAAAUCAGAGAGCUUAAAAACCCUAGGAGAGUGUCGACACGACAAACCAAAAGCCUUAGAAUGGUAGGGUGAUGGAAAACCUGUACAGGCACCCAUUGCCAAUCGUAGGUUAUACGGUGAGAUUCAACCCAGACCCAUUUCCUGCAGGAGGAACCACUAAUUGUUGACCACCAUGAGAUUUUCGAUAGUUGUUUAGCAUUGGCGCCAGACUUAUCAAGACUCAGAGGGAUCUUAUUUUGAUGCAAGGACUCCAGAGUUUGAGGAAAAGGUCAUGCCCUUACCAGAAGAGCACAAGUGAGGUUGUUAUCCUGGAGAAUGUGAGAAGACUGACACUGUCAAUGCAAAGGAUGGAGUACAUGAGUUUUGUUCGGACCGUAACCAUGCUUCUAAGGGUGGUAGCACUCCAUACCUUGUGUUGAUGAAUGGAUUUUCAAGGAGACCCCCCAAACCUAACCUUCUUUCCAGCCUCUCCGAAUCUCGAGGACGAGAUUCAUUUUAAGGGUGGUAGUUUGUAACAUCCCAAAAUUCUAAAUUUUGGAAUGUUAUAUUAAAUAAACGAUUAGGAAUGUUUGUUUGAUUGUUGUGUGAUCGAUUGUGUGAAAUUGAGUGGAAUCUGAAACUUUUUGAAAGUUGAAUGAGAGGGAAUAAAAGGACUUUCCCAAAACUUCCAUCUUGCAUUUUGAUCACCAUGAAUUCAAAUUCAUUCAUCACAAAACCCUAGAGUGAAGAUAAUAUGACUUCUUCCAUUUAAAGAAAUGAAAAUGGGUUUGAAAAUGAUUUGAAUUCCAUUUGAGAAUAUUUCAAAUCAGAAACUUUAUGCCACUCAAGGAUUUUCAUGAGAGAAGAUAAUAGGACUUCUUCAAAAUAUAUGAAAUAGAGUGGAGAGUGAUGAGGAGAACCUCUGAAUUUCAUUUGGUUCACUUUUGGAAAGUUUUUUCCAUUUUGAGUUUCAAAAUCAUUUCCGUGUAUUCAAAUAAAAUAAAGAGAGAAGGAAAUAUGACUCCUUCAAAUAUCAGAAAGAAAAUAUGGAAAGGGAUUAUGAAACCAAUAGAUGUUAUUCUAAAAUUUGAAAUCAUUUGCAUCUCAUUACAUUUUGGAGUUUUCUUUCAAAUAUUCAAAUAAUUAUCCACUCGAGAAAAAGAAAUGAGAGGGGAUAACAUGACUUCCUCAAACCAUACAAGAGUUGGAAAUUUCAUUUUGAAUAUUAGUUGAAGUUUUUAUAGUUUAUUUGGUAUUUACUCAAUUUGCAAAAAGUGCAUUAAAUACAUUAGGAAAAUAUUUUCAAAUUUUUCUAUGCUUGAUUAAAUGUUCACUGUGUUACAGAUAUUCCGAGAUAAUUUUAGAAAUUAUCAUGGUAUUUUUAUGAUUUUGUUUGGUUUCGUUUUGGCCUCGAAAAGUUUUCUGUAAAGAAAACCGCGCGCACCCCCACCUGGACCGAAACCACUUCGGCUCAGGGACACAACUUCGGCCCAGCCAGCCGCUAGCCAACUUCGGCCCAAGGCGAGCGCUCGAAGGCCACCGCACGCUCGCCCGCCUUCGCCUUCCCCUCGCUCACACGCAGCGCCCGCUGCCAGAUGGGGCCCGCUCCCCAUGUCAGCCCCAACCUCCCGCUCCUCCCGCUGGAUGAGCACGCACACGCGCUCCGCCCGAACCCGCCAGCCGAAGCUCUCGGGAUAAGGCUUAUCCCUCGCUCCCGAGCCCUCUCUCCGCGCCUAUAAGAAGCCCUCGACCCCUCUCUCCAUUCUGCCACUUCGUUUCGCCUCACACCACCCAUAGCCGACGCCCUCCUGCUUUGGAUCUCGCCGGAGCCGGAGCUUCCUUGCCGGAGUAAAACGCCGCCAGUAAACCACCCCGACCCUGUUCUUCUUCACCAAAAUAUUGCCCGGGUCGAUGAGCAUUCGUUUGACAUUUUUUUGCCCUUAGGGACCACCGGAGACGACGCCCCCGACGUGUCGCGUCCUCACCGGAGCUCCGAACGCUGCCGCCUCCCUCCACUCGUCGCCGGCCACCCCGCCGCCCGCCAACCCCACCAGCGGAUCACGCACGCCAUGCCGGACCCUGCCGCCUCCUUCCCCGUCGUCGAGGAGCGCCGGAGUCGCCGCCCCAUCACCGGCCAACGCCAGCGCUGCCGCCCCUGUACGUCGUCGUCGCCUCUGUAAGACGACCGCUCGCUCCCUCCGUUCUUUUUUUAGAUUGGUUAACCGCGGGUUUUGUUAAAAAUCGAUCAUUUUUUUUGCUUUAGUUAGCCGCCGCCGCCGUUUUGCUUAGAUAGCAGUCGUUCGCCAUAUAGGCUUCUGCAGCGAACACCUUUUGGCCAUUAGGAAUAUGCCACGUGGCCAAGGCCCUGUUCGCAGUUUAUUUUUCUAUUCUGUUUCACCGUUUAGUCCUGGGAAUUAGCAUAUUAGCCCUAAACUUAGAAUAGCCACAACCUUUUUACCGUAGGUCCAAACUCGAUGAAACCUGCGGCAAAUUCUUCGUCAUGUUCGGAUCUAUCCAGUAGCAUCAUGUUUGUAAACUUUUUCCAAAUUCAAAUUUGAACUUUAUUUAGAUUUAAUUCAAACUUCAACUGGCCAUAUCUCUUAAACCGUAGCUCCGAUUGAUGUGAUUCUUUUUGCACCGUGUCACUGUAGCCAAACCCUAUCACCUAGACCUUUCUCAAAAUAUUUUCACAAACCUAGGAUCUGUCCAUGAUAGUUUCACUUAUAUGCCUUGUAUGCACUAUAGUUCACAUCACAAUUUUGAACCGUAUGUCACAUGUUGUUUUGCACUUAGUAUUUUUUUUAUAGUUAAGUGUGUGGUGUUGGAUUUUCAUUUGGUUUUCUGAAAUGAUUGCUUAUGUGAAUGCAGUGUUUGACUUUAUAGAUUUUCAUCGGAGAGUGACGAAUAGUUCUAUUAAGUAAAUUUCUGAGAGCGAUAUAGUCUUCAUCUACUAUUAUCAGGCAAGUUCAGAUUUGACCAUUCUUCCAAUUAUGUUUGUAUUAUGCACUUAGUCCUUUUGUGGUAGGAUUGCAUGGUAGGAUUUAUUGUUGCCACAUGACUAUGUCUUUACCUAGUAGUUCAUUUGAGGUAGGUCUGAUCUGUACAUCCUUGUCACCACCAUGUAAGUUUAUUUUUGCCUCGCUAAAUGUAGACGUGGUUUGGGAAGCGAACAUGGUGAGACAUGAGUGACAAAGUAGUAAUCAGGACCAAGACUUGUAAAUGAACUACCUGGGCGGUAUUUGGUUUGAAUGGUGGCGAAGUAAAAUGGGAGCAUGCAUGGUUAAUCCAUGGUGGUGCACCACUAGUGGUCGGCCGCCCAGGCUCAAAGAGAUCAAUCGUAUUCUCAUGUCUAGAAGCUUACGUGUGCAGCCACCAGCCAAUAUGGGCUCUGGCUUAGUUGAGUAGUUAGUGUGACCCCUUCCGGGAUGGGCUAGCAGAUGUAGAAUGAGUAGGUGUACCGGCCUAUCCGUGGGUUAAGGGGAAAUACUUGCGAAAGACUAUGUCUCGGUCAUCCUGUUCUCAAACACCAGGCAGUGCGAGAAUUUCAAGGGAGGCGAUCGAGUCUUGUGGGGAAAAGUGCGCAAACCUCUGCAGAGUGUUAAAACCUAAUCGAUUAGCCGUGUCCCCGGUUACGGACAACUUGAGCAUCUAGUAGUGAAAAUGCCGGGAGAUCACCUCACCUUUAAUUAAACAGUUGGGUUUUAAAUGAAACUUGGGAUUGGAUUGAGAUGGGUUUUCCAACUCAUCCUAUGCUAUAUUGUAGUGAUAGAAUAAUAUCUUUUCUAAUAGGAAAAAACUAUAUUUAUGCAAAAACUAAACUUAGAGCUUUCCACCAGCCAAAUUACAUGUACAAAUAGGUUCAUUAUUCUUAUGAUGUGGCUUGCCAGUACAUUCAAUGUACUGACCUACAGGGCUGCAACGUCUUAUGUUGCAGGAGUUUCUACGAUGAGUAAGAGUUACGUUGUAGGGUUACGGUCUACACUCAACUUGCCGUUGGCGUUAAUGGGACUCCACACCCAUUCGUUUGUUUCCGCUGAGACUUAUGAGGUAUAUAUCAGUUUUAUGUUAUUUAUACAUGUGAUUGAACUUUGAUAUAUACAUCAGCGUACUGUGUGUGCCAGCAUACUGAUCCAGGGAUGGCACAAAUACACAGAGGCUUGACCGUUUGAGGUCGGGUCGUUACAGCUUCUCUUAUAUCUUUUAAAGCACGACGGUAGUUUUAUUUUGAAGAAAUAGAUGAACUCUCAUGCUUCGCUUAUAUUAUUUAGAGAGUCUUUUAGAACAGCAUGGUAAUUUGCUUUGGUUAUGAAACUAGUCCUAAUAUGAUAGGCAUCCAAGAUGGGUAUAAUAAAAACUUUCAUAUUAAGCGCAUUGAAUACUAUGAGAAGUUUGAUACUUGAUGAUUGUUUUGGGAUAUGAAGAUGGUAAUAUUAAAGUUGUGCUAGUUAAGUAAUUGUGAAUUUGAGAAAUACUUGUGUUGAAGUUUGCGAGUCCCGUAGAAUGCACGUAUGGUAACCGUUGUGUGACAAAUUUGAAACAUGAGGUGUUCUUUGAUUGUCAUCCUUAUGAGUGGCGGUCGGGGCCGAGCGAUGGUCUUUUCCUACCAAACUAUCCCCCUAGGAGCAUGCGCGUAGUGCUUGGUUUUUAAUGACUUGUAGAUUUUUGCAAUAAGUAUGUGAGUUCUUUAUGACUAAUGUUGAGUCCAUGGAUUAUACGCACUCUCUCCUUUCCAUCAUUGCUAGCCUCUUCGGUACCGUGCAUUGCCCUUUCUCACCUUGAUAGUUGGUGCAAACUUCGCCGGUGCAUCCAAACGCCGUGAUAUGAUACGCUCUAUCACACAUAAACCUCCUUAUAUCUUCCUCAAAACAGCCACCAUACCUACCUAUUAUGGCAUUUCCAUAGCCAUUCCGAGAUAUAUUGGCUUUUAGGGAGUUCAACCAGCUUUCUGACAUUCUGAAUGGGUUUUCACUGGAUUCUGAUUGUAAUGACUCUUGGGCUUGGAGACAUGGGAAGAAAGCUGGGUAUACAGCAAAGAAGUACUAUGACUUUUUUCAGCAGCCAAUGACUACCAACCCUAUUCUGAGUUGGGUCUGGAAAUAUUGUUGUACAAUGUCAAUCAAAAAGUUUGCCUGGCUUGUCAUUAUGGACAGAGUAAACACCAAGGAUAUGAUUCAGCGCAGGCAUUGGAGAAUUAAUGAUGGCCCUGAAUGUGUACUUUGCCCCACGGGAGUGCUUGAGGACACGAACCAUUUAUUUUUCCAAUGCAACUUUAGCAUGAGAGUCUGGACCUAUCUUCAAAUAUCCUGGUCGAAUAGUCAGGACAUGGUGCACAUUGUGCUUCAUGCCAGGAAGGAUUUUAAUAAACCAUUCUUCUCAGAAGUGGUCUUUCUUACAUGCUGGAAUAUUUGGAAAGUCAGGAAUGACAGAGCCUUCAGGCAUAUCAGACCUACCUUCAGACAGUGGAGGAAUGGAUUUAUCCAUGACAUCCCUCUCCUAGUACACAGGGUCAAGACCAGACACAGAGAAGCUUUGAUCAAAUGGAUUGAUUUCUUGCCUCCUUGAGAUGUUUCUCAAAUGUACUCUUUUCUUUCUUCUUGUUAGCUUCUAGUGCUUAGUUUAGCCUAGAUUGUAUAGUCUUUCUUUGCUGCUAUUUUCUGUUCUAUUCCUUUCCUUGAGGAACCUUUUUGUAUAUUCUUUUAUUAUUUUCAAUAAAAUGUUGUGGGGUGUAAGCCCUGCAGUCUUCCAGGUCAAAAAAAAACUUUCCACUGUUCCGUUUAUUAUGACACGUUUCAUCAUUGUCAUAUUGCCUUGCAUGAUCAUGUAGUUGACAUCGUAUUUGUGGCAAGGCCACCAUGCAUAAUUUUUCAUACAUGUCACUCUUGAUUCAUUGCCCAUCCCGGUACACCGUCGGAGGCACUCAUAUAGAGUCAUAUUUUGUUCUAGUAUCGAGUUGUAAUCAUUGAGUUGUAAAUAAAUAGAAGCGUGAUGAUCAUCAUUAAUAUAGCAUUGUCCCAAAAAAAGAGAAAGGACAAAAAAGGGCCAAAUAAAAAAAGGGGGAAAAAGAAAGGCCAAAUAAAAAAAGGAAGGCCCAAAAAAAGAAAAGAAAAAAGAAAAGAAGGGACAAUGCUACUAUCCUUUUCCACACUUGUGCUUCAAAGUAGCACCAUGAUCUUUAUGAUAGAGAGUCUCUUAUUUUGUCAUGUUCAUAUACUAGUGGGAAUUUUUCAUUAUAGAACUUGGCUUAUAUAUUCCAACAAUGGGCUUCCUCAAAUGCCCUAGGUCAUCGUGAGCAAGCAAGUUGGAUGCACACCCACUUAGUUUCUUUUGUUGGGCUUUCAUACAUUUAUAGCUCUAAUGCAUCCGUUGCAUGGCAAUCCCUACUCCUUGCAUUGACAUCAAUUGAUGGGCAUCUCCCUAGCCCGCUGAUUAGCCGCGUCAAUGUGAAAGUUGGAUGCACACCCACUUAGUUUCUCCUUUUUUGUCUUCUCCACACAACCCCCAUUAUAUUCUAUUCCACCCAAAGUGCUAUGUCCAUUGCUCACGCUCAUGUAUUGCGUGAAAGUUGAAAAAAGUUUGUUACUAAAUUAUGAAACAAUUUCUUGGCUUGUCAUCGGGGUUGUGCAUGAUGAGAGCAUUUUGUGUGACGAAAAUGAAGCAUAGCCAAACUAUAUGGUUUUGUAGGGAUGAGCUUUCUUUGGCCAUGUUAUUUUGAGAAGACAUAAUUGCUUAGUUAGUAUGCUUGAAGUAUUAUUAUUUUUAUGUCAAUAUUAAACUUUUGUCUUGAAUCUCAUGGAUCUGAAUAUUCAUGCCACAAUAAAGAAGAUUACAUUGAUAAAUAUGUUAGGUAGCAUUCCACAUCAAAUAUUCUGUUUUUAUAAUUUACCUACUCGAGGACGAGCAGGAAUUAAGCUUGGGGAUGCUUGAUACGUCUCCAACGUAUCUAUAAUUUUUUAUUGUUCCAUGCUAUUAUAUUAUCCAUCUAGGAUGUUUUAUACGCAUUUACAUGCUAUUUUAUAUGAUUUUUGGGACUAACCUAUUAACCCAGAGCCCAGUGCCAGUUUCUGUUUUUCCUUGUUUUUGAGUAUCGCAGAAAAGGAAAACCAAACGGAGUCCAAUUGACCUGAAAUUUCACGGAGAUUGUUUCUGGACCAGAAGAAGCCCAUAGAGCAUCGGAGAUGGGCCAGAAGAGUCCCGAGGCACCCAUGAAGGUGGGGGCGCGCCCUACCCCCUGGGCGCGCCCCCUACCUCGUGGCUGCCUCAGAGACCCCCCUGACUUGUUCCCGACGCCAAAACCUCUUAUAUAUACAGAAACCCCUAGAACAUAACCUAGAUCGGGAGUUCCGCGGCCGCAAGCCUCUGUAGCCACCAAAAACCAAUCAGGACCCUGUUCCGGCACCCUGCCGGAGGGGGGAUCCCUCAUCGGUGGCAUCUUUGUCAUCCGGUGAUCUCCAUGAUGAGGAGGGAGUAGUUCACCCUCGGGGCUAAGGGUAUGUACCGGUAGCUAUGUGUUUGAUCUCUUUCUCUCGUGUUCUUUAUUUGGCACGAUCUUGAUGUACCGCGUGCUUUUCUAUUGUAGUUGGAUCUUAUGAUGUUUCUCCCCCUCUACUCUCUUGUAAUGGAUUGAGUUUUCCCUUCGAAGUUAUCUUAUCGGAUUGAGUCUUUAAGGAUUUGAGAACACUUGAUGUAUGUUUUGGUGAUCAACUUGUGGGUUCCGUAACAUUGUGAACUUAUGCAUAGUGGUUGGCACGCGUUUUCGUCUUGACUCUCCGGUAGAAACUUUGGGGCACUCUUUGAAGUUCUAUGUGUUGGUUGAAUAGAUGAAUCUGAGAUUGUGUGAUGCAUAUCAUAUAAUCAUACCCACGGAUACUUGAGGUGACAUUGGAGUAUCUAGGUGACAUUAGGGUUUUGGUUGAUUUAUGUCUUAAGGUGUUAUUCUAGUACGAACUCUAUGAUAGAUCGAACGGAAAGAAUAGCUUCGUGUUAUUUUACUACGGACUCUUGAAUAGAUCGAUCAGGAAGGAUAACUUUGAGGUGGUUUUGUACCCUACAAUAAUCUCUUCGUUUGUUCUCCGCUAUUAGUGACUUUGGAGUGACUCUUUGUUGCUUGUUGAGGGAUAGUUAUAUGAUCCAAUUAUGUUAUUAUUGUUGAGAGAACUUGCACUAGUGAAAGUAUGAACCCUAGGCCUUGUUUCCUAGCAUUGCAAUACCGUUUGUGCUCACUUUUAUCAUUAGUUACCUUGAUGUUGUAUCACCAUCCAUAUUGCACUUGUAUCACCAUCUCUUCGCUGAACUAGUGCACCUAUACAAUUUACCAUUGUAUUGGGUGUGUUGGGGACACAAGAGACUCUUUGUUAUUCGGUUGCAGGGUUGCUUGAGAGAGACCAUCUUCAUCCUACGCCUCCCACGGAUUGAUAAACCUUAGGUCAUCCACUUGAGGGAAAUUUGCUACUGUCCUACAAACCUCUGCACUUGGAGGCCCAACAACAUCUACAAGAAGAAGGUUGUGUAGUAGACAUCAGCUAUCAAUUAAGCGAAAAAUACCGCAAGCUGAAAAACAUCAUCACAAAUAAGAGAAAAAUACCGGAAGCUGCAAUCUCCACUAUGCUUGCUGAUUAUACUUUUGAAGGAUGGAGUACCUAAAAAACUUGGAGAUCCGGGAAUACCAACUAUACCUUGCUCUAUCAAAAAGAAUUAUGUGAAAACUGCUUUGUGUGAUUUAGGAGCUUGUGUUAGUGUUAUGCCUUUCUCUUUAUAUAAAAGACUUGACUUGAAUAAACUCACACAUACUAAAAUAUCUUUGCAAAUGGCUGAUAAAUCAACUGCCAUACCUAUCGGUAACUGUGAGGAUGUGCCCAUUUUUGUUGCUAAUGUUACUAUUUUGACUGACUUUGUUAUACUUGAGAUGCCCGAGGACGACAACAUGUCGAUUAUCCUUGGUAGACCCUUCUUGAAUACUGCAGGGGCUGUUAUUGAUUGCAAUAAAAGCAAGGUCACUUUUCAUAUCAAUGGUAAUGAGCAUAUAGUGCACUUUCCGAAGAAACAAUUCCAAGUGAAUGGUAUUAAUGUUAUUGAAAAAUCUCCAACAAUCACUAUUGGAAGUUUUCAAAUACCUCUACCUACUGUCAAAAAGAAAUAUGAAAUACUUAUUGUUGGCAAAAUGCAUAUCCCCAUUGAGGUAACCUAGUGAUUUAUGAAAGUUCUUCGGUUUCAUGCUAAUCGAAAGUGGUUGUUAAUAAGACCUGAUCAACCUUAUUAAUGGAUCAUUUUUGAACGGUAUGAAGUUGAUGAAUUUAGUAAGCACCACCUUCCGUCCCUAUCUUUUAUUUUUCUGUUUUUAUUAGUUAAAUAAAAUAAAUUGCCAUGUAUUGUCUGUUUUCUGAUUUUCCCGUGCAAUAAAAAUUAACCCAAAAAUAAAAGUUCUCAGAAUGCCCUGAAAAUUUAAUACGAUUUUUUCUGAAUAUUUCUGAAUUUCUGGUGCAAAUAAUAUCAGAGGGAGGUGCACCAGGUGGGCACAAACCACCUGGGCGUGCCAGGACCCCCAGGCGCGCCCUGGUGGGUUGUGGUCCCCACGUGGGCCCCUCACUUAUCCCUUCCGCCCACUUCAUCACUUAUCUCCAGAAAAAAAUCUCCCUUGCUCUCUCCCGUGUUCUUGCCCUCAAACCCGCGGAUUUCGAUCUCUUUGCUCGAAGCUCCAUUUCUGAAACUGUUUUGGGGGAUUGUUGCUUGGUAUGUGACUCUACCGUUUGUCCAAUUAGUUUUUGUUUUAGUGGUUUAUAUGUUGAAUAAUUAGUUACUCUUAGUGCUGCUGUAGAUGUGCUUGCAUGUUGAAUUCUUAGAGUUAUAAGUAGUUUGAAUGCUUGCUAUGGCCUCUAUGCAUCCCUAUGAGUAGUUGGUAUCAAUUUUGUGAAGUUUUAUUGAGAAAUUUUGUGGGCUAAUGAAUUUCAGAAUUUUGUUCAUAGGAAAACCAUGAAUAUCUUUUGGAAGUUUGGCUCCAAGAAGAACUCCAAGGGUGUUAUUGGGGAGUCAUCUGAUAGUGAUCUCCGUCCUCGGGGGUUGGCGGAAGUACGACCGUGUGAAUGGCCACACACACCCCAUUCCUGGAAGAGGCGGGAAUCCUUCAAGAGUUCACACAAUAUGUUGCAAAUACCGGCCUCACCGACUUCAUCGCAGAUGAGUGUGACCAGCACCAAAUCCUCACAAAUAUAUUUGUUCAAAGUUUUACUUUUUUUACUAGGAAUAUUCCUCCUGAAGUGAGCUUUGAUUUAUAUGCUGGAAACCAUCAGAUACCACUUACUGAAUUUUGUGUCAUAUGCUUGAUCCCUUCUGAUGGGAGCUUAGCCGAUCCUAGGCCGGCUGGGUUUGAGGCCUUUUAUUGCACUUUGACAAUGGGAGAUGAGAGAGGAGUGUUAGCUACCACUGCCGCUGGCUUGCAUUUUCCCGCUGUUCAUUACUUUGCACUUUUCAUUACAAAAUGCUUGCUUGCUAGGGAGAAGGUGGGUGCACUUAGUUCACCAAACCUUGCUGUUUUACACCAUGCAUUAGAGGGCGACAACACUUAUAGCUUGGGAGCUAUUGUGGCUCGUCGCCUCCAUCUUAAUAAAUCUCUGGGUAAAAUACAUGGUGGGAUUUAUGCUACUCGUUUGGUGGCUCACUUCGAGGUUGAGAUACGCCCUCAUGAUUAUCCUCUGACCAAAGUUUACCUACGUCGUGCAACCAUGGAUCACCAUCAUUUCACUGACGUCGAAUCUCCUCACAUCCCUAUUCCGUAUAACCUAGUUUUUAGCAUGAGGACUCAUGAUGCUAUUCCAUUGCCUGCUCCUGCUUUGUUUGAUUCUGUUGCCAGAGGCGGAUAUAGGAUUAUGCUUGCGGACAUCAUCGCCUACCGGAACGCUCAUGCUGCUGCGGAGGCAGCACAGGAGGAGCCUCACCAGUGGGAUGAGUGGAUGCCCGCUCCUCAGCACCCCUACUACCCUCCAGGCUACUGAUCGACUACAAAGUUAGGCCAAAAGCCUAAGCUUGGGGGAGUACGUGUUUCCACCGACUUUACAUUCAUGAUUCACUUAUUUCAUUUGUCGGUGUCCACACUUUUUCAUUGUAUCAUCCAUGCUUAGAUUUAUUUUUCUUGCUUUCCUCUUGUGUGAUUGAAAAACUUAAGAAAAAACAAAAAAAAUAGUUGUAGUUAGUUUACUUUCUAUGCAUGCUUAGUAUAUUAAAAAGAAAACCCAAAAAGUUUUCCUUGUUCUUCUUUUGCUUGCUGGGAGCUUUCCCGUGUAAAUAGUUUUUCUCGUUUUGCUUUUCCUUUAUAUUUACUUGUUCAAGAACAAAAAACUCCACAAAUAUUUCAGUUUGUUUCUCUGAAUUUCUUUUCUUUUUAUUCGAGUUGUACCGAGGAGAAGACCACGAUGAAAAUGUUGAGUGGAUCUCAUAUGAAUAAUUACUGAACUAAUAAAGAGCACAUUUUACCUUGUCUUCUCCUGUUGAAUAAAAUGUUUGUAGAUUCCAGCUUAGUCCACGGCACUCUUGCACUAUUAUUAUUUUCAUAUCGUUCGGUCGUGCAAGUGAAAGGCAAUAAUGACAACAUUCGAUGAACUUGCCGUGGCAGAGAGAAACUGGUAUGAACUCGACUUGUUCUAUUUGUGUAAAUAUGUUUAACCUAGUACCCAUGAUUCAGCCCAUUAUGAUUAAACAUGUUUGCAAUGACAAUUAGAGAUUAUAGUUUCUCAUGCCAUGCAUAAGUAGCUGGGAGUGGAUAAUGAUUUAUCUUGGAUUACAACAUUGCGUUAAAAUGAUUGUGAUGUAGUAUGAUGAUAUGGUAUCCUCCUCUGAAUGUUCGAGUGGCUUGACAUGGCACAUGUUCAUGCAUGUAGUUGAAUCAAAACCAACACAGCCUCUAUGAUAUUUAUGUUCAUGGUGUUCAUAUCCUACUCAUGCUAGUGUCAAAUGUUACUUAUGCAUAAUGCAUGGUUAUGAUCGUUGUUGCUUUCUAGCUGGCCGCUUCUCAAUCUAAUUGCUAGCCUUCGCCUGUACUAAGUGGGAAUUCUGCUUGUACAUCAAAAACCUUGAACCCAAAGUUAUUCCAGAUGAGUCCACCAUACCUACCUAUAUGCGGUAUGUGGCACCCAAGUUUUUAUUUGGAUUUUUUUGAAAAGAUUUUAUUUGACUUGAGGGGAGUGAUUUAAAAUUUUUUCUUCAAGAGAACUCUCCCUCUCAUAUAUUUUCUUUAUGGCAAAAAUUUUAUUUGGAUUCACCCAAGAUCUGCCUUUGACCUUGGGAGUUCUUGCUCUUCAUUUGGACAAAAGACAAAAUGUUUUUUUUCAUUUGGGAAAAGAACUUUUGAAAACCUUUUUCUGAAUUUGCACUAUGGCUUUUGGAAGGUACUUUGCCACUUUCAACUAUUCCUUCUUGCCAUGGCAUAAGUGCAAAUCCUCUCUCCUAAACACUCCCUCACCUCUGGAUCAUGAUUUACAUCAAAUCCAGCAAGUUGAACCUCCCCAUGUAUUUAUUUUCCAUUCAAAUUCUAUUCAAAUAUUUUCUGCCUUCUAUUCUACCUCUUGGAGAUUUACAAAGGAACUCCAUUUUCUGUUUGGACUUUUACCACCAAACUUCUUUCCCCUCCUAGUCCUUUGAACCCUCAACCUAGAACCAUGAAGAUCCACUGGUCUCCAGUUCAAAAUUUUCAAACUACAUCAGCUGCAAGUUUGGACCAGAUUUGGCAAAUUUGGUGAAAUUCAUUCAAAACCUUCUCCAAAAAUUCCAAAUAAAUUCAUGCAGCCCCUGGGUGCUUUGAGUGGUCAUCUCACCAAGUUACAGCUCCAGCAAAAUUUACCUCUUUACCAAAACCUACUGUCGAACACCUGCAAUGCAUGGUCACUGUCAAGUCUCAGUAACUUCAGAGUUUCAGUUCAGUGCUUGCUGUCGUUUUCUUCAGAAACGGGCAUCGAUCUCGCCAGUACCGCCGCGUCGCCUUGCUCCUCGUCCUCGCCCACUUGUUCCUGCACCGCACGAGCGCCUGGCACCUUGCGGGCGUCGGUGACGGGCAGCAGGAGGUGCGCCGCCCCGUGACCGACGCCGGCGGCGGCUUUGCGGACGCCAGCGGGAGACACGGCGCCGACGACUCCACCCAGCGCCGCCCAAACCACCGGAGCCCGCCGCGUGGCCGUCCACUCCCCCGAAUGCGCUGCCGCUCUCGUCGUGAACCGCAGGGCGCGGAGCGCGCACUCUGCCGCCGUUGAGCCCGUGCGGUCACCUCACCGUGGGCAGACGCAAUUACGCCAGGGCCAGCUCCGUUUAGCUGCAAAACAAGUCCCGUAACAUCCACCGAUGCUGCCCGACCGCUCAAACCCUCUGCCAACCCACUGCUCCGCCGUAAUCGCUCGCCGGAGAUUCUCCGUUCACGGCCACCCCGUCGAUCUGCCUAUAAAUAGAGGUCCCGAGCUUCAACUCGAGCACCCACCAGCCCUGCACUUCCUCUAGAGCACGCCUAGCCACUGGAAGAGCCCCGAGGAGGUCUCCUUCCUCGACUCCGGCCGCCGCGACCCGCCACGGGAUCCAGCCCGAUUCGCCCCCGUGUGUGCUCCGCAGCCUCCAUUCUCUUGCCAGUAACUUCACCAUGCAUCUCUCGUUCUGACCCGCACUUCAAUUUGAAGCUUGCAGCCCUCCACCGGAGUUCCCCAUCCUCACCCGAGCCGCCGUCCGCCGGAGAUAGUGUCGCCGUCGACGUGGUGCUCCCCGUUGGACGAGUCCACCACCCACCGACGCGGAAGAAGACACCAAAGCUCUUGGUACCCUCCGUUUCUCCUAACUCGCCGUGGUUCGACGCCGGCGUCCACCGCCGUCUUCGGGCGCCGGCGAGCCUUUUCAAACCUGACAUGCGGGCCCCGCGUGUCAGCCUCUGUUCUCUUUCCCCGAACCGUUUUCUGUUGACGCCUUCGGGCAAAAUACGUCUUCUCUCUUGCGCUUGCGCAUUUCCAAACGAACCGUUUUCUGUUUUCUCAGUUAAAACCCUGGAACUUUUCUGUUUCAUUACAGAAAGGUCCCUGGACAGAAACCUUUAUAACUUUUUAAUAAAAAGGUAUUUUUGAGUGAUUCUUUUUCUGACAUUCUUAAAAUUUUGUCUAGUUUUUUAUGGGAUUUAUUUGGGAAAUAUUUGGCAAAGUUUCUGUGCAUGUGUUGGUUUUCACGUUAGUACCCGUUUCGUGAUUGCCGUAGGUUCCGGGAGAGGUGACGGAGCCGCGAACUUCGCCGAGCUAGAUUCCGACUUCUCCGAACCAGGCAAGCAUGUUUGGACAUUUGAUAUGGCAGAAGUUUUGCAUGUUCAUGUGAAAGUUUGUGUGUGGCAUAUGAGUGUCGGUAAAUAUCUCGUUGCUCGUAAGGCAAUGACCCGGUUGUUCCGAAGUUGCGAUGACCUCUGAUGAGAGGUGGCCUAAUCAUGUAGUGACAUGAAGGGCAGCAAGGUGGUACUGUUGUAGCAUGCCAGCCUUGUGUCAUCCGACUUUUCCGACGUUAACAUGGUUGGAGCCGUGUUAUCGUCCCUUCCCCUUUCCGUGCUACCACAUGUCUCAUUGCCAGGAUACGGUUUAGUAAGUUGGUAACCUCUUUCCGUGUACACACCAAACAGAGAGGCCGGGAUGAUGGUACCUUGGCCCAGGAUUAAAGCCAGUCAUUCGGUCAGGGGGCAUGGGUGUUUCCGGUUGGGACCGAGAGGGGGGGCACCCCCUUAUAGCGCGCGUAUAGAAAUUUGAUCCCAUGCUACGCGAGGUUGUAGCCUCCCCGACUCAAGGUUUUUCUUGAAUGUUGCCGAGGGUGAUCCCUGGCUUCGGAUGGUUGAAUUGGGUGUGUACUGGUUAGACGUGUUCCUUCCAGAACACCGUAGACGGAACUAGUCCCCGUGACUACUGAAAUCCGUUGGCUGUGGUUAAGUACAAACUCUGCAGAGUCAAUUCUUUCCAAAUCAUCGUAUCCAUGAUCAGUAGUGUAUACAUUAUAUCCAUAUCUAUCCAUGUGAAAACUUGUCCCCGGUGAACAAGCUCAAGUGGUAAAAUCUCAGGUUUUAUUGUUAUUCCAGUGGAUGGACAAGCUUUAUUUUGUGUCUCAUGCUUGUGAUAAUUUAUGUCUCCGAGCUGUUGUAAUAAUGAAAUGUGAUAUAAGCCCUUUAGGUGACGUCGCGCAGACGUCCGACUGUGGCGUGUACUCGUUUCUCACUUUCGAUAUAAGCCCUUUAUGUGAUGUCGCUCAGACGUCCGACUGCGGCAUGCACUGCCUUUACUUUCUGUUAUAAGCCCUUUAUGUGGUGUCGCCCCGACGCCCGACUGUGGCAUUAUCAUUCCGCAUUUUCCGCUCGAGGAGUCUUUCAGACACUCGUUUGGCACCUGCAUUAUUAUUCCGCAUUUUCCGCUCGAGGAGUCUUUCAGACACUCGUUUGGCACCUGUAUUAUUAUUCCGCAUUUUCCUCUCGAGGAGUCUUUCAGACACUCGUUUGGCACCCGUAUUACUAUUCAGCAGUUUCCGCUCGAGGCGUCAUUCAGACCCUCGCUUGGCACCCAGUAUUUAUUAUCUCUAUGUCUGAUCGCACUGGUUAACUUAUUCAUGUGUUUCAUGUUUGCAUUUGUUAUACCUUAUGUCCGAACUGUCUUGCGAGUACUUUCAUAGUACUCACCUGGCUUGUUGAUUUGGCCAGAUGUUGACGAAGGCGAUCUCUUGGAUGAAGAGUUUGAUAGCGCGUCCGAUGCCUAGAGGAGUCCCAGUCAGUCCUGCACGAUCCCGGUUUUUGGUCACUUGUAUUGUAUACGCUUCCGCCACCCGCAAUAAUUCUUCUCGAGUCUCACUCCGACGCUCGAAGAGCUGUAGUCUUCUGGAGACAUAUCACUCGCCUCGCGGUGAUAUCUCCACCAUCGUCAUUAUCAUGAGUUAGUAGGCUGCCACCCUAUCCGCCGUAUUGUUUUAUCAGCGUGCAUGUAAUAAAUUGUUGGGCAGUCUCUGCUCAACUUUGUAUUAUAUUUAGUAUCAGAGCCAGGCUGACUGUAGGAAGCCACUAGGUGCGACCAUAAGAGGGAUUGUCUAUCAGUGAGAAGGAAUUCUUCCUCGCUGAUCCAUAAUAGGGAUUGGUUUCUCAAUAAUUAUUUUAUUGAAAAACCGGUCGUGACAAGCUUGGUAUCAGAGCCAGGCUGACUGUAGGAAGCCACUAGGUGCGACCGCUAAUCAGUGAUUAGCGUCUUUUGUGCUUCUUCAGCAUUUUGCAAUUGUAGCUAUUUUCCGUUGGUCAUCAUAAAAUUUAUGACUUGACUACUCAGAAUUUUUGCCUACUUUUGUAGAUGGCUGGCAACAGCUGUGAGAAUCGAGUGUUCACCAACGUGCCCGAGGGGUUUGUCAAGCUCCUCGUCUCCAUCACCAAGCUCGCGAUCGGGCCAGCAGCUCGCCCGGAGUUCACCCUCUAUCAGCACAAGCUCAGUGACGACUUGUCUAUGCACCAGGCUGUGGUGCAGUUCAAGGGAGGACGUUCAGCUGCACGCCACUUCCGUUUUGUGGGAAGGGCCAUGCCUACGGAGAGGCAUGCCAUGCAGAUUGCUGCCCGGGAGGCGAUAGCUCGCCUUCGGGACAUCCUUCCUACGAUGAAGACUCGUCGCUACCGCUACCUCCCAUGCCAUGUGCCUUACACCAGCCACUAUGCGUUCUCCUGCCAUCGGGGAGAGCGAGAUGAAGCCAUCGAGAUGGUUGUGGAGUAUCUCAAGGCUCUGGAGGAGUCUUUCGACAACCUCGUAGAUGAUCUUGUGGCUGCCCGCAUGGACUUAGUCCGGGGCGGUCCUGCCAGCAGGAAGGAGCUUCUCCACACGGCGCCGCCUCUGACAUUCGUCUCGUCUUCAGCCUCAUAUGCACCGGCCGUUUUGGCCACUGCUCGCCGUCUGCCUACCACUGAGGAGUUCGACCGAGUCAUCGCUCCUACUCCAGUCAGAGCCGCACCGCCUGCCGCACGCGCUCUACCGCCAGUCGCCCCCGCACCAUCACCGCAGCGCAGCGUCGCACGCCAGGAGCCAGCUAGAGAGGAGGAGGUUGAUUCUCCUGGACCGCUGAGCCUUGCCCUCGGCAAGGGGAAGGAGAUCUUCACCAUCUCCGACUGAGAGCACCGAGUAGCCGCGUGUUAUGCCUGCUUGUUUGAUGUGUUGUUUUUAUCUGUACGCUAGUUUGUGUUGGUGUGUUUGCUGCCUUCCGGAGGAGUACGCUAGUUUUUAAUAACAUGUCAGGAUUGUGUACGCACAACCUGAGUACUGUAUCUUGUGUUUGCUUUCGCAUGUAAGAUUUGUGUUAAGCACUUCUUCUCCGUGAAAAUCAUUUGUGUUUCUCGAAAACCUUGAAGCCUUUUUGAUUAUUGCCUUUGCAAGGGUUUUCCUGCGCUACACGGUUUUUCUCAUGGGUUUUGCAAAUGAUACCCCAGACUGGAAAAAUGUCUCGCCCUUGGACUCGCUCUAUGCCCAAUCAGCCAGAAGAGGUUUACGGAACACAGACCAGCAACAAUUUCACUCAGGGUCAGUCCAGCCAACAGGACAGCGAAGCGGCACUAUCUCAAGUAUGCCGUCUCUUCGAGCAAAGCCAGCAACAGCACCAGGAGAUGAUGAACCAUGUCAUCAAUAUGGGAAACCACCGUGAACCCUAUCAACCACAUUCCAAGUUAUCUGAGUUACAGAAGACUCGCCCCUCAACUUUUGCUCACACCGACAGGCCACUGGAAGCCGAUGAUUGGCUUCGCAAGAUUGAAAGGAAACUGAUUAUCUCUCAAUGCUCAGAUCAUGAGAAGGUGCUUUAUGCACCACACUACCUUACUGGAGCAGCCGCAGCAUGGUGGGAAAACUUCCUACACAUGCACCCCAGGGAACACAACAUCACCUGGGAAGAAUUCAAGGAAGGCUUCCGUGGGGCACACAUUCCCAGGAGCAUCCUAAAGAUCAAGAAGAGAGAGUUUGAUGACCUGAAGCAAAGAGGCAUGACCGUCACAGAAUACAACGGCCAGUUUACCCAACUGUCUCGUUAUGCCUACGACGAGCACAUGACAGAAAACAAGAAGAUGGAAAAAUUCCUGGACGGCCUGGCACCAGCAUUAAGAUGCCAACUGAUUGUACACACCUUUCCGGAUUUUAAGACGCUGGUGGACAAGGCCAUCACCCUGGAGAAUGAGCGCCGUAGUCUGGAAGAUAUCCGCAAGUGGAAGAGGGACAAGACGACUCUUGCCCGCAGCAACCGAGGCAAGACUGAGGUCCCAAGGACAGACACGAGGAGAUCCACGACUACUGAGCCAAGACCCGUCGGGCAAUUUCAUGCCAGAGACAAGGAGUUCACAUACCGUCCAGGGGUCACCUGCUAUGCUUGUGGUCAACAAGGGCAUUAUGCUAAACAGUGCCCGAAGCCAAGUGACUCGGCACCCAAGCCGAACAAUGGUGGAAACAAUCUAGCCCCCAAGCGCAACAACUUCAAUCCCAGCAACAACCACAGGAAGGGUCACUUGAACCAUGUGACUAGGGAAGAAGCGCAGAAUGCCCCAAACAUCGUGCUCGGUACGUUCCCUGUCAACACAGUACCUGCCACGGUUUUGUUUGAUUCUGGAGCUUCCCAUUCGUUCGUUUCGAAGAGUUUUAUUUCGCAACAUGGUUUUCCGAUACUCCCCUUGGAAAAAUCUAUGAUCAUCAAGUCCCCCGGAAAUAAGCAAAUUGCUCAGGGUUACUGCCAAGGAGUGGUCAUUGAGUUCGAAGGACUACCAUUCCACGCGAAUCUCAUCGUGUUGGAAAGUAAAGGACUGGAUGUCAUUUUAGGAAUGGACUGGUUGACCACCAACAAAGGAUUCAUCGACUGUUUCAAUCGGACAGUGAUUCUCACUCACCAUCACGGCAAGACUAUAAGAGUUUCCGCUCAAGAAAGGCCACGAUCACAGAAACCAAAACUGAACAAGAUGGACAUCGCAGAAUUAAGAAAAGUGCCAGUGGUAUGCGAGUUCCCUGAUGUGUUCCCGGAAGAACUACCAGGCAUGCCACCAGACCGAGAGAUCGAAUUCAGCAUCGAACUAGCACCUGGCACCGCUCCCAUUUAUAAGAAGCCAUAUAGAAUGGCACCCUCAGAAUUGGUGGAGUUAAAGAAGCAGAUAAGAGAAUUAUUGGACAAAGGAUUUAUUCGAGCCAGCUCCUCACCUUGGGGUUCACCUGUGUUGUUCGCCAAAAAAAAGGAUGGGACUUUAAGGCUGUGCAUAGACUAUCGAGCCCUCAAUAUGGUCACCAUCAAAAACAAAUAUCCGAUGCCACGAAUAAAUGAUUUGUUUGACCAGCUCGCACAGGCCAAGGUAUUCUCGAAAAUUGAUUUGCGAUCGGGAUAUCACCAAUUGAAGGUACGGACGGAAGAUAUUCCCAAGACAGCUUUCACUUCCAGAUAUGGGUUAUACGAGUUUACGGUGAUGCCGUUUGGACUAACAAACGCCCCCGCAUAUUUCGUCCACCUCAUGAACAAAGUAUUCAUGAAAUUCAUGGACAAAUUUGUGGUGGUAUUCAUUGACGACAUUCUGGUUUACUCAAGGACACCAGAAGAACAUGCUGAGCACCUCAGAAUUGUUUUGGGAGAAUUGAGGAAACAUCAGUUGUACGCCAAAUUUAGCAAAUGCGAAUUUUGGCUAAGAAAAGUUGGUUUCUUGGGCCAUAUAUUGAACCAAGAAGGCGUGGCCGUAGACCCAGAAAAGGUCAAGGCCAUACUGGACUGGAAGCCACCCGCGAAUGUUACAGAUGUACGGAGUUUCCUAGGAAUGGCCGGAUAUUACAGGAGAUUUAUUGAAGGAUUCUCCACUGUGGCAAAACCUAUAACACAGUUACUCAAGAAGGACAAGAAAUUCGUAUGGACGGAAGCAUGUGAGCAGAGCUUCCAAGAACUCAAGAAGAAGCUAACAACCGCACCAGUCUUAACCGUACCAGACAUACACAAGAGCUUUGAGGUGUAUUGUGACGCGUCCCGAAAAGGUCUCGGAUGUGUGGUAAUGCAGGAUGGCAAGGUUGUCGCAUAUGCCUCUAGACAGCUGCGAAAACAUGAGGAAAAUUACCCAACACAUGACUUGGAACUAGCAGCAGUUAUACAUGCACUCAAGGAGUGGAGGCACUUUCUGUUGGGAAAUCGCUGUGAAAUAUAUAGAGACCAUAAGAGCCUCAAAUAUAUUUUCACACAGCCAGAGCUGAAUUUACGCCAACGACGCUGGUUGGAACUGGUCAAGGACUAUGACGUCGGUAUUCACUACCACCCAGGGAAGGCAAAUGUAGUGGCCGAUGCCCUUAGUCGAAACCCCAGCCCGGACAGUGACGGUCAGCAAAGUUUGAGGCCUGAGUUUCAGCGAGAGUUCACUCGGCUCAACAUGAUGUUAGUCUCUGAGGGCACCAUAUCGAACCUGGAGAUACAACCCACCCUAGUGGAACAAAUCAAGAAGGCCCAACAGGGACACCCCAGUAUCGAAGGCAUAAAGAAGAAAAUGAACCGUAGUAAGACUUCAGAAUUCGUCACGGACAGUGAAGGAACAUUAUGGUACCGGGACAGGCUUUGCGUACCUAACAUUGAGGAACUCAAGCAACAGGUCUUGACGGAAAGCCACACCGCCCCAUACUCGAUCCAUCCUGGAGGAACCAAAAUGUACAAGGACAUCCAGGAAAGAUUUUGGUGGCACGGUAUGAAAAGAGAUAUAGCCACAUUCAUUGCUUGUUGCGAUUCAUGUCAGCGCAUCAUGGCCGAGCACCAAAAGCCAGCAGGGCUACUCCAGCCUAACAGGAUACCGGAGUGGAAAUGGGAUGAAAUCGGAAUGGACUUCAUUGUCGGAUUACCCCGAUCGCAACGCGGAAAUGACGCCAUAUGGGUCAUCACAGACCGACUAACCAAGGUUGCACACUUCAUUCCCGUGAAGACUACCUACUCCACACAAAGACUGGCAAAACUCUAUCUCUCCCGUAUAGUUUGCUUGCACGGAGUCCCAAAGACUAUAAUAUCUGACCGAGGCACCCAAUUCGUCUCCAAAUUUUGGGAACACCUACAACAAGCUCUGGGCACACAACUGGCUUUCAGUACAGCAUACCACCCUCAGACAGAUGGACAAACAGAAGGUGUAAAACAAAUCCUAGAGGAUAUGCUAAGAGCCUGUGUACUCACCUAUGGAUCCAGUUGGGAAGAGAGUUUGCCCUAUGCCGAAUUUGCGUACAACAACAGUUACCAAGCCAGCUUGCAAAUGGCACCCUUUGAAGCAUUGUACGGACGGAGGUGUCGUACCCCAUUGAAUUGGUCAGAAACAGGUGACAGCCGUAUCUUCGGCCCAGAUAUGCUUAAGGAGGCCGAGGAAAAAGUUAAACAAAUCAGGGACAGACUCAAGACAGCACAGAGCCGACAAAAGAGCUACUAUGAUCAGAAGCAUCGUGAGGUCAGCUUUGAACCUGGUGAUUCCGUAUACCUCCGAGUAUCUCCUAUGAGGGGUCUGCAACGGUUCAAAAUAAAGGGGAAACUAGCCCCAAGAUUUAUUGGACCAUUUUGUGUGAAGGCACGAAGAGGCACGGUAGCCUACCAGCUAGACCUACCCAAGGAGCUGUCAGACGUCCAUGACGNNNNNNNNNNNNNNNNNNNNNNNNNNNNNNNNNNNNNNNNNNNNNNNNNNNNNNNNNNNNNNNNNNNNNNNNNNNNNNNNNNNNNNNNNNNNNNNNNNNNNNNNNNNNNNNNNNNNNNNNNNNNNNNNNNNNNNNNNNNNNNNNNNNNNNNNNNNNNNNNNNNNNNNNNNNNNNNNNNNNNNNNNNNNNNNNNNNNNNNNNNNNNNNNNNNNNNNNNNNNNNNNNNNNNNNNNNNNNNNNNNNNNNNNNNNNNNNNNNNNNNNNNNNNNNNNNNNNNNNNNNNNNNNNNNNNNNNNNNNNNNNNNNNNNNNNNNNNNNNNNNNNNNNNNNNNNNNNNNNNNNNNNNNNNNNNNNNNNNNNNNNNNNNNNNNNNNNNNNNNNNNNNNNNNNNNNNNNNNNNNNNNNNNNNNNNNNNNNNNNNNNNNNNNNNNNNNNNNNNNNNNNNNNNNNNNNNNNNNNNNNNNNNNNNNNNNNNNNNNNNNNNNNNNNNNNNNNNNNNNNNNNNNNNNNNNNNNNNNNNNNNNNNNNNNNNNNNNNNNNNNNNNNNNNNNNNNNNNNNNNNNNNNNNNNNNNNNNNNNNNNNNNNNNNNNNNNNNNNNNNNNNNNNNNNNNNNNNNNNNNNNNNNNNNNNNNNNNNNNNNNNNNNNNNNNNNNNNNNNNNNNNNNNNNNNNNNNNNNNNNNNNNNNNNNNNNNNNNNNNNNNNNNNNNNNNNNNNNUUUUCUUCAAGAGAACUCUCCCUCUCAUAUAUUUUCUUUAUGGCAAAAAUUUUAUUUGGAUUCACCCAAGAUCUGCCUUUGACCUUGGGAGUUCUUGCUCUUCAUUUGGACAAAAGACAAAAUGUUUUUUUUCAUUUGGGAAAAGAACUUUUGAAAACCUUUUUCUGAAUUUGCACUAUGGCUUUUGGAAGGUACUUUGCCACUUUCAACUAUUCCUUCUUGCCAUGGCAUAAGUGCAAAUCCUCUCUCCUAAACACUCCCUCACCUCUGGAUCAUGAUUUACAUCAAAUCCAGCAAGUUGAACCUCCCCAUGUAUUUAUUUUCCAUUCAAAUUCUAUUCAAAUAUUUUCUGCCUUCUAUUCUACCUCUUGGAGAUUUACAAAGGAACUCCAUUUUCUGUUUGGACUUUUACCACCAAACUUCUUUCCCCUCCUAGUCCUUUGAACCCUCAACCUAGAACCAUGAAGAUCCACUGGUCUCCAGUUCAAAAUUUUCAAACUACAUCAGCUGCAAGUUUGGACCAGAUUUGGCAAAUUUGGUGAAAUUCAUUCAAAACCUUCUCCAAAAAUUCCAAAUAAAUUCAUGCAGCCCCUGGGUGCUUUGAGUGGUCAUCUCACCAAGUUACAGCUCCAGCAAAAUUUACCUCUUUACCAAAACCUACUGUCGAACACCUGCAAUGCAUGGUCACUGUCAAGUCUCAGUAACUUCAGAGUUUCAGUUCAGUGCUUGCUGUCGUUUUCUUCAGAAACGGGCAUCGAUCUCGCCAGUACCGCCGCGUCGCCUUGCUCCUCGUCCUCACCCACUUGUUCCUGCACCGCACGAGCGCCUGGCACCUUGCGGGCGUCGGCGACGGGUAGCAGGAGGUGCGCCGCCCCGUGACCGACGCCGGCGGCGGCUUUGCGGACGCCAGCGGGAGACACGGCGCCGACGACUCCACCCAGCGCCGCCCAAACCACCGGAGCCCGCCGCGUGGCCGUCCACUCCCCCGAAUACGCUGCCGCUCUCGUCGUGAACCGCAGGGCGCGGAGCGCGCUCUUUGCCGCCGUUGAGCCCGUGCGGUCACCUCACCGUGGGCAGACGCCAUUACGCCAGGGCCAGCUCCGUUUAGCUGCAAAACGAGUCCCGUAACAUCCACCGAUGCUGCCCGACCGCUCAAACCCUCUGCCAACCCACUGCUCCGCCGUAAUCGCUCGCCGGAGAUUCUCCGUUCACGGCCACCCCGUCGAUCUGCCUAUAAAUAGAGGUCCCGAGCUUCAACUCGAGCACCCACCAGCCCUGCACUUCCUCUAGAGCACGCCUAGCCACUGGAAGAGCCCCGAGGAGGUCUCCUUCCUCGACUCCGGCCGCCGCGACCCGCCACGGGAUCCAGCCCGAUUCGCCCCCGUGUGUGCUCCGCAGCCUCCAUUCUCUUGCCAGUAACUUCACCAUGCAUCUCUCGUUCUGACCCGCACUUCAAUUUGAAGCUUGCAGCCCUCCACCGGAGUUCCCCAUCCUCACCCGAGCCGCCGUCCGCCGGAGAUAGUGUCGCCGUCGACGUGGUGCUCCCCGUUGGACGAGUCCACCACCCACCAACGCGGAAGAAGACACCGAAGCUCUUGGUACCCUCCGUUUCUCCUAACUCGCCGUGGUUCGACGCCGGCGUCCACCGCCGUCUUCGGGCGCCGGCGAGCCUUUUCAAACCUGACAUGCGGGCCCCGCGUGUCAGCCUCUGUUCUAUUUCCCCGAACCGUUUUCUGUUGACGCCUUCGGGCAAAAUACGUCUUCUCUCUUGCGCUUGCGCAUUUCCAAACGAACCGUUUUCUGUUUUCUCAGUUAAAACCCUGGAACUUUUCUGUUUCGUUACAGAAAGGUCCCUGGACAGAAACCUUUAUAACUUUUUAAUAAAAAGGUAUUUUUGAGUGAUUCUUUUUCUGACAUUCUUAAAAUUUUGUCUAGUUUUUUAUGGGAUUUAUUUGGGAAAUAUUUGGCAAAGUUUCUGUGCAUGUGUUGGUUUUCACGUUAGUACCCGUUUCGUGAUUGCCGUAGGUUCUGGGAGAGGUGACGGAGCCGCGAACUUCGCCGAGCUAGAUUCCGACUUCUCCGAACCAGGCAAGCAUGUUUGGACAUUUGAUAUGGCAGAAGUUUUGCCUGUUCAUGUGAAAGUUUGUGUGUGGCAUAUGAGUGUCGGUAAAUAUCUCGUUGCUCGUGAGGCAACGACCCGGUUGUUCUGAAGUUGCGAUGACCUCUGAUGAGAGGUGGCCUAAUCAUGUAGUGACAUGAAGGGCAGCAAGGUGGUACUGUUGUAGCAUGCCAGCCUUGCGUCAUCCGACUUUCUUCGACGUUAACAUGGUUGGAGCCACGUUAUCGAUCUUUUCCCGCAUGUUCCAAAGUUGCGAUGACCUCUGAUGAGAGGUGGCCUAAUCAUGUAGUGACAUGAAGGGCAGCAAGGUGGUACUGUUGUAGCAUGCCAGCCUUGCGUCAUCCGACUUUCUUCGACAUUAACAUGGUUGGAGCCACGUUAUCGAUCUUUUCCCGCAUGUUCCAAAGUUGCGAUGACCUCUGAUGAGAGGUGGCCUAAUCAUGUGGUGACAUGAAGGGCAGCAAGGUGGUACUGUUGUGGCAUGCCAGCCUUGUGUCAUCCGACUUUUCCGACGUUAACAUGGUUGGAGCCGUGUUAUCGUCCCUUCCCCUUUCCGUGCUACCACAUGUCUCAUUGCCAGGAUACGGUUUAGUAAGUUGGUAACCUCUUUCCGUGUACACACCAAACAGAGAGGCCGGGAUGAUGGUACCUUGGCCCAGGAUUAAAGCCAGUCAUUCGGUCAGGGGGCAUGGGUGUUUCCGGUUGGGACCGAGAGGGGGGGCACCCUCUUAUAGCGCGCGUAUAGAAAUUUGAUCCCAUGCUACGCGAGCUUGUAGCCUCCCCGACUCAAGGUUUUUCUUGAAUGUUGCCGAGGGUGAUCCCUGGCUUCGGAUGGUUGAAUUGGGUGUGUACUGGUUAGACGUGUUCCUUCCAGAACACCGUAGACGGAACUAGUCCCCGUGACUACUGAAAUCCGUUGGCUGUGGUUAAGUACAAACUCUGCAGAGUCAAUUCUUUCCAAAUCAUCGUAUCCAUGAUCAGUAGUGUAUACAUUAUAUCCAUAUCUAUCCAUGUGAAAACUUGUCCCCGGUGAACAAGCUCAAGUGGUAAAAUCUCAGGUUUUAUUGUUAUUCCAGUGGAUGGACAAGCUUUAUUUUGUCUCAUGCUUUUGAUAAUUUAUGUCUCCGAGCUGUUGUAAUAAUGAAAUGUGAUAUAAGCCCUUUAGGUGAUGUCGCUCAGACGUCCGACUGCGGCAUGCACUGCCUUUACUUUCUGUUAUAAGCCCUUUAUGUGGUGUCGCCCCGACGCCCGACUGUGGCAUUAUCAUUCCGCAUUUUCCGCUCGAGGAGUCUUUCAGAAACUCGUUUGGCACCUGCAUUAUUAUUCCGCAUUUUCCGCUCGAGGAGUCUUUCAGACACUCGUUUGGCACCUGUAUUAUUAUUCCGCAUUUUCCUCUCGAGGAGUCUUUCAGACACUCGUUUGGCACCCGUAUUACUAUUCAGCAGUUUCCGCUCGAGGCGUCAUUCAGACCCUCGCUUGGCACCCAGUAUUUAUUAUCUCUAUGUCUGAUCGCACUGGUUAACUUAUUCAUGUGUUUCAUGUUUGCAUUUGUUAUACCUUAUGUCCGAACUGUCUUGCGAGUACUUUCAUAGUACUCACCUGGCUUGUUGAUUUGGCCAGAUGUUGACGAAGGCGAUCUCUUGGAUGAAGAGUUUGAUAGCGCGUCCGAUGCCUAGAGGAGUCCCAGUCAGUCCUGCGCGAUCCCGGUUUUUGGUCACUUGUAUCGUAUACGCUUCCGCCACCCGCAAUAAGUCUUCUCGAGUCUCACUCCGACGCUUGAAGAGCUGUAGUCUUCUGGAGACAUAUCAAUCGCCUCGCGGUGAUAUCUCCACCAUCGUCAUUAUCGUGAGUUAGUAGGCUGCCACCCUAUCCGCCGUAUUGUUUUAUCGGCGUGCAUGUAAUAAAUUGUUGGGCAGUCUCUGCUCAACUUUGUAUUAUAUUUAGUACUCCUGGUAUUUUUUUCUUCUGUGACCAAUGUAUUGUCUAUCAGUGAGAAGGAAUUCUUCCUCGCUGAUCCAUAACAGGGAUUGGUUUCUCAAUAAUUAUUUUAUUGAAAAACCGGUCGUGACACGGUAUUACCCUGCCGUCCUAAGUAAAUUUGCAUGUGCCACCUCUAAAAACUUCUAAAUAAAUAUCCGUUUUGUGUGCCUGGAUCGUUCAUGGAACGACAGGAGGUGGUCGGUAUCUUCCAUGCUAAGCGGGUUAUUCUCAGGCCGAGUGUUUAUUCACUCGCCAUCGCACGAGAAAAGGGCGGUAAUAGGGAUGCCCAGUCCCAAACUACAAAACACAAAAAGAGUUAAUCGCUCGAAUAAUCAAACAAAAACUCCCAAUGGAGUCAAAACCUUUACUUUUAUCGCUUGGGAACCGCCACUAGCGUGCUUAGCAUGGAAGAUAUUGAUAACUGAUGGUCGUGAAGUAAAUGAGAAGGGUGCAUGUCUCAAAAUAUCAUUUAACUCUGUUUUAAAAAUUGAGCUCUGGCACCUCUGCAAAUCACUGCUUCCCUCUGCGAAGGGACUAUCUAUUUACUUUUAUGUUGUGUCAUCACCUUCUAAAACAAGCGCUAGAACAUGAGAGCACAGCUGUCAUGACUUAUGCAUUGUGUGUAGCUAAUGUUGGGUGCAUCAUGACUGGAUCUUUUCUACCAUGAAUUACAAUGUUUAGUCGCUGCUUGGACUUUGGAGGUGCUCUGCAUUUAUGUUUUGCGGUCUCAGAAAGGGCUAGCAAGAUACCACUAUUGUCAUAUUGUAUCAUGGUUGUUUUGAUAAUGUGUUGUUGUUUGAGAUAUCUUAUUAUUGCUCGCUAGCUUGUUAUGUCAUUGAUAUGAGUUAAUAUAAUUUUUAAGAGUUAUUGUCCGCAUGGUUAGUUAUAAUAUUGGCUAAAAACCUGGGUGUUGUUUAAGCUUAUUUAUGCAAACAAGAGCAAAAGAGUUCGUAAAAGUUUUCUUUUUCACUUUCAGUUUGUCAACUGAAUUGCUUGAGGACAAGAAAAGGUUUAAGCUUGGGGGAGUUGAUACGUCUCCAACGUAUCUACUUUUCCUAACGCUUUUCCUCUUGUUUUGGACUCUAAUUUGCAUGAUUUGAAUGAAACUAACCCCGGACUGACGCUGUUUUCAGCAGAACUACCAUGGUGUUGUUUUUGUGCAGAAAUAAAAGUUCUCGGAAUGGAACGAAACUUUGCGAGGAUCUUUUAUAUCAAUAAAGAGAAUUUCUGGGGCCAAGAACCACCGGAGGGGGGCACAUGGGUGGGCACGACUCACCAGGGCGCCCCCCUCCAGGCGCGCCAAGGUGGGUUGUCCCCACCUAGUGGCCCCGCAGACACUGAAACCGACGUUAUAAAUCCUAUUUUCCUAGAAAAAAUCAGGGGAAUAGAAUUAUCGCGUUCCACGAGACAGAGCCGCCGUCACCUCCUGUUCUUCAUCGGGAGGCCAGAUAUGGAGUCCGUCUGGGGCUCCGGAGAGGGGGGUCUUCGAUCUUCGUCGUCACCAACCCUUUUCCAUCGGCAAUUCCAUGAUGCUCCCCACCGGGAGUGAGUAAUUCCUUCGUAGGCUCGCUGGUCGGUGAGGAGUUGGAUGAGAUUCAUCAUGUAAUCUAGUCAGUUUUGUUAGGGCUUGAUCCCUAGUAUCCACUAUGCUCUGAGAUUGAUGUUUAGUCGCUGCUUGAACUUUGGAGGUGCUCUGCAUUUAUGUUUUGCGGUCUCAGAAAGGGCUAGCGAGAUACCACUAUUGUCAUAUUAUAUCAUGGUUGUUUUGACAAUGUGUUGUCAUUUGAGAUAUCUUAUUAUUGCUCGCUAGCUGAUUAUGUCAUUGAUAUGAGUCAUUAUAACCUUUAAGGGUUAUUGUCGGCAUGGUUAGUUACAAUGUUGGCUGAAAACCUGGGUGCUGUUUAAGCUUAUUUAUGCAAACACGAGCAAAAGAGUUCGUAAAAGUUUUUCUUUUUCACUUUCAGUUUGUCAACUGAAUUGCUUGAGGACAAGCAAAGGUUUAAUCUUGGGGGAGUUGAUACGUCUCCAACGUAUCUACUUUUCCUAACGCUUUUCCUCUUGUUUUGGACUUUAAUUUGCAUGAUUUGAUUGAAACUAACCCCGGACUGACGUUGUUUUUAGCAAAACUACCAUGGUGUUGUUUUUGUGCAGAAAUAAAAGUUCUCAGAAUGGAACGAAACUUUGCGAGGGUUUUUUAUAUAAUAAAAGAGAAUUUCUCGAGCCGAGAUCCAUCGGAGAGGGGUCCCUGGGUGGGCACAACCCACCAGGGCGCGCCCCCCUCUCCUGGCGCGCCCAGGUGGGUUGUCCCCACCUGGUGGCCCCGUAGACCCUGAAACCGACGCUACCUAUUUUCAGAGAAAAAAAUCAGGGAGAAAGAAUUAUCACGAUCCUCGAGACGGAGCCGCCGCCAAGCCCUAUCUGCCUCGGGAGGGCAGAUCUGGAGUCCAUUUGGGGCUCCGGAGAGGGGGAUCUUUGUUCUUCGUCAUCACCAACCCUUCUCCAUCGCCAAUUCCAUGAUACUCCCUACCGGGAGUAGGUAAUUCCUUCGUAGGCUCGCUGGUCGGUGAGGAGUUGGAUGAGAUUCAUCAUGUAAUCGAGUUAGUUUUGUUAGGGCUUGAUACCUAGUAUCUACUAUGUUCUAAGAUUGAUGUUGCUAUGACUUUGCCAUGCUUAAUGCUUGUCACUUUGGGACCAGGUGCCAUGAUUUCAGAUCUGAACCAUUUAUGUUAUCACCAUUAUAUCCAUGUUCUAGAUCCGACCUUGCAAGUUAUUGUCACCUACUAUGUGUUAUGAUUCGGUAACCCUGGAGUGAUAAUAACCGGGACUUCUUCCAGUGAUUAUCGUAGUUUGAGGAGUUCAUGUAUUCACUGUGUUAAUGCUUUGUUCCGGUUCUCUAUUAAAAGGAGGCCUUAAUAUCCCUUAGUUUCCAAUAUGGAUCCCGCUGCCACGGGAGGGUAGGACAAAAGUUGUCAUGCAAGUUCUUUUAAUAAAGCACGUAUGACUAUUUACGGAAUACAUGCCUACAUUAUAUUGACGAACUGGAGCUAGUACCGUAUCGCCCUAGAUUAUAACUGUCUCAUGAUGAAUAUCAUCCAACAAGUCACCGAUCCAAUGCCUACAAAUUUAUCUUAUAUUGUUUCUGCUAAGUUACUACUGUUAUCAUCACUGUUACACUUGCUACAAAAUUACUACUAUCACUGUUACUGUUACUAUUGCUGCUGUCACUACUAUCAAAACUAUCAAACUACUUUGCUACUGAUCACUUUGCUGUAGAUAAUUAAUCUCGAGGUGUGGUUGAAUUGACAACUCAGCUGCUAAUACCUUCAAAUAUUCUCUGGCUCCCCUUGUGUCGAAUCUAUAAAUUUGGGUUAAAUACUCUACCCUCGAAAACUGUUGCGAUCCCCUAUACUUGUGGGUUAUCAGCAAUUAAAGAACUUAAUGAUUUAAAACUUGCCGGUGAAAAGAGGUUAUUUGAAUUAUAACCUACUUUGGAGCUAUAAAAAUAUUUAUCGGAUUUUGUAACUCCAAUUCAAAUACAAUAUGGAUUAAUUCAAAGGCCAUAAAUGUCAUGGAAAAAAUGUGCAUCAUCUCUAGUUAAGGCUUUCACCUUUUUCCUUAAAUCAUGAACAUUUUUAAGGGCAUUUUGGGUUCAUUGAAAAAUAUUUUAGUUAAACCUAGUUUAUUAAUGUGGUGCUAGGGUUUAAUCAAUCCCCAUUUCAAAUUCAUUUGAAUUUUAGACAUGAUGCAAACAACAAUAACUAGCCUAGGUCAUUACCAGACUAGGGAUGUGGCAGAUCUUCAGAGGAUGAAGUAGGGUCAUGGGCCAUGCACGAGAGCACGCGACACCAGUGGUCGGGGUGACCUUUUUGCUUGUUCGAGGGUGGUGUGGUGGACACCGAUAUUACGUCGAUGAAGGUGAUUGGGGACACUGAUGUUUUACCCCAAGUUCGGUCCACAUGGUGCGUAAGACCCUACUCCUACUGGUUGCCUUCUUAGGUUGGAAGAGCUUACAAAGAUCAUGGAAUGCAUGCUCGUCUCGCGAAGGGAAUGAGCAGGUUUUCCUUUCUAUCUAGCCUAUCUAAGAUCUGACCUGAACUGGAUCCUCCUCCCACUAUAGCUUGGGCCUCUUUUUAUAGUGCAAGGGUCACCAACAUGGCUAUAGAUAGUACACUAGACACUGUGUAUAUACAGUGGGAUACCUACUACAUACCUACCACGUUAAAUGCGGGGGCAUGUGUCUUCUUCUCCUGAGCCCGGGAACGGACACAUGUCCCAUCACCGCCACUUAGCAUAACCGCCUCUUAUUACCAUGCCACACACGUAAUAGGUGUUAGGCAUGCAGAAGAAGGGGUUAGAUGUUUGACACGAUACGACCGCUCAAGGGGAAGGCGACUUCGGCGUGCCACGCGGAGGAAACGGCCCGUGAGCUUCACCGCUGCUGGGCCGGGCCACUGUGCCACUAAGGUGUUGUCGCCCUAGUGGGUCGGACCUGGAGCGUUGCGGAUCGGGUUGAAAGAGUCAUUCCCGGGGGAGCGUCUCCUUUGCGGGAGCCCAUGCCUUGGGCGUUCCCAGGAAAGGAUGCUACCAUCUUGACAUUUUCUUACACCUUAUUGUUGGUGUGGAAGUCGAGGGCCAUAAAAAAUAGUACCUCUCACGGACCUGCCUUGAGGCCUUCCGAGCCCUGCUUCGCUUGUAUCUUCAGAGAAGAGCCUUGGAUGACUCUUCAGCUAUGCUCAUGUCUUGGCGAUCUCCCAGCAAGAAGCCAUUGUAGACCCCGUGCAGGAGGGUUCGUGGGUACCUGAUACCCGAGACACCAACAGUAGGCGCCAACAAUGGAAUCUCGGUUGGAAGAAUUAAUCAAGUCAAAUGGGAUCUUGAAGGCCAAUAUCUGAGUAAGUACUAGAGUAAGUGUCGCUCAUUUACAUUCAGAUGACCAGAUCAUUUUUCUCUUAGUUGGAUUGACAUAACCGAAUGAAACACUUUAGAUUUUCCUUCUAGUGGAGGCACGGCUAGUGCACCCACUUGGUGUACCCCAUUGAGACUUUCAUCAACUGCUGGCAGUUGGCUAGAAUCUCAAGAACAAGUAAUUCUAAUUCUUCACAUAUCUAGAUUGUUUAUGUUAAAUACAUGGAUUCACUCAGGUUGUAGAUUAACCGACGGAAUUGAAGUUUUUUUCUUCCAAUGGGGGCAUGAUGAGUGAACCCAUUGGGUGUAGCCCCCGAGAAUCUGAUUAACUGCUGGUAGUUGCUUACAGUCUUGAGAAUAAGUGGCUUAGAACUUCAUUGAUCUAGAUUGUUUACAUUGGAUCCAUGACUUCACUUGGCUUCCUGAUGAACCGAGGGGAUUUGAGAUUUAUUCUCUUCCGGCGGGGGGCAUGAUCUGUGUACCCAUCGUGUAUAGCCCCCAAGACCCUGAGUGUUCGAUUGUAAACGCUUGGAGUCUAGUUAAAUUUUGUCUUUGUCUUGUGUAGAAAUCAUGAGAACUCUGCUCGAAGUAUUUGGAGCUGGAAAAAGAACUGGAAAAGGUACAACAAGAACUCUACAAACAGCAAACUAAGAACAGUCGGUUGGAGAAGGAGAAGGUCGCCAUGGGAGGUAAACUUUGUUAUCCAAGUGAACUUCAAAUUAAUCUUAAAACUAGAUUCCGAGUGUAACCGAUCUCAACAGAGGUUCAUGCUGAAAAUGCACUCCUAACGAAAUGACCGUGGAACUGUGUGUCUGUAGAAUCUGCAAAAAAGGCUCUGGAGGACAAGGACACCAUGCUAACCAAAGCUUGGGAAGAAACCCUAGUGAAACUCAAGGGCUGAACAGAGACUGUCUAAACUUCAAGAAACCAAAGAGCUCAAACAACACUUUUAGGACGAAGUUGCGAUGUUGAAAAAGGAAAUCAAUGACCUUAAAGCUUCCGAGCAGGAAUGGUACAUGAAGUAUCUCAACAUGUCUGAUCUUGUGGAAAAGAAUAAAAUGAAGUAUGAAAAGGAUCUCGAUGAUCUUACUCGGGGCAUGGAAGAAACUAAGACCUUCUUGGUAGGCUAGUUGGAUGAUGUUAACUAGAGGCUCGAAGGUAAACCUGCAUGUUCUUCCCGAGUCAACUUUGAUAAAUGAAGUUCAUGAACUUGCUCUUACUCCAUUAAAUGUUCUAAAUUCCCUUGUGCAGUGUUUUGCCCCGAUCCAAGAACAGAGGCACAUAGGGUGCAGAAGGAACUUCAAGCAUACAUGAUGGAUAUCGUAGAUACUCCUUGGGCACGCACCUGGGUUGCUGAAUUUGUUAUCUGUCUGGAAGAACGUGCUGAAUCAGCAAAUAGUAGUGCAUCCCAAGUGAAAGAAUCUAUGAAGAAGAUGAAUGCAACUUUGCGUCAUGGAGAAGAGCUUGGUGAAGAUCUGUCUGCCUGUAUGGAACAACUUGGGCAGGUACCAGGCCGAGUGUCAAGGUGGAAGAAAUCCGCUGCACGGUGUGGAGCUGAAUUUGCUCUUUCUCUUGUUCGGGUACACAUACCAAGAUAAAUGAAGGGAAGCUGAAAUGAGUUGGUGCAGGAAAUCCGGAGGACCAACACUUUGAAGAUCAUAUGGAAAACUUUAUCGAAGUUGCCUGAUAGAUCACCUCUUUUAUCGACCUGGAUACCUUCAUCAAGCCGAUUGGAGUACCGGAUACUCCCCAAGAUAAAUGACGUUGCUCUUAACCUUGUGGUUGUGGGUUCAAACCCCACGAUGGAUCUAACAAUAAGAUAGGGGGAGGAAUGAGGCCUAGUUUAGUCUCUAGUGAGACAUAGGGGGUUGAUAAAAGGAUGUAUACAGGUUCAGGAUCCUCGUGGUGGAGGUAAAAACCCUAGUCUUGUUAUCCGGGGUGACUAUUCUUCAGUAUGAGUUUGAAAGUACAAAGUUCUGAACCCAUAACCCGAUGAUGAAGGGUGCUUAUAUAGAGUUGGUUAUCCCCUUGCAUUCUACGUUAUAGGUGAAUUUAAGCCUAACAAUACAUGCCCACUACUAGUAGUAACGAGCGUCUUAAUGAGUGGAUGAAGCACCAUACUUCUUGGCUGUGGUAACACUCCAAUUAAUGUUGCUGGCUAUUGAACUCUUGUCGCCAAGUGAGGAUAUGUUUUUCUUGGUUUGAACCGAGUGUAGAGAUCUCCACUCGGGUAGUUUGUCCAAAGUGACCAAACCUCCAGCAUAUUGGUUGGCAUAUUGGUAUCUGAUGAAUGUGGGCUUGGGUCCCCAUGGGCUUCUGUUGCGUUUAGGUCACCAUGGGCCUACCAAGUGGGAGAUAACCUCAUCAAGUGGAAUCUAACCAGUGGCUCUUCAUCAAUUCGCUCACUUCUGGCGAGCCCCAACCCUCAUAGACCCCUUCCUCGGUUCAUAGCCCCGUCAUGGAGACGCCGGACACCUCGGUGACGAGGGCAACUUGCCUGGCUGUGCGAGCGCGUGCCCACCUACCUGCCCACCUACGUGCCUGCCUGCCUGCGAUAUGACGUGCUGAGGGAUCCGAGGAUAGCGUAGCCUACCGCGCUCACUGGUGCGGUGGCGGACGGAGGCCGGGGCGGAAGAGGUGGGCGCGGCCACCAGACAAAUGGAGAAUUUUUGCCGUAAGUGUUGGAUGGCUCCCAACAUAUGUCCACGAACAUUUGUGAUGUCCGUUUAAGGGCUUGCAGUGGAUAUGCAAUUAUAUCUGCCGAAACGUGGUACUUAUAUACAUUUUUUUCUUUAUACAACAAUCCAAGAUAUAACACGUUAGGGAUUCCGUACCGAGAAAAUGAAAUGAAAUCACCCUGGAUGGAUCUCCGCUUCUCCGGUCUUCAAACCCACUCCAUGCCACGCCAGUCCACUGGAGGUGGAAGGAUGACGUGACGCUUCUUAUACAGCGCCGGCAAACGGAGGCCUGGGCGGUCGCCAGAUUCAGGAGCCAGCGGGAGGAAUGGGUGAGAGCAUCUCCAGCCGUUGCCCCCCCAGGGGGCCUGAAAAAUCGCCGCCUGGGGGCGAACCGCCGCAAAAAUCGGCUUGGGGUGAUUGGGUUCCCAGCCGCCGCCCCAGGUCGCCCCUAGGCGUCGAUAUCGGCCCAAGUUUGCCCCAAAUUUGCCUGCUUUUCAGCCCAUUUUGGCGCAAAAUCGGCCCGCUAUCGGCACAAAUCGGCCCAUAUUCGCUGUGCUUCGGCGCAAAUUCAACAUAAGUUAUUUUUUAACACAUAGUUCAACAUAAGUUAUCACAGAAAAUCAAUAGAAAUCAAAUAGUUCAACAAAUACUUCAACAACAAAUAGUUCAAUACAAAUUAUAUACUUUGUUGUCGUGUAGUGGAGCGUCGGCGAAGUAGUCGGAGUAGAGCAUGCAAUAGCCUUCCAGACAAUGUCGGUUCUUUGCUUUCAGCCGCCCUGCGCUCGCGAGCAGGACGGCCAGGGCGGUGAGGACCAUGAGAUGCUCUUCAUCCUGGACGUCGGCUGUCGGUGUCAAAACCGGCGGAUCUCGGGUAGGGGGUCCCGAACUGUGCGUCUAGGAUCGAUGGUAACAGGAGGCGGGGGACACAAUGUUUACCCAGGUUCGGGCCCUCUCGAUGGAGGUAAUACCCUACUUCCUGCUUGAUUGAUCUUGAUGAUAUGAGUAUUACAAGAGUUGAUCUACCACGAGAUCGUAGAGGCUAAACCCUAGAAGCUAGCCUAUGAUUAUGAUUGUUGUAUAUGAUCUAUCGACUAGCCUGGCCUCGGUUUAUAAAAUGCACCAGAGGCCUAAUAUAACAAGAGUCCUAGCCAAAUAGGCCGGUGGGGAGGAGUCCUUGUCUUGAUCCCCAAGUCUUGUGGAAUCUUCCUUGUAUGCGGCAGCUGUCCGAACUGGACCAUGAGUAUACGGCCAUGGGGGUCCUCGGCCCAAUCCAACUGAUCGGGAGACGACGUGAUGAGUACCCCCUAGUCCAGGACACCAUCAGUAGCCCCCUGAACCGGUCUUCAAGUUGGGGACGCUCCUCGAUUCUUCCGAACUGUUCUUCAUCUUCGGUUGUCGGUCUUGAAAACUGGUUCAACAAAUCUUCUCAUCUUCAAUCUUAAGGAUCGCCGAAAUGCAUUCGACGAGUUUACACGUCGGGUAUCCGAGGAGCCCCUUUAAGUUUCCGUCCUUUAUCAAUGCCUUGUUAUUUUUAUGCCACACCUCGGGUUUGAAGUUGUUCCCGGGCGGCAGUGUCCUCUUGCGUCCAAGCCCCAACGCCGGACUGUAUUCGAGGUAUAUUUUGCAGCCGAGCACCAACGCCAGGCUGUAUCCGAGCCCCAACGCCGGACUAUAUCCAAGCUCCAACGCCGGACUAUAUCCGAGGUGUCAUAGACCACCUUGGUUCUAAAAAGUUGAAGGAGUUUAGCUGUGCCUAAUGCCGGAAAUGCCCUCUAUGGAGCCAGCCACUGGCGCCCGAGCUUUAUGCCGGACUGCUUCCAAGGUGGUGCACCACCCCGACCGCGGGCUGAUUUUUUGCGAAUAUUUUUGAUUGGUGCAAUUUAUUCUCUGUCGAGAUAUAUAGCCAAUAUAUGUAUAUCCAGUAGCCCUCAAGGUGUGUGUCGGUCUAAAACCCGAGAUGCACCUGAAGGAAAACAUAAAACUGCUGGUCCUAGUAGCCCCUGAGACUCAGGUCGAUUUGCGAAAUUGGCCUGAGGAUCAACUCCUAGCUCGGCAGCGUACGUAGGAAUAGAAAUGCAGUGUAAUAUAUAAUAAAGAUCAGCGGACGGGCCCUGAGAGAGGGUCGUGAGAAGUCUCCGUGAUAUAUUAGCUUGAUGCCAGAUAGGUCCAGAAGGUACUUAUUGUUUGUCCGAAGACGCGCUUUCCCAUAGUUCGAUCAAGCCGAACACUGAGCCCUUUGGAUUUUCUACAUUGAAUAGGAAAUGCAGUAGCCCCCGGGACACUGGUCGGGUGGCAACACCAGAUCAGGGGAUCGAUGUGCCCCUUUAAUAUUUAUAAAUAAUGAGCACGAAGCCCAGUAGCCCCUGAGCCUUAAUGUGGGCACCGGUGGUCGAAUUAAGGAUCGGUAUCCAGAGUAAAAUCACAGAUUAUGUGUAAUGAUUCUAUGUAUCCAAGUACUUUACAUCAUUAUUUUGACUCCAUUGCGGCCGUUUAUCAGUUGAAAGUGGCCCAUCGUCGGCUUCUACCCCUUGGUAGAUACUACGCAGGGUGUUUCCGCACUAACAAAACAACCCUUAGCCGACGUCUCGGUGCCCGGAGGCGGUUGUGUUAGCAGAAACGAGGCAAUCAGAUAUGCGGGCUUUAUAACUUUCACUUAGUCAUAGGAGCUUAAAGUUGGAAGGCCGGUUACUAGCCUCCGGUUAGUGUUCGGCGACAGUCGAGGUCAAACCGUAAACAGUUCGGCCAAUAUUAUGAAUGGCCCAUCAUUAAACACAAUCAUCGGAUCGCUGACCAGUUUACGCUUAUUGUGACAGUCAGUUUUCGGCUUUCUCCACUGAGGCGCUUAACCAUGCUAGCUGGAAGCACAAUCGAAGUGGUUCUCCCGUUGCACACCUAGCCGAACAAAGCGGAACGUAGGAGGCAAGCACAGGAGCCGGGCAACCCAACUAUUGACCAAAGACGCAAUUCGAAACCGAUGCAUAUACAGCAAUGUCCGAGAAUAUUUUUGCCGAAUCCCUAAAGGUGUCCGGCGCCGCACUACGAGACUAAUGCUGGAAACACACAAAUAGUUUAAAAGUGCCAUAGGCUUGGAAAACCGAAAACUUCAGUAAAAACUGGACGCCCGAACUAGAUCAAGUGUUCGGUGCCAAAUCGAAAAUUGGUCUUUAGAAAAAAAAAAGGUGCUUCUAUUGUGCUUUAUCAUGACACAUCUUAUCUCAAGACCUCAAGCGGGUCAGCCUACGGCUUAAACCUCCUAUCCCGAAGGCGGAGUACUUCUCGUUAAGCCAGCUUAGCAAACUAAACUCUAGCGGCUUUGAGAGAGAAAUUAGGCUCCCCGGCUAGUGACCACACACUCAUGUCGAAAAAAGGAGUGAUAGAUAAUAAUAAAAAAACUUUGCAACGACUAAGAAGAAGAACACUUAUUAUAAAACGGCUCAUAUAAAUUUAAGAGCCUCCAAGUGACUUGGGUAAAAGAAUUUUAUGUAUAAUGAUUGUAUGUACCAAAGUACUUAUAUCAUAUCUGUGUUCACCCGAACUUUAUACGCGUCUUAACCGACCGUCGGCUUCUCCCUCUUCGGUCAAGGGCCGAAAAGUGUUAUGUACUUCACCUAUCGAGAAUAUCGAUGGUGUUUCCGAUAACCAGGCAAUCAGGUCAUAAGGCUGUAACAGACAAAGCGCGCUCAGGGAACUUAUGCUAUAUUACUGACGAAGUGUAAGAAGCAUCUUCGAAGAAAAUAGUACCCACCGAUACCUUUCUUCAGUGCUCAUUGUUACUAUGAGACUUGUGCAAUAGAUUUUUUGUACUCAUGAGUUCCGUUGUGUGCCGCCCAUAAUUGAAAACAAUAAGAGCGCUAGGUUUCGGCUUCACCCAGUCUGAGGUCCGCCUCGGAUGAUCCGAUCGUGACAAUCGCAGAGGUGCUCCCUUUACUCCCUAGCCGAACAAUCGAGAACGUAGGGGUAAACACAGGAGCGAGGCAACCCAGCCUGCAAAUCGCUUAAGUCAAUAUGGUGCAUAUUGUGGCGUAAUAGACGAACAAGGAACGAAGCCGUACAAGUAUAAUCAUAUGCAAGAGGAAAAUCUUCAUAAAGGAAGCCCCCAAGUAAACGGGGUAGUUGAAUUUGUGUGUCACAAACAAGGUUAUGACAAGGAAUUUUUUCAUAAACAACUUUUUGCCAAAAAAGGUAUAAUGCUUGGUCGAAUCGAACAAAAUUUAAAACUGGGAGUUUUUGAGCGUCAAAGCGACUUAGCUGGUUAAUGUAUUCGGCAUUGAUGACGCGGUCCGAGCUUGCUGCGGGACAAGGUCUCAGCCCCCAAGCCCGAUGUGGCCGAGCGAAGAACUCGGCACUCCGAAGAGGUGACAUAGCGCGACCAAUGCAGGCCGCCAAAGUCCCCGGCGUGGGUUAAUGAGGUGUUGACGAAGCCCCCCGUCCAGCCGAGGUGACAUGGUAUGUCAGUACGCCGAGGUGACAACACUACCCGACCCGAAUCAUUUACCUGUGCACAAAAAAUAGUGCAAACCGGAGAUAAUAAUAAUAAUGAUUAAAAAAUGUUGCAUAUUAAAUAAUUUAUGCAAAGUGGGUAAUAAAAGGAAUAUGGCCUGGCGCCGAAGUCAAUGUCGAUGCAGGGCGUCGGCGUGAUGUAGUAAAGGUGUGGCAAAGCCUGAAUUCAUAGGUCGGUCCGAGUUCCGGAUGCGGCGUUCGCCGGACUAUGUACGGAAACUGACCGAACCACCACGCGUCCGUCAUUAAUGCGGCCAUCAUUUGAUAGACCUGUGUACAGAUGAUGGACAAACCAGAGUAAUAAUUCCUUGGGAAAAAUAAACCCAAACAAGCAGUAAAUACUAGGAUUAAUAGCACCUGGUUUAUUUGUUGUAGCAAUCCAAAGAAAAGUGACUCCCAAAAUUGGGACUCAAUCCGCAUUCUCAUUGCCUGAUGGGCGGUGAAGCGACGGCAUGGUGAUGCUGGUAAAGGUUGGCUCGCCGAGGCAAAGCCUCCGGUCCAGCUAACGUGACGAAGCCGGUUGACUGGUGACGCCGAAGUCUCCAAAGUAGGUUGAUGAAGAGAUGGCGAAGCCCCCGGUCCAGCCGAGGUGUUGAAGCCUCGAUGUCAGCCGAUGAGUCGAAGUAGGUCAGCGUGAUGGACAUCCGCUUGAAAAAGCAACAGUGCGGCCCUGCCGAUGUAGGUCGUGACUCGUGACGUGGUCAAUGCCGGCUUGAUGAAGUGACCGUGCGGCGAUGCCGGCGUGCCCGCUCCGUGUAAUCCAUGGGGCAGCGAUGUUGGUGAUGAUUUAUCCUUCGCGAUGCCGAACUCCUGUUCGGCUCGCUGAGAUGAUGAUCCGAAGAAGUUGAGCUCGGCUCAACAAAGUGACGACGUGUCUAGCGCAGGUCGGCAGCCGAGGAGCAAUAUUGCCGGAUUGGUUUGACACCCGCAUGAUGGUGAAAAUCAUGUUCAAAAGAUUUUAAAGUUAGUGGGAUGUGUUCGGGAACAAAACACAAUACCCCAUACAAAACUUCCUUCAAAAAGGAUGUCUGAAAUCCCGUUCAUAAAAAAGACGAACUCGGGUCGAAUUUGUUUUCGCGCAGAAAACAGAUCCGAAAAGUGAUGCACUAAUCAGAAGGUUCCCGAAGUUUGGACGGUCGGAUCGAGCUGAAAUUUUGAGGGGUGGUAGAUAUAGGAAUUCCGCAGCCGAUCAACGGUUGGAUCUUCCAAAGGACGUCCGAGCUAGAAGCUGGACACCACGCCCUAAACUCGUCCAGAUUCCCGUCCAGAUUUGACAGGGCUCCGGUAUAUCGCGGAUUGCGAGAGAUUCCUCCAUCGGAACUCGACGAAAUUUUCCAGGGUUGUUGUAGACUCAAUUCUGCACAAUUCCACUGAAGCAAUCGUUAAAACGACACUUGAGGAGGCGGUGGCGGCGGAUACAAGUUCGCUGUCCAGAAAAACAGCACGGUCGCCGGAGGGCAAUGUUGACGUUGAGCCCCCGGGCUCCCUGGAUGAUUCCUCCAUGAUCUUGAUAGAGAUCGGAGUUGAUGUUGAUGAAGGCCCUCGUCCGAACAUGAUGAUCGGAAGUAGGGCACAGUCCUCGGUCCAUCCAAGGUGACCAGCCGAGCCAGUGACGAAGAAGCCGACGUUGCAGUUGAUAUGAAGUCGAGCCAUUGAUCGUUUUGCCGAUCACACAGCGGAACUCUCAAUGAAAGCACCAAUGUCGGUGUCAAAACCGGCGGAUCUCGGGUAGGGGGUCCCGAACUGUGCGUCUAGGAUCGAUGGUAACAAGAGGCGGGGGACACAAUGUUUACCCAGGUUCGGGCCCUCUCGAUGGAGGUAAUACCCUACUUCCUGCUUGAUUGAUCUUGAUGAUAUGAGUAUUAAAAGAGUCGAUCUACCACGAGAUCGUAGAGGCUAAACCCUAGAAGCUAGCCUAUGUUUAUGAAUGUUGUAUAUGAUCUAUCGACUAGCCUGGCCUCGGUUUAUAUAAUGCACCAGAGGCCUAGGAUAAGAAGAGUCCUAGCCGAAUACGCCGGUGGGGAGGAGUCCUUGUCUUGAUCACCAAGUCUUGUGGAAUCUUCCUUGUAUGCGGCAGCUGUCCGAACUGGCCCAUGAGUAUACGGCCAUGGGGGUCCUCGACCCAAUCCAACUAAUCGGGAGACGACGUGAUGAGUACGCCCUAGUCCAGGACACCGUCAUCGGCGUCGACUUCCUCCUCCAACAGCGUCGCGAGCGCCUCCUCGUCAUCUGAGUCCAUCGUCGAGCAGUGAUAACCCACAAUUAUAGGGGAUCGCAACAGUUUUCGAGGGUAGAGUAUUCAACCCAAAUUUAUAGAUUUGACACAAGGGGAGCCAAAGAAUAUUUUAAGUAUUAGCAGCUAAGUUGUCCAUUCAACCACACCUGGAGAUUAAUUAUCUGCAACAAAGUGAUCAGUAGCAAAGUAGUAUGAUAGUUUUGAUAAUAGUAGCAGCAGCAAUAGUAACGGUAACAGUGAUAGCAGUAGUUUUGUAACAAGUGCAACAGUAACGAUAGCAGUAGUACCUUAGCAAGAACAAUAUAAGAGAAAUUCAUAGGCAUUGGAUCGAUAAUUUGUUGAAUGAUAUACAUCAUGUGACAGUCAUAACCUAGGGCGAUAUGGCACUAGCUCCAGUUCAUAAUAUAAUGUAGGCAUGUAUUCUGUAAAUAGUCAUACGUGCUUAUGGUAAGAACUUCUUGACAUUUUUUGUCCUACCCUCCCGUGGCGGCGGGGUCCCAUUGGAAACUAAGGGAUAUUAAGGCCUCCUUUUAAUAGAGAACCGGAACAAAGCAUUAACACACGGUGAAUACAUGAACUCCUCAAACUACGGUCAUCACCGGGAGUGGUCCCGACUAAUGUCACUCCAGGGUUGCCGGAUCACAACACGUAGUAGGUGACUAUAACUUGCAAGAUCGGAUCCAGAACAUAGAUAUAAUGGUGAAAACAUAAACGGUUCAGAUCUGAAAUCAUGGCACCCGGGCCCAAAGUGACAAGCAUUAAGCAUGGCAAUGAAGGAAAUAUGCCCUAGAGGCAAUAAUAAAGUUGUUAUUUAUAUUUCCCUAUAUCAUGAUAAAUGUUUAUUAUUCAUGCUAGAAUUGUAUUAACCGGAAACUUAGUACAUGUGUGAAUACAUAGACAAACAGUGUGUCACUAGUAUGCCUCUACUUGACUAGCUCGUUGAAUCAAAGAUGGUUAAGUUUCCUAGCCAUAGACAUGAGUUGUCAUUUGAUUAACGGGAUCACAUCAUUAGAGAAUGAUGUGAUUGACUUGACCCAUUCCGUUAGCUUAGCACUUGAUCGUUUAGUAUGUUGCUAUUGCUUUCUUCAUGACUUAUACAUGUUCCUAUGACUAUGAGAUUAUGCAACUCCCGAAUACCGGAGGAACACUUUGUGUGCUACCAAACGUCACAAUGUAACUGGGUGAUUAUAAAGGUGCUCUACAGGUGUCUCCAAUGGUGUUUGUUGAGUUGGCAUAGAUCAAGAUUAGGAUUUGUCACUCCGAUUGUCACAGAGGUAUCUCUGGGCCCUCUCGGUAAUGCACAUUACUAUAAGCCUUGCAAGCAAUGUGACUAAUGAGUUAGUUGCGGGAUGAUGCAUUACGGAACGAGUAAAGAGACUUGCUGGUAACGAGAUUGAAGUAGGUAUUGAGAUACCGACGAUCGAAUCUCGGGCAAGUAACAUACCGAUGACAAAGGGAACAACGUAUGUUGUUAUGCGGUUUGACCGAUAAAGAUCUUCGUACAAUAUGUAGGAACCAAUAUGAGCAUCCAGGUUCCGCUAUUGUUUAUUGACUGGAGAUGAGUCUCGGUCAUGUCUACAUAGUUCUCGAACCCGUAGGGUCCGCACGCUUAACGUUCGGUGACGAUCGGUAUUAUGAGUUUAUGUGUUUUGAUGUACCGAAGGUAGUUCGGAGUCCCGGAUAUGAUCACGGACAUGACGAGGAGUCUCGAAAUGGUUGAGACAUAAAGAUCGAUAUAUUGGGUGACUAUGUUUGGACAUCGGAAAGGUUUCGAGAGAGUUCGGGCAUAUACCGAAGUACUGGGGGGUUACCGGAACCCCCCGGGGAGUAUAUGGGCCCUAAUGGGCUUUAGUGGAGAGAGAGAGGGGCAGCCAGGGCAGGCCGCGCACCCCCUCCCCCUCUGGUCCGAAUUGGACUAGGAAGGGGGGGCGGCGCCCCCCUUUCCUUCCUCCCUCUCUCCCCGUUCCUUCUCUGCUAGUCCAACAAGGGAAGGGGGAAUCCUACUCCCGGUGGGAGUAGGACUCCUCCAGGGAGCGCCAUAGAGGGCCGACCCUCCCCCUCCUCCACUCCUUUAUAUACGAGGGAGGGGGGCACCCCAUAGACACACAAGUUGAUCAUUGAUCUCUUAGCCGUGUGCAGUGUCCCCUCCACCAUAAUCCACCUCGGUCAUAUCAUUGCAGUGCUUUGGCGAAGCCUUGCACCGCUAGCUUCAUCAUCACCGUCAUCACGUCGUCGUGUUGACGAAGCUCUCCCUCGACACUCAGCUGGAUCGAGAGUUCAUGGGACGUCACCGAGCCGAAUGUGUGCAGAUCGCGGAGGUGCCGUACUUUCGGUACUAGGAUCGGUCGGAUCGUGAAGACGUACGACUACAUCAACCGCGUAGUCAUAACGCUUCCGCUUAUGGUCUGCGAGUGUACGUGGACUACACUCUCCCCUAUUGUUGCUAUGCACGACCAUGAUCUUGCGUGUGCGUAGGAUUUUUUUUUGAAAUUACUGUGUUCCCCAACAGUGGCAUCCGAGCCAGGUUUAUGCAUAGAUGUUAUAUGCACGAGUAGAACACAAGUGAGUUGUGGGCGAUAAUAGUCAUACUGCUUACCAGCAUGUCAUACUUUGAUUCGGCGGUAUUGUUGGAUGAAGCGGCCCGGACCGACAUUACGUGUACGCUUACGCAAGACUGGUUCUACCAACGUGCUUCGCACACAGGUGGCUGGCGGGUGUCAGUUUCUCCAACUUUAGUUGAAUCGAGUGUGGCUACGCCCGGUCCUUGUUGAAGGUUAAAACAACACAUACUUGACGAAAAAUCGUUGUGGUUUUGAUGCGUAGGUAAGAACGGUUCUUGCUCAGCCCGUAGCAGCCAUGUAAAACUUGCAACAACAAAGUAGAGGAUGUCUAACUUGUUUUUGCAGGGCAUGUUGCGAUGUGAUAUGGUCAAGACAUGAUGCUAAAUUUUAUUGUAUGAGAUGAUCAUGUUUUGUAACAGAGUUAUCGGCAACUGGCAGGAGCCAUAUGGUUGUCGCUUUAUUGUAUGAAAUGCAAUUGCCAUGUAAUUGCUUUACUUUAUCACUAAGCGGUAGUGAUAGUCGUAGAAGCAAUAGUUGGUGAGAUGACAACGAUGCUUCGAUGGAGAUCAAGGUGUCAAGCCGGUGACGAUGGUGAUCAUGACGGUGCUUUGGAGAUGGAGAUCAAAGGCACAAGAUGAUGAUGGCCAUAUCAUAUCACUUAUAUUGAUUGCAUGUGAUGUUUAUCCUUUAUGCGUCUUAUUUUGCUUAGUUCGGCGGUAGCAUUAUAAGAUGAUCUCUCACUAAAUCAAGGUACAAGUGUUCUCCCUGAGUAUGCACCAUUGCGAAAGUUCGUCGUGCCGAGACACCACGUGAUGAUCGGGUGUGAUAAGCUCUACGUUCACAUACAACGGGUGCAAGCCAGUUUUGCACACGCAGAAUACUCGGGCUAAACUUGAUGAGCCUAGCAUAUGUAGAUAUGGCCUCGGAACACUGAGACCGAAAGGUCGAGCGUGAAUCAUACAGUAGAUAUGAUCAACAUAGUGAUGUUCACCAUUGAAAACUACUCCAUCUCACGUGAUGAUCGGACAUGGUUUAGUUGAUUUGGAUCACUUAAUCACUUAGAUGAUUAGAGGGAUGUCUAUCUAAGUGGGAGUUCUUAAGUAAAAUGAUUAGUUGAACUUUAAUUUAUCAUGAACUUAGUACCUGAUAGUAUUUUGCAUGUCUAUGUUAUUGUAGAUAGAUGGCCCGUGUUGUUGUUCCGUUGAAUUUUAAUGCGUUCCUAGAGAAAGCUAAGUUGAAAGAUGAUGGUAGCAACUACACGGACUGGGUCCGUAACUUGAGGAUUAUCCUCAUUGCUGCACAGAAGAAUUACGUCCUGGAAGCACCGCUAGGUGCCAAACCCGCUGCAGGAGCAAUGCGAGAUGUUAUGAACGUCUGGCAGAGCAAAGCUGAUGACUACUCGAUAGUUCAGUGUGCCAUGCUUUACGGCUUAGAACCGGGACUUCAACGACGUUUUGAACGUCAUGGAGCAUAUGAGAUGUUCCAGGAGUUGAAGUUAAUAUUUCAAGAAAAUGCCCGGAUUGAGAGAUAUGAAGUCUCCAAUAAGUUCUACAACUACAAAAUGGAGGAUAAUAGUUCUGUCAAUGAGCAUAUACUCAAAAUGUCUGGGUAUAACAAUCACUUGAUUCAACUAGGAGUUAAUCUUCCUGAUGAUAGUGUCAUUGACAGAAUUCUUCAAUCACUGCCACCAAGCUACAAGAGCUUCGUGAUGAACUAUAAUAUGCAAGGGAUGGAUAAGACAAUUCCCGAGCUCUUCGCAAUGCUAAAGGCUGCAUAGGUAGAAAUCAAGAAAGAGCAUCAAGUGUUGAUGGUCAACAAGACCACCAGUUUCAAGAAAAAGGGUAAAGGGAAGAACGGGAACUUCAAGAGGAACGGCAAGCAAGUCGUUGAUCAAGUGAAGGAGCCCAAGUCUAGACCUAAACCUGAGACUGAGUGCUUCUACUGCAAAGGGGCUGGUCACUGGAAGCGGAACUGCCCCAUGUAUUUGGUGGAUAAGAAGGAUGGCAUGGUGAACAAAGGUAUAUGUGAUAUACAUGUUAUUGAUAUGUACCUUACUAAUGCUCGCAGUAGAGAGAGAGGGGCAGCCAGGGCAGGCCGCGCGCCCCCUUCCCCUCUGGUCCGAAUUGGACUAGGAAGGGGGGGCGACGCCCCCCUUUCCUUCCUCCCUCUCUCCCCCUUCCUUCUCUCCUAGUCCAACUAGGGAAGGGGGGAUCCUACUCCCGGUGGGAUUAGGACUCCUCUAGGGCGCGCCAUAGAGGGCCGACCCUCCCCCCUCCUCCACUCCUUUAUAUACGGGGAGGGGGCAACCCAUAGACACACAAGUUGAUCAUUGAUCUCUUAGCCAUGUGCGGUGCCCCCGUCCACCAUAAUCCACCUCGGUCAUAUCGUUGCAGUGCUUAGGUGAAGCCUUGCGCCGGUAGCUUCAUCAUCACCGUCAUCACGCCGUCGUGCUGAUGAAGCUCUCCGUCGACACUCGGCUAGAUCGAGAGUUCGUGGGACGUCAAGGAGCCAAACGUGUGCAGAUCGCGGAGGUGCCAUACUUUCGGUACUAGGAUCGGUCGGAUCGUGAAGACGUACGACGACAUCAACCGCGUUGUCAUAACGCUUCCGCUUACGGUCUACGAGGGUACAUGGACUACACUCUCCCCUCUCGUUGCUAUGCAUCGCCAUGAUCUUGCGUCUGCGUAGGAUUUUUUUUGAAAUUACUGUAUUCCCCAAUAGGCAGAGUCAUAGCAACAUCAAUCUCAGAGCAUAGUGGAUACUAGGGAUCAAGCCCUAACAAAACUGACUAGAUUACAUGAUGAAUCUCAUCCAACUCCUCACCGACCAGCGAGCCUACGAAGGAAUUACUCACUCCCGGUGGGGAGCAUCAUGGAAUUGGCGAUGGAAAAGGGUUGGUGAUGACGAAGAUCGAAGAUCCCCCUCUCCGGAGCCCCAGACGGACUCCAUAUCUGGCCUCCCGAGGAAGAACAGGAGGUGACGCCAGCUCCGUCUCGUGGAACGCGAUAAUUCUUUUCCCCUGAUUUUUUCUAGGAAAAUAGGAUUUAUAACGUAAGUUUCAGGGUCUGCGGGGCCACUAGGUGGGGACAACCCACCUUGGCGCGCCUGGAGGGGGGCGCCCUGGUGGGUCGUGCCCACCCAUGUGCCCCCUCCGGUGGUUCUUGGCUCCAGAAAUUCUCUUUAUUGAUAUAAAAGAUCCUCGCAAAGUUUCAUUCCAUUCCGAGAACUUUUAUUUCCGCACAAAAACAACACCAUGGUAGUUCUGCUGAAAACAGCGUCAGUCCGGGGUUAGUUUCAUUCAAAUCAUGCAAAUUAGAGUCCAAAACAAGAGGAAAAGCGUUAGGAAAAGUAGAUACAUUGGAGACGUAUCAACUCCCCCAAGCUUAAACCUUUUCUUGUCCUCAAGCAAUUCAGUUGACAAACUGCAAGUGAACAAGAAAAACUUUUACGAACUCUUUUGCUCUUGUUUGCAUAAAUAAGCUUAAACAACACCCAGGUUUUUAGCCAAUAUUAUAACUAACCAUGCGGACAAUAACUCUUAAAAAUUAUAUUAACUCAUAUCAAUGACAUAAUCAGCUAGCGAGCAAUAAUAAGAUAUCUCAAACAACAACACAUUAUCAAAACAACCAUGAUACAAUAUGACAAUAGUGGUAUCUUGCUAGCCCUUUCUGAGACCGCAAAACAUAAAUGCAGAGCACCUCCAAAGUCCAAGCAGCGACUAAACAUUGUAAUUCACGGUAGAAAAGAUCCAGUCAUGAUGCACCCAACAUUAGCUACACACAAUGCAUCAGCAUGACAACAGUGCUCUCAGGUUCUGACGCUUAUUUUAGAAGGUGAUGACACAACAUAAAAGUAAAUAGAUAGUCCCUUCGCAAAGGGAAGCAGUGAUUUGCAGCGGUGCCAGAGCUCAAGUUUCUAAAACAGAGGUAAAUGAAAUUUUGAGAAAUGCACCCUUCUUAUUUACUUCGCGACCAUCAGUUAUCAAUAUCUUCCAUGCUAAACACGCUAGUGGCGGUUCCCAAGCGAUAAAGUAAAGGUUAUGACUCCAUAGGAGUUAUUGUUUGAUUAUUUGUAAGCUUUUUCUUUUUGCAGUUUGGGACUGGGCAUCCCUAUUACCGCCCUUUUCUCGUGCAAUGGCGAGUGAAUAAACACUCAACCUGAGAAUAACCCGCAUAGCAUGGAAGAUACCAACUACCUCCUGUCGCUCCAUGAACAAUCCAGGCACACAAAAAGGAUAUUUAUUUGAAGUUUUUAGAGAUGGCACAUGCAAAUCUACUUAGGAUGGCAGGGUAAUACCGCAUAUAGGUAGGUCUGAUGGACUCAUCUGGAAUAACUUGGGUUAAAGGUUUUUUAUGCACAAGCAGAAUUUCCACUUAGUACAGGUGAAGGCUAGCAAUUAGGUUGAGAAGCGGCCAGCUAGAGAGCAACAACGGUCAUGAACAUGCAUUAUGCGUAAGUAACAUUGGAUGCUAGCAUGAGUAGGAUAUGAACACCAUGAACAUAAAUAUCAUAGAGGCUAUGUUGGUUUUGAUUCAACUUCAUGCAUUAAUAUGUGCCAAGUCAAGCCGCUCGAACAUUCAGAGGAGGAUACCAUAUCAUCAUACUACAUCACAAUCAUUUUUGCACAAUGUUGACAUCCAAGAUAAAUCAUUAUCAACUCCUAGCUACUUAUGCAUGGCAUGAGAGACUAUAAUAUCUAAUAGUCAUUGCAAACAUGUUUAAUCAUAAUGAGCUGAAUCAUGGAUACUAGGUUAAACAUAUUUACAAAAACUGAAAAAGUUGAGUUCAUACCCGUUUCUCUCUGCCAUGACCAGUUCAUCAACUAUCAUUAUUAUUGCCUUUCACUUGCACGACCGAACGAUAUGAAAAUAAUAAUAGUGCAAGAGUGCCGUGGACUAAGAUGGAAUCUGCAAACAUUUUAUUCAACAGGAGAAGACAAGGUAAAAUGGGCUCUUUGUUAGAUCAACAACAAUGCAAAUGAGAGCCACGACAACUAGAAUGAAAUGUGUGAACAUGAAUGUAAUGUCGAUGGAAAUACGCACUCCCCCAAGCUUAGGCUUUUGGCCUAACUUGGUAAUCAGUCAGUAGUCGAAGAAACCAUGAGGUCCCAUGUCAAACUGCUGAGGAGUGGGCACCUGUGGAUCCCACUGCGGAGGCUCCUCCUCUGCUGCAGCCUAGUUGUUCCGGUAGGCGAUGAUAUCUGCAGUCAUAAUCCUGUAUCCACCCCUGGCAAUGGGAUCAAACAGAGCAGGUGCAGGUAAUUAAUGGAAUAAUAUCACGAGUUCUCACACUGAAAACCAGGUUAUACGAAAUAGGGAUGUCAGGAUACUCAACAACAAUAAACUGGUGGUAUUCCAUAGCAGCGCGAUCUAGGUAAACUUUGGGAAAAUGAUAAUCAUGCAGGAGUAUGUGAACGUUAAAGCGAGCAGCCAAGCGAGUAGCGUAAAUACCACCAUGAAUUUUACCCUUGGCUUUAUUAAUAUGGAGGCGGCGUGCCACAAUAGCUCCCAAGCUAUAAGUGUUGUCACCUUCAAGUGCACGAUGUAAAACAGCAAGGUCUGGGGCACUAAGUGCACCCACCUUCUCUCUAGCAAGCAAGCAUUUUGCAAUGAAAAGAGCAAAAUAAUGAACAACGGGAAAAUGCAAGCCAGCGGCGGUGAUACUUGACACCCCUCUCUCAUCACCCACUAUUAGAGUACGAUAAAAGCCUUCAAACUUUGCCAGCCUAGGCUCUACCAAACCACCAUCAGGAGGAAGCAAGCAUAUUUCACAAAAUUCACUAAGUGGUAUAUGAUGGGGUUCAACAUAUAAAUUAAACUGCACUUCAGGGGGAUUAUUCCUAGAAAGGAAAGUAAAACUUUGCACAAAGUGAGGAGAUGAUACUGUUCACAUUCAGGUGCGAUGAAGUCGGUGAGGCCGGCAUUAGUAGCAUAUUGUGCAAACUCAUGAAGGAUUCCAGCCCCUUCCAUGAACGAGGUAUGCGGCCAUUCACACGGCCGUACUUACGCUAUUCUCUGGGUAUGGAGAUCACUGUCAGAUGACUCCGUAGUCACUCCCUUGGAGUUCUUCUUGUAAGAAAACUUCCUAAAGAUACUCAUGUUUUUCCUAUGAACAAAAAUUCUGAAAUUUUUAGUCCAUAAAAUUUUCUCAACAAAACUUUACAAGAUUGGUAGCAACUACUCAUAGGGAUGCAUAGAGGCCAUAGCAAGCAUUCAAACUACUUAAAACUCUAAGAAUUCAACAUGCGAGUUCAUCUACAGCAGCACCAAGGGUAGCUAAUUAUUCCAAAUAUAAACCACUAAAGCAAAAACUAAUUGGACAAACGAAGGAGUCACAUACCAAGCAACAAUCCCCCGAAACAGUUUCGGAAACGGAGCUUCGAGCAAAGAGAUCGAAAUCCGCGGGUUUGAGAUCAAGAACACGAGAGAGAGAGAGAGCAAUGGUGAUUUUUUUCCUGGUGGUAGGUGGUGAUGUGGGAUGAAGAGAUUAGUGGGGGGCCCACGUGGGGACCACAACCCACCAGGGCGCGCCUAGGGGUCCUGGUGCGCCCAGGUGGGUUGUGCCCACCUGGUGCACCUCCCUCUGAUAUUAUUUGCACCAAAAAUUCUUAAUUAUUCAGAAAAAAAUCGUAUUAAAUUUUCAGAGCAUUCUGAGAACUUUUAUUUUUGGGUCAUUUUUUUAUUCCACGGAUAAUUCAGAAAACAGACAAAACAUGGCAUUUUAUUUUAUUUAACUGAUAAAAGCAGAAAACAAAAGGUAGGGGCAGAAGGUAGUGCUUACUAAAUUCAUCAACUGCAUACCUCUCAAAAAUGAUCCAUUAAUAAGGUUGAUCAAGUCUUAUUAACAACCACUUUCGAUUAACAUGAAACCGAAGAACUAUCAUAAUUCACUAAGUUACCUCAAUGGGGAUAUGAAUAUCCCCAACAAUAAGCAUUUCACAUUUAUUUUUAACAGUAGAAAAGGUAGUUGAAAACUUCCAAUAGUGAUUGUCGGAGAUUUUUAAAUAACAUUAAUACCAUUCACUUGGAAUUGUUUUCUCGCAAAGUGCACCAUAUGCUCAUUACCAUUGAUAUGAAAAGUGACCUUGCUUUUAUUGCAAUCAAUAACAGCCCCUACAGUAUUCAAAAAGGGUCUACCAAGGAUAAUCGACAUGUUGUCGUCCUCGGGCAUCUCAAGUAUAACAAAGUCAGUCAAAAUAGUAACAUUAGCAACAACAACGGGCACAUCCUCACAAAUAUCGAUAGCUAUGGCAGUUGACUUGUCAGCCAUUUGCAAAGAUAUUUCAGUAGGUGUGAGUUUAUUCAAAUCAAGUCUUUUAUAUAAAGAGAAAGGCAUAACACUAACACCAGCUCCCAAAUCACAUAAAGCAGUUUUCACAUAAUUUCUUUUGAUGGAGCAAGGUAUAGUUGGCAUUCCUGGAUCUCCGAGUUUUUUAGGUACUCCAUCCUUAAAAGUAUAAUUAGCAAGCAUGAUGGAGAUUUCAGCUUCCGGUAUUUUUCUGUUAUUGGUGAUGAUGUCUGUGAUGCCCCCGAUUUGACCGUACACUAAUCAUGCACGCAAACGUGUACGAUCAAGAUCAGGGGCUCACGGGAAGAUAUCACAACACAACUCUAAAACAUAAAUAAAUCAUACAAGCAUCAUAAUACAAGCCAGGGGCCUCGAGGGCUCGAAUACAAUUGCUCGAUCAUAGACGAGUCAGCGGAAGCAACAAUAUCUGAGUACAGACCUAAGUUAAACAAGUUUGCCUUAAGAAGGCUAGCACAAAAGUAGCAACGAUCGAAAAGGCAAGGCCUCCUGCCUGAUACCUCCUAACUACUCCUGGUCGUCGUCGGCGGGCUGCACGUAGUAGGAGGCUCCUCCGGUGUAGUAGGAGUCAUCGCCGACGGUGGCGUCUAGCUCCUGGGCUCCAGCAUCUGGUUGCGACAACCAGGUAGAAAGGAAAGGGGGAAAAGAGGGAGAAAAGCAACCGUGAGUACUCAUCCAAAGUACUCGCAAGCAGCUACACUACAUAAGCAUGGGUAUAUGUGUAAAGGGCAAUAUCGGUGGACUGAACUGCAGAAUGCCAGAAUAAAAGGGGGAUAGCUAAUCAUGUCGAAGACUACGCUUCUGGCCACCUCCAUCUUGCAGCAUGUAGAAGAGAGUAGAUGGUAAGUUCACCAAGUAGCAUCGCAUAGCAUAAUCCUACCCGGCAAUCCCCUCCUCGUCGCCCUGUUAGAGAGCGAUCACCUGGUUAUAUCUGGCACUUGGAAGGGUGUGUUUUAUUAAGUAUCCAGUUCUAGUUGUCAUAAGGUCAAGGUACAAAUCCGAGUCGUCCUUUUACCGAGGGACACGGCUAUUCGAAUAGAUAAACUUCCCAGCAGGGGUGCACCACAUAACCCAACACGCUCGAUCCCAUUUGGCCGGACACACUUUUCUAGGUCAUGCCUGGCCUCGGAAGAUCAACACGUCGCAGCCCCACCUAGGCUCAACAGAGAGGUCAGCACGCGGUCUGAACCCUAUGCGCGCAGGGGUCUGGGCCCAUCACCCAUUGCACGCCUGCACGUUGCGUACGCGGGCGGAAGCAGACCUAGCCCCCUUAAUACAAGCGCGAGCUUACGGUCCAAUGCGGUGCGCGCCACUCAGUCGCUGACGUCGAAAAGAGCUUCGGCUGAUACCACGACGUCGAGUGCCCAUAACUGUUCCCGCGUAGCUGGUUAGUGCGUAUAGACCAAAUGGCCAGACUCAGAUCAAAUACCAAGAACUUGUUAAUUGUGUUAUUUUGAAGUAACCGCGGACGCCGUCCAGGGCCAGGCCCACCUCUCACCUAGGCGGUCUCAACCUGCCCUGUCGCUCCGCCACAAAGUAACAGUCGGGGGUCGUCAGGAACCCAGGCCCACCUCUACCGGGAUGGAGCCACCUGUCCUUUCAGCCCCCUCAUCAGAAUCACUUGCGGGUACUCAACGAGCCGACCCGACUUUAGUCACCACAUGUGUCAUGUAUAUAAAGUAUAUAGUACAUACCCGUGAUCACCUCCCGAAGUGAUCACGGCCCAGUAGUAUAGCAUGGCAAACGGACAAGAGUGUAGGGCCACUGAUGGAACACUAGCAUCCUAUACUAAGCAGUAGGAUAGCAGGUAAGGGUAACAACUGUAGCAACAAUGACAGGCUAUGCAUCAGGAUAGGAUUAACGGAAAGCAGUAACAUGCUACACUACUCUAAUGCAAGCAGUAUAGAGAAGAAUAGGCAAUAUCUGGUGAUCAAGGGGGGGGGCUUGCCUGGUUGCUUAGACAAGGAGUGGUCGUCAACACCGUAGUCGAACUGGGGGUCGCCGACAGUCUUGGGGUCUACCGGAAAGAAGUAACGAAGGGGGAACACAAUAAAUAACAGAGCAAUCAAAGCAUCAGAAAGUGUAACAUGGCUUUACGCGGUGCUAGAGGUGACCUAACGUAGUAGUAGGUGCUACUGGCGAAGAGGGGAAACAUUCGGGAAAGUAUUCCCGAUGUUUCGCGUUUUCGGACAGAUGGACCGGAGGUGAAAUGUUGCAGGUUCACUAUGCUAGGGACAUGUGGUGAACGAACGGACUGCGUAUUCGGAUUCGUCUCGUCGUUUUGAGCAACUUUCAUGUACAAAGUAUUUUCAUCCGAGCUACGGAUUAUUUUAUAUUAAUUUAUAAAGAUUUAAACAUUUUCUAAAUUUUAAUAAAUUAAUUUAAUUCGAAAUUUAAUUAAUGCAUCAGCAUGACGUCAGCAGUCAACGUUGACCAUUGACCUGGUCAACCGGAUAGGUGGGUCCCACCUGUCAGGGGCUGUUAGCUAAUUAACAGUAGUUAAUUAGGUUAAUUAGUUAUUAGGUUAAUUAAUCUUAAUUAGUUAACAUUAACAUGAUUAAUUAAGUUAAUUAAUUAUCUUAAUUAAUUAUCUUAAUUAUUUAUUUAUUUUUAUUAAUUAAUUUUUUUAAUCCUUUUUUAUAUACGUUCUGAGGGGUGCGGCCCCACAUGUCAUAGGGCCAGGGGGAACUGGCCCAGUGGUAAGUGGCCCUGGCCAUAGCGGGCACGGGCGCACGGGCGCUAGCCCGACUUGGCACUGGCCAGGCCAGUCACGGCGAGGCUCGCCGGCCGGAGCAGCAGCAGGCAGCGACUGCGGCGGAGCGGGAGCAACGGGGCGAGGCCGCGGAGCGAGGGCGGCGAGUGCGGGAAGCGGCGGCGAGCGCGACGCGCGGUUCGGCGGCUCCCGGCAGCAAGCGGAUGGUGCGGUGGCGCGGGCGAGCGCCGGCGUGAGGGCACGGGGAGGAGGAGGAGGAGGAUCGGGGUACUCACCUGCGUUGGUGAGCAGGGGGCGGCGAGGCUCGGUGGAGCCUUUGGGGAGGAGGACGGGGAUGCGUCAUCGGCGAGGAGGAGACGAGGAGGACGAGGCGAUGGGCGGUGGUGGGGUCCGGAGAGGAGGAGGCCGUGGCACGGGCGCGAGGGAGGGAGGUCGUCGCCGGCGGGUGGCUCGUCCACUGCAGCAGGGUCGCCGGGCGGCGCGGGACUCGAGCACGGAGCCAGGGCGGCGGCAGGGCGCAGGGCAAGGCGCGGAGGCGACGCCGAUGAGGUGGUGGUGAGCGGCGACGGUGCGGCGUCGGGGCUUGGGGUGCCGCGGGGUCGAGCCCCCGAUCCAGCUCGUAUCGAGGGGGCGGGCGUUGUGCGGGAGGAGUCGGAGAGGCGGGCGGGAGACGGGUGGCGGAGCGCGGCCAUCGGGGCGGCACCUGCGGCAGCGGCCGCGUGCGCUGGGUGGGGGGGUCGAUCCCCUUCCAGAUUGGAUCGAGUGAGGGAGAGAGGAGCGACCGAGAGAGAGGGGAUCGUGGGGAGCGAGUGGGGUUGUCGGUUACCCUAGGGUUUCUGGUCGGGGUGGGAUUAAGGGAAGCGAGGAGGGGCCGGCUGGGCCGGCCUGGUCGGCUGAGCCGACUGGGCCAAGAGGCCUAGUGGGGAAGGGGGGCCUUUUGUUUUUUUUUUAGUUUUGAUUUUCCUUUAUUUAUUUUAUUUCUUUUUUCUGUUUUAGCUUAGUUUCCUUUUAUUUUUGUUUUAGAAAAAUACCAAAAUGGCACCUAAUUUGAUGUUACCAAAUAUGCCACACCCACACUAACUUGCUACCCAAACUAAAAUAGUUUCAUAAUUAUUUGUUAUUUAAAAGUAUUUAAAUAAUAGUUUUUGCUACUGUUUUAUUCAUCUUAUUGCAUUUAAACGUUUUAUAAAAGUAGGGUUUCUUCACCUUAAUCACCUAUGCAUUAUCUAGCACAAACUGAACAUUUUAGUUUUAAUAUUUGAAAGCUUUUGAUGUUUGCCCCUAUUUUGAAUUUGAAUUUGAAUCGGUUUCGAACUAACGCGAGAUUAGCAACAGUAAUCGAGGUGACGUGGCAUCAUUAGCAAAGGUUACUGUAGCUUGAUUAUCCGGGCGUCACAAUUCUCCUCCACUACAAGAAAUCUCGUCCCGAGAUUUAAGAGGUAGAGAAGGGGGGAAGGUCUAGUUACGAAAUUCUAACGGAUCUUCUCGGCCUUGGUUGCUCUUCUCGAAGAGGUCGAUCCAUUACAUUGACGUCUGCAUUUCUCUGCUUCAGGUCAUCAUGCUGAAGUCGGCAUCCUUCCUUCUGGAACUCAAUCGUACUUACGAAUGUAUAAAGGGGGUAUUCCGGGACAACGGACCUCUGCAAGGUUGACUAUCUAGUAGCUAAUAUCUGGGAAGGUGGCGGAAAGUAACUCUCGAACUGGAACUUUAAGAUGAUAUCGAGAGUAAAGUAAGGAGGUAUCAUGGGAAGUUUCAAGCAGGUAGGCAAUCGUUCGAUGCCUGAAACAAAGUGUAAAAGGGGUCCAGGGCAAUGGGAAUAAGUUUUGUGUCUGAUACCAGAAUAGAUGACUAGGAAGGUGGCCCAUGAAUUAAAUACGAAGCCAAGCGUGGGGAAUAACCAUUAGAAACAGGGUUGUAUAGGAGAGUCAGGUUUCGAUCCUAUGGAACUGUGGGUUAUGGGCCCACCAUGUGGUUUUUUUAUAGGAGCAGUGACAUCUUGCACGGUCAUGAUAGCAAGGCAUGUCAGAGAGUACCCUGUCAGUUAUGUCGGCAACACGUUGGUACCAAGGGCGAGGGACGAAGAGAACCAUUUUCCGGCUCAUUGAACGAGGCGGACCAAUAGGCAAAGUUCUCAUCCAUCGGUGGCUACCGAAAUGUCAUCAACAAAAGUAACAUGGUCUACUGAGAGAGUGGUACAACGAGGUGCUCAACUAAGCAGGGAAUUAUCUCUGCUCAGCGAAGUCAGAUUACAAGAAAGGUUAAACAAAACAAUGGAAAGGAAAAUAUGAUUAUCAGAGUAAACAGAACAAUGGAAAGGAAAAUGUGUUUAAACACAUAUUUCAAGGGUAUAUCCUUCCCAAGGACAAGCAGAGCAUGAUAUCCAUGACAGGAUAUAAUGUAGAAAACUCUUUUAGGUACGGGAGAGAAUUUUCAUGACAAUACCCAUACGGCGGUGUUUGGAUAAUUGAGCAGGAAACAUUUAGCAUUGGGCUUCAAAUGUUCCUGUUGAAAAUCGGAGUACCAUAGACAUGCUUCGAGAUAGCAUUGACAUGGUCAACAGGUGAAGAUCAGACUUUGGAAACAAAAAGGAUCCAUCAGGAACAACCUAUAGAGUAAGUCUUACAAUUUCCUCACGGAAGAAUGACUAACCUUGCCAAAAAGGAAACUAUAACAAUAGGUCCUCCGGCCAGGUGUGCUAGGCGUGACAUCACCUUACCGGGUCAUAUAAAGACCAAUGUUAUAACUCUUGGAAAUAUGUUCCAACCAUCAUAUCUGUCCGAGAUUCGGUUAUGAUUGGUGUCAGGAUAACUCAGACUCAGGAUGCCUGAGAAGAAAGGUGCAACACAAAUUGUCGAGAUGACAUUGUAAGAUUCUCGAGAAUUGAACUAUUGAAGCGAGUUCCAAAGAGUUCAUCAUUAAAUCAAGGAGAGGGUGAGGGGGUGGCUGAUGGACUCAGCGACAAUUCCUCCAGAUUUCCAAAAGAUGGAUUUCCACAAGUAUGUCAACAAGGAGAUAACAUUUGUCAAUUCAAAUGGUAUAAUGAUGUAUGCUCGAGGAAAACAUACACAAUUAAACAUUGGUUGAAAGGUGCACCCGAAAUAUGGGCUGGGUUGCAUGACCAACGUCGGAAUGGUGAUUCAAUAAUCAAUAGUCUAAGAAUGAACGUCCGACCAUUAACUUCGAAGGAAUAGGGUUGCUAGAAGGGCAGAAUCCAAACAGCACCGCUCACUUGUUGGUACCCCGGUUGGAAUCAACACCAGGACCCCAGAAAGAAUGGUGAUGGUGAGAAGUAUCACCAUACCAAGAAUUCUUAAGAGGUGGUGACAUUCUCACAACAUAGAUGACAUAAGAGAUGUUAAUGUUCCAAGGUAAAGAAGAACAAUUGCUGGAUAGCAAGGAACUCAAGGUAUAACACCAAACACGAACAAGCUUGUGUUGGUGGGAAGGCAAUAAAGUGGUCGAUGAUAACACAGAUCAUCGAGGGCAAGGAUGGUAUUUCUCAUCAUGAACUCAAUUGAUAUCCUGGAAGAGCUCAUAAGGUUGAUGACGAUCACGACACAUUUGCCAAGAGAUUUCAUGAAGGUGUAAUCGAUCGGCGAUGACAUCAAGUCAAAGGAAUGAUGAAGCGAAAGUUUAUUGAAACCACGGGUACGACACAAACUCGAGACCAAGCUUGUUGUCCAAGGAGAAAUGAUAAGACGAUGAAGUUCGACGUAAGCUUAGCUCAUCGUCGAAAAGUUGUGUUCCGGGAAUAAGGACCAGGUAGCACAGUUAAAAUCGGCACGAUAAUGACAUAGCCGAGCGGGCUAGGGAUGACGUGAUCGAGUACAAACUCGUAAGCAAAGGAGAUUACUAAGAGUUGUUUAAUCGUGAUGCGGACUCGAUUCAGUUAUCGAUGUCCUUGAGUGUUUAAUAACUCGGAGCCCGUGAAAAAUUGGAAUCAGUGAGAAUAUUAGUUGAUGAAGAACUCACAAGAAGUUAUGUAGUUCCAUGGUAUUCUCGAGAUACUUGAGGGUACUACUCAAGGGAAGAUCAGCAUAGAAACUGAACUGGAGUGCAGACUUGCAAUAGCAGAUACUUUAAUUUUGUCAUGAUAGAUGAGGCAAUGGAAUGGUUUCCUUCCAGAUGUAUUGAAUAAGGUUAGAAUGGUUGAAACCAUAACUGCAAGGGAUCCAAUUUACUACAUCGGAAGAAUUAUUCGAAUGUUUAAAUAUUCUUGCAAGAAGCUUUCAUGAUAAGUUCCACAUCGUGUCCGUGGGCAUGAACACAAAUGUUCAAGGUCGACUCCCACUUCUGCAAUGCAUAACCUUUCAUUCACUUCUCGUUUACGAAGAAGUUGUAGUGCUAAAAUUUUAUCUGGCGAAGCACCAGAAGAGUAUGACUCGUGAAAACUUUCGGGUUCACACGGAUUAGAGAAGGCUUCAACCCAUAUGGGCAUCUUGGGAACAUAUACCGCAAACUUCAGGAGUAAAUAAAACAAGCUUGAAAGGAGAGUAUUGUUGACAAAGCAUAGGAUACAAUUCACCAAAGGCAUUAUGUAUCCGAGAAAAGACUCACAAAGUUAUUGAAUAUGAAGGACGUCGUCGGAUAAAAUCCAACAAGGCUAUGAUGGUCCAUAAAGGAUCUGAUGUGAGUAUCGGCACACAACCAGAGGAAGAAUCAAUGCAAAGACCUUGGAUUAUAGAAACAACUAAUUAACUUAGAGUCCAAUUGCAAAGGAUUUAUGAUUUACAAAGCGAAGGAUCAGAAACAGACGCUCUGAUCAAGGAUGGAUAAGUUCAAUAGACAUAGGGGCACAAUCGAAGACAAUUUGAUUGGGGGAGAACCAACUCACGUUUCAAAUGACGUCUGAGCCGGAAGGAUGAAUUCUAGGAUCUGAUUGAGGAUUGCGAGCAUUCGCAACAAAUUGAAUCAACGGACUCAAAAUGAUAAUGACAAGAGAUGCCAAUAAGAUUACGAGACUUAAGAUUAAUCAUAAUGCAAGUAAGCAAGAAUUUCAAGAGCAAAAAGGCUCCUGAAGAUUUUCGGAAGAUCGAAUGAUAUUUUGAACACUUUUGUGAAAUACUUGAAUCAACUGGGGAUGAGCGGAUACUCGGUAAGUGCGAGAAUUAUCCGUAGGGGUAUUCCGGUGACAAAGAACAGCAAGGUAGUAAGCUCAAAGGAUUCUCGUAACAACAGAGAGAAUUACGGGGUAUCUUGUAGUAACAAGAUCAACCGGGAAACAUUGUAUCAAUAGCGAGUAUACGUGGUUAUCCAUAGGAGUUUACCGAUGAAAGGGAAUUGCAAAAGCGAUGAACACAAGUUCUCGGGUUAUCAGCGGAGAGUAUCUUCAGGGUCUUCACGUGCAGCAGACGAUCAUCAGCAAUAAGGGGCUCUCCGGGUGAAAGUGAUAACGAGAUCCUAAUGUUAGAUUUAGCAAAAUUCACUUAACCCGAAUAGAAGAGAGAUCAGAGUCCCAGAGUAUAGACAAGGAGUAAAAGAUCCUAAUACCACCCAAUGGCGACGUGGGCCCGUAAGCCACACAGCCAUGUUAGUAAAAGUUUUUGCAAUGUCUAGACUCGACUUCGGCCAAGGAGUUGGAAAGGGGGAUUCCUACAGGCAGUUGGCUCUGAUACCAACUUGUGACGCCCCCGAUUUGACCGUACACUAAUCAUGCACGCAAACGUGUACGAUCAAGAUCAGGGACUCACGGGAAGAUAUCACAACACAACUCUAAAACAUAAAUAAGUCAUACAAGCAUCAUAAUACAAGCCAGGGGCCUCGAGGGCUCGAAUACAAUUGCUCGAUCAUAGACGAGUCAGCGGAUGCAACAAUAUCUGAGUACAGACCUAAGUUAAACAAGUUCGCCUUAAGAAGGCUAGCACAAAAGUAGCAACGAUCGAAAAGGCAAGGCCUCCUGCCUGGGACCUCCUAACUACUCCUGGUCGUCGUCAGCGGGCUGCAAGUAGUAGUAGGCUCCUCCGGUGUAGUAGGAGUCGUCUCCGACGGUGGCGUCUGGCUCCUGGGCUCCAGCAUCUGGUUGCGACAACCAGGUAGAAAGGAAAGUGGGAAAAGAGGGAGAAAAUCAACCGUGAGUACUCAUCCAAAGUACUCGCAAGCAAGGAGCUACACUACAUAUGCAUGGGUAUAUGUGUAAAGGGCCAUAUCGGUGGACUGAACUGCGGAAUGCCAGAAUAAAAGGGGGAUAGCUAAUCCUGUCGAAGACUACGCUUCUGGCCACCUCCAUCUUGCAGCAUGUAGAAGAGAGUAGAUGGUAAGUUCACCAAGUAGCAUCGCAUAGCAUAAUCCUACCCGGCGAUCCCCUCCUCGUCGCCCUGUUAGAGAGCGAUCACCGGGUUAUAUCUGGCACUUGGAAGGGUGUGUUUUAUUAAGUAUCCAGUUCUAGUUGUCAUAAGGUCAAGGUACAACUCCAGGUCGUCCAUUUACCGAGGGACACGGCUAUUCGAAUAGAUAAACUUCCCUGCAGGGGUGCACCACAUAACCCAACACGCUCGAUCCCAUUUGGCCGGUCACACUUUUCUGGGUCAUGCCCGGCCUCGGAAGAUCAACACGUUGCAGCCCCACCUAGGCUCAACACAGAGGUCAGCACGCCGGUCUAAACCCUAUGUGCGCAGGGGUCUGGGCCUAUCGCCCAUUGCACACCUGCACGUUGCGUACGCGGCCGGAAGCAGACCUAGCCCCCUUAAUACAAGCGCGAGCUUACGGUCCAAUGCGGCACGCGCCACUCAGUCGCUGACGUCAAAAAGAGCUUCGGCUGAUACCACGACGUCGAGUGCCCAUAACUGUUCCCGCGUAGCUGGUUAGUGCGUAUAGACCAAAUGGCCAGACUCAGAUCAAAUACCAAGAACUCGUUAAGCAUGUUAUUUUGAAGUAACCGCGGACGCCGUCCAGGGCCAGGCCCACCUCUCACCUAGGCAGUCUCAACCUGCCCUGUCGCUCCGCCACAAAGUAACAGUCGGUGGCCGUCAGGAACCCAGGCCCACCUCUACCGGGAUGGAGCCACCUGUCCUUUCAGCCCCCUCAUCAGAAUCACUUGCGGGUACUCAACGAGCCGACUCGACUUUAGUCACCACAUGUGUCAUGUAUAUAAAGUAUAUUGUACAUACCCGUGAUCACCUCCCGAAGUGAUCACGGCCCAGUAGUAUAGCAUGGCAGACGGACAAGAGUGUAGGGCCACUGAUGGAACACUAGCAUCCUAUACUAAGCAGUAGGAUAGCAGGUAAGGGUAACAACUGUAGCAACAAUGACAGGCUAUGCAUCAGGAUAGGAUUAACGGAAAGCAGUAACAUGCUACACUACUCUAAUGCAAGCAGUAUAGAGAAGAAUAGGCGAUAUCUGGUGAUCAAGGGGGGGGCUUGCCUGGUUGCUUAGACAAGGAGUGGUCGUCAACACCGUAGUCGAACUGGGGGUCGCCGACAGUCUCGGGGGCUACCGGAAAGAAGUAACGAAGGGGGAACACAAUAAAUAACAGAGCAAUCAAAGCAUCACAAAGUGUAACAUGGCUUUACGCGGUGCUAGAGGUGACCUAACGUAGUAGUAGGUGCUACUGGCGAAGGCGGGAAACAUCCGGGAAAGUAUUCCCGAUGUUUCGCAUUUUCGGACAGAUGGACCGAAGGUGAAAUGUUGCAGGUUCACUAUGCUAGGGACGUGUGGUGAACGAACGGACUGCGUAUUCGGAUUCAUCUCGUCGUUCUGAGCAACUUUCAUGUACAAAGUAUUUUCAUCCGAGCUACGGAUUAUUUUAUAUUAAUUUAUAAAGAUUUAAACAUUUUCUAAAUUUUAAUAAAUUAAUUUAAUCCAAAAUUUAAUUAAUGCAUCAGCAUGACGUCAGCAUGAUGUCAGCAGUCAACUUUGACCGUUGACCUGGUCAACCGGACAGGUGGGUCCCACCUGUCAGGGGCUGUUAGCUAAUUAACAGUAGUUAAUUAGGUUAAUUAGUUAUUAGGUUAAUUAAUCUUAAUUAGUUAAUAUUAACAGGAUUAAUUAAGUUAAUUAAUUAUCUUAAUUAAUUAUCUUAAUUAAUUAUCUUUAUUAUUUAUUUAUUUAUUUAUUUUUAUUAAUUAAUUUUUUUAAAUCCUUUUUUAUAUACGUUCUGAGGGGUGCGGCCCCACAUGUCAUAGGGCCAGGGGAACUGGCCCAGUGGUAAGUGGCCCUGGCCAUAGCAGGCACGGGCGCAUGGGCGCUAGCCCGACUGGGCACUGGCCAGGCCAGCCACGGCGAGGCUCACCAGCCGGAGCAGCAGCAGGCAGCGACUGCGGCGGAGCGGGAGCAAGGGGGCGAGGCCGCGGAGCGAGGGCGGCGAGUGCGGGAAGCGGCGGCGAGCGCGACGCGCGGUUCGGCGGCUCCCGGCAGCAAGCGGAUGGUGCGGUGGCGCGGGCGAGCGCCAGCGUGAGGGCACGGGGAGGAGGAGGAGGACCGGGGUCCUCACCUGCGUUGGUGAGCAGGGGCGGCGAGGCUCGGUGGAGCCUUUGGGGAGGAGGACGGGGAUGCAUCAUCGGCGAGGAGGAGACGAGGAGGACGAGGCGACGGGUGGUGGUGGGGUCCGGUGAGGAGGAGGUCGUGGCACGGGUGCGAGGGAGGGAGGUCGUCGCCGGCGGGUGGCUCGUCCACCGCAGCAGGGUCGUCGGGCGGCGCGGGACUCGAGCACGGAGCCAGGGCGGCGGCAGGGCGCAGGGCGAGGUGUGGGGCGACGUCGGGGCGAGGCGGGGAGGCGACGCCGACGAGGUGGUGGUGAGCGGCGACNNNNNNNNNNNNNNNNNNNNNNNNNNNNNNNNNNNNNNNNNNNNNNNNNNNNNNNNNNNNNNNNNNNNNNNNNNNNNNNNNNNNNNNNNNNNNNNNNNNNNNNNNNNNNNNNNNNNNNNNNNNNNNNNNNNNNNNNNNNNNNNNNNNNNNNNNNNNNNNNNNNNNNNNNNNNNNNNNNNNNNNNNNNNNNNNNNNNNNNNNNNNNNNNNNNNNNNNNNNNNNNNNNNNNNNNNNNNNNNNNNNNNNNNNNNNNNNNNNNNNNNNNNNNNNNNNNNNNNNNNNNNNNNNNNNNNNNNNNNNNNNNNNNNNNNNNNNNNNNNNNNNNNNNNNNNUGCGGCGUCGGGGCUUGGGGUGCCGCGGGGUCGAGCCCCCGAUCCAGCUCGUAUCGAGGGGCCGGGCGUUGUGCGGGAGGAGUCGGAGAGGCGGGCGGGAGACAGGUGGCGGGGCGCGGCCAUCGGGGCUGCACCAGCGGCAGCGGCCGCGUGCGCUGGGUGGGGGGGGUCGAUCCCCUUCCAGAUUGGAUCGGGUGAGGGAGAGAGGAGCGACCGAGAGAGAGGGGAUCGUGGGGAGCGAGUGGGGUUGUCGGUUACCCUAGGGUUUCUGGUCGGGGUGGGAUUAAGGGAAGCGAGGAGGGGCCGGCUGGGCCGGCCUGGUCGGCUGAGCCGACUGGGCCAAGAGGCCUAGUGGGGAAGGGGGCCUUUUGUUUUUUUGUUUUUAGUUUUGAUUUUCCUUUAUUUAUUUUAUUUCUUUUUUCUGUUUUAGCUUAGUUUCCUUUUAUUUUUGUUUUAGAAAAAUACCAAAAUUGCACCUAAUUUGAUGUUACCAAAUAUGCCACACCCACACUAACUUGCUACCCAAACUAAAAUAGUUUCGUAAUUAUUUGUUAUUUAAAAGUAUUAAAUAAUAGUUUUUGCUACUGUUUUAUUCAUCUUAUUGCAUUUAAACGUUUUAUAAAAGUAGGGUUUCUUCACCUUAAUCACCUAUGCAUUAUUUGGCACAAACUGAACAUUUUAGUUUUAAUAUUUGAAAGCUUUUGAUGUUUGCCCCUAUUUUGAAUUUGAAUUUGAAUCGGUUUCGAACUAACGCGAGAUUAGCAACUGUAAUCGAGGUGACGUGGCAUCAUUAGCAAAGGUUACUGUAGCUUGAUUAUCCGGGCGUCACAAUGUCUUUCAUAUACUUUGCAUAAGGAGGCAUUUUAAGGAUAUCAGUCAAGCGAGUGCGCAAAAAGACUAGCCUCAGCAUUUCAGCAAAGCGUUCAAAUUCUUCAUCAUCUUUCUUUUUAGUUGACUUAGAUGCGAAGGGCAUAGGCUUUUGAACCCAUGGUUCUCUUUCUUUACCAUGUUUUCUAGCAACAAAUUCUCUUUUAUCAUAUCUUUUAUUCUUAGGUUGUGGGUUAUCAAGAUCAAUUGCAGGUUCUAUCUCAACAUCAUUGUCUGGUUCUUUAUUAUUUGGUUGAGUGUAUUCAUGAACCUCAUCAUUAUAUUUUCAUUAUCAUAAGGUGAGUGUUCAUGUUACGCCCAUGAUGCGGCUAUAUCUCCCACGUGUCGAGGCACGACUUAGAGGCAUAACCGCAUUGUGGUUUAGUCGCAAGAAGGGUCAUCUUCGCACAAUCCCAUGUAAUGAACAAGAAAGGGAUAAAGAGUUGGCUUACAAUCGCCACUUCACACAAAACAUAAAUAAAAUCAUACAUCAUUCAGAGAACACACAUAGGUCCGACUACGGAACCAAAAGAAAAGAAGACAACCCAACUACUAGAUCCCCGAUCGUCCCAACUGGGCACCACUACUGAUCAAUAUGAAAAGAAACAACACAACGAACAAGAUCUUCAUCGAGCUCCCACUUGAGCUCGGUUUGGAAGUAUCUGUGAGUCACGAGGACUCAGCAAUCUCACACCCGCGAGAUCAAGACUAUUUAAGCUUAUAGGAAGGAAAGGGUAGUGAGGUGGAGCUGCAGCAAGCACUAGCAUGUAUGGUGGCUAACAUACGCAAAUGAGAGCGAGAAGAGGAGCAAAGGAAUGGUCGUCAACUAGUAAUGAUCAAGAAGUGAUCCUGAAUUCCUACUUACGUCAAACAUAACCCAGAAACCGUGUUCACUUCCUGGACUCCGCCGAGAAGAGACCAUCACGGCUACACACGCGGUUGAUGUAUUUUAAUUAUGUCAAGUGUCAAGUUCUCUACAACCGAAUAUUAACAAAUUCUCAUCUGCCACAUAACCGCGGGCACGGCUCUCGAAAGUUUAUACCCUGCAGGGGUGUCCCAACUAUGCCCAUUAUAAGCUCUCACGGUCAACGAAGGAUAUUCCCUCUCCCGGGAAGACCCGAUCAGUCUCGGAAUCCCGGUUACAAGACAUUUCGACAAUGGUAAAACAAGUCCAGCAAAGCCGCCCGAUGUGUCGACAAUCCCGAUAGGAGUCGCACGUAUCACAUUCUCAGGACACACCGGAUAAGCGAAGCGUACAGGUACCGACGUAACCCAAGUUGCCAAGGGAUGGUCCCGCACGGUGCUCUAGUUUGGACCAACACUUAGACAAGCACUGGCCCAGGGGGUAAAAUAAAGAUGACCCUCGGGAUGUGCGACUCCCAAGGGAAAAAGGCUAGGUAAGGAAAAUGUAAAACCAAGGUUGGGCCUUGCUGGAAGAGUUUUAUUCAAAGCGAACUGUCAAGGGGGUCCCAUAAAUCACCCCACCGCGUUAGGAACGCAAAAUCAAGGAACAUAACACCGGUAUGAUGGAACUAGGGCGGCAAGAGUGGAACAAAACACCAGGCAUAUGGCCGAGCCUUCCGCCCUUUACCAAGUAUAUAGACGCAUUAAUAAUAUAAGAUAUAUUGUGAUAUCCUAACAUAAACAUAAACCAACAUGGAGCAAUCUUCAUCUUCACCUGCAACUAGCAACGCUAUAAGAGGGGCUGAGCAAAAGCGGUAACAUAGCCAAACAACGGUUUGCUAGGAAGGGUGACAAAGGUUAGAGGUUCAUGGCAAUAUGGGAGGCAUGAAAUAGCAAGUGGUAGGUAGCGCUGCAUAGCAAUAGAGCGAACAACUAGCAAGCAAAGAUAGAAGUGAUUUCGAGGGUAUGUUCAUCUUGCCUGAGAUCCCGCAAGGAAGAAGAACGAGUCCAUGAAGAAGACAAACGGACGGAGUCGAACGAAUCCUCACAACUCCGGAAAGAAACCGAAGCUAACGAGAGAAGCAACCCAGAAAGAAACAAACAACAAAGUAAACAACCACCACAUACACAUGGGAUGAUGCACAAACAAGUAUGAUGCAUGUCCGGUUUAAAGAGGCAUGGCAUGGCAAAGUGCACAAACGGAACUACCAGUUAAGUGGAGCUCAAUAUGCAACGAGGUGCAUAUUGACGAAACACCACAUCAAUUAUUUAGUUCUCUCGGUUAUGUACCCAACAAUAUUAAAUGUUGAUUAACAUGGCAAGAGGUGAAGCAUAAGUAAACUAACUAUCUAGGCAAUUUAAAUGAGGCCGGAACAACAAACAAUAAUUCCGGAAAAUCAUCAUGUCAUUUAGCAAUUUUAAUGCAAACAUCAAUUGUAAACAUUUAAAUGUUGUUAUCAUGAUGCGAAUGACAUAUGCAAGUUUUUAAGCAAUUUUAUAAAACGUGGACAAGAGCAUGUUAUGAAGCAUUUGUUACCGUGGUGGAACGAAAAAGGGUGCCACGGCAACGAUAAUGAAAAUGAUGCCACGGCAACAUAUCGGUUCCGAUAGCUGAUGGAGAUACCGGCGCAAAAGAGAAUUGUGCGGAUGUGUGGAACACGCAAUAGAUGGUGGGGUGCUCCCGGUAACCGGGUUCCCACGGUUCGGCGACAUGGCAAGGAAACGAGUGACAGCGUGCGACGAACAAGUCGGGCACGGUGCAAACGCAAGCAACUCAAACAACACAUGCUUUCGUUCCACGGACGUCGUCUCGGGUUAUACCUUCGAGGCGUGACUUUUCGGAACGGAUCAAGUUCGUAGAGGAAGUAGUUGUACACGGCGACGGUAUUAGAAGUAGUGGUUCACAUCUCGCAAUCGUGCAAACUCCGUAGAUGUUCGGGGUCGUCGGUAGAGGUACUUGACGCAAUCCAUGCAAACGGUGCUUGUUCGGGCAUCGGUCUUGACGAAGGUGUACUUAGCCAACGUAGUGGUACUCGACGUCUUGUCGAACCCAAGCGACGGUAGUCGUACACGACGUGUUGUGGAACUAGUUGAACUCGCGGUCUUCGCGGCGACGGUAGUCGUACACGUAUUGACGAGGUACUUGACGUUUCUGUGUGUAGUCGUUCGAGCGUCCGUGUGGUCUUGCCGAUUCCAAGGUUCUCGGUGGAGGCCAUGGCACUCCCUGGUGGCACCGAGGUGGUCUAGCAGCAGCAGCAAGGGCGUCGGGGAGGUGAUGGUCGUGGCGGGACUUGGCGCACAGAGGAGGUUCGAGGCGGCAGCGUUGAGGAGGAACACCGGCGACGCGGCUGCGGGCACCAAGAGGCAUGGCUCCGACGGACAGAGCCGGAGACGAGGUGCAGGAGGGCGGAGUGGGACUCGGCGGGACGGCCUGAACCUGCUGCUGAUGGCACUCGUGGCCAUGGGACGCGGAAGCCGAGGUUGAAGGCGAGGCACGGUGGAGGUCCGAGCGCGGCGUGUCUCCGGCGGUUGAGGCCGAAUGGAGGGAGGAGGCAGAGGUUGCGGCAGCCAGAGGUGCGCGGCGUGGCUCCUCUAGUCCAUGGCAGGAGGCCAUGGCGGCGGUCGAUGGAGGAAGGCAAGGCGACGCGACAGCGAAGGGGCAUGGCUCCGGCGGAGCUGUUCGCUGGCGGCGGCCGGAGGCAGAGGCGGGGAGGCGCGAGGAAGGAGGGGCCUGCAUGGGCGCGCGCACAGGGCGGCGGCCUGCUGGACGACGGGAACUCGCGGGCACGCCAACGGCAGAGGACGGCGCGCGGGGCUCUGCUCCUCUCUGCGUGGAUGGCAGCACGAGAGGAGGACGAUGGGAGAGGGGAUCGGGCGCAGGGAGACCCUGACUCGAUGCGUGCGUGCGUGCGUGUGGCGGCGGACAGAGGGAACGAGAGGGAGAGGGGAGAGGAGGGAGAGAUGGGCUAGGGUUAUGACGCGCGGGCUGGGCCUUGGAGGGGCAAAUGGCCGCGGGGCAGGAUGGGCCGGCCUGGGAGGCUGGCUGGGCUCUCUCCCCUUCUUCCUUCUUUUCUCCCAAAACAGAAAAUAUGAAAGAAGAAAAGGGGAAGAAAGGAAGUGUUAGGGAUAGAAUUUGCGUGGGAGGUUAAUUUUUCCGGACUCAUAAAAGUAUGCUCGUUCCAAGAAAAACGGAGUGGGUAAGAUUGCACGGUUUAAAUUCAAAUGGUUUGAACAAGGAGUAGGAUUACAAAGUGACCAAAAAUGUUGAACAUUUAGGAAGGGCCUCGAUAAGAGGGAAAAGAAUUGUUGGCCAAGCUUGGAGGUGAACAUGAAGUGGAAAAGGCAUGGGAAUUAUUUUGCAAGUGUGUUCCGGUUAAUUCCAAACUAAUGGAAUAUUUAUAAUAGCUCCAUAAAUAUUAGGAGGAUAUGUUAUAAAGAGAAAUCACCAUGUGAAUUCCCUCGAUUUAAAUGGAUCGAAGAUCCAUGCAAUUUACUUGGUUGAGUUUUUUAAAAAAUUAAUGACAUGAUGGCAUGAUGACAUGAUGCAAUGAAAAAUAAAAGAGCAAGCACAAAAGAAGCACACGGCGAUCACGAAAAUAAGGAAGUCUUCUGAAUCGUCGGUCUCGGGGCGUUACAGUUCACUACCAGGUUGAGUUUCAGCAUCAGAGAUAGAAACUUCAUUUUCAUUAUCAGUAGGUUUUUCUACUUCAGGUUCACUAGAGGCAUGCAAAUUCCUAUCAUUUUUCUUCUUCUUUUUCUUUUUAGAAGGACUACGUGCAUCAGUGUUAUCUCUUUGAGAGUCUUGUUCAAUUCUUUUUGGGUGUCCCUCAGGAUAAAGUGGUUCCUGAGUAAUCUUACGUCCUCUAGUUGUUACUCUAACAGCAAAGUCACUUAUAUUAUUAUUCAUUUCAUCUAGCAACUCUCUUUGAGAUUUAUCAAAUUGAGUUUGAACCAUAGAAGCAUGCUUUCCCACACCUCUAACAUCAUUUGAGAUUCUAAAUAACAAGUCACUUAAGCGAGCAAUCAUAUCAGAAUUGUAUUUCAAUUGUUUCAUAACAUUAGCAUUGAAGUGAUCUUGCUUUCUAAUAUAAUUCUCAAACUCAUAAAGGCAUUGACCAGGAUGCAUAUUGUGAGGAUUAUCAUUAUCAUUGAAUUUCAUUAAAGACUUUACCUCUACCACCUUAGGUAUUGGUGGUGUGUCUCCUUCAAUAGGAGGUAAAUUUUUGACAUCCCCGGCUUUAAUACCUUUUUCUCUCAUAGAUUUCUUUGCCUCUUGCAUAUCUUCAGGACUGAGAUAUAAGUGAAGGAAAUAUGCCCUAGAGGCAAUAAUAAAGUUAUUAUUUAUUUCCUUAUAUCAUGAUAAAUGUUUAUUAUUCAUGCUAGAAUUGUAUUAACCGGAAACAUGAUACAUGUGUGAAUACAUAGACAAACAGAGUGUCACUAGUAUGCUUCUACUUGACUAGCUCGUUAAUCAAAGAUGGUUAUGUUUCCUAGCCAUAGACAAAGAGUUGUCAUUUGAUUAACGGGAUCACAUCAUUAGGAGAAUGAUGUGAUUGACUUGACCCAUUCCGUUAGCUUAGCACUUGAUCGUCUAGUAUGUUGCUAUUGCUUUCUUCAUGACUUAUACAUGUUCCUAUGACUAUGAUAUUAUGCAACUCCCGUUUACCGGAGGAACACUUUGUGUGCUAGCAAACGUCACAAUGUCACUGGGUGAUUAUAAAGGUGCUCUACAGGUGUCUCGGAAGGUACUUGUUGGGUUGGCGUAUUUCGCGAUUAGGAUUUGUCACUCCGAUUGUCGGAGAGGUAUCUCUGGGCCCACUCGGUAAUGCACAUCACUUAAGCCUUGCAAGCAUUGCAACUAAUGAGUUAGUUGCAGGAUGAUGUAUUACGGAACGAGUAAAGAGACUUGCCGGUAACGAGAUUGAACUAGGUAUUGAGAUACCGACGAUCGAAUCUCGGGCAAGUAACAUACCGAUGACAAAGGGAACAACGUAUGUUGUUAUGCGGUUUGACCGAUAAAGAUCUUCGUAGAAUAUGUGGGAGCCAAUAUGAGCAUCCAGGUUCCGCUAUUGGUUAUUGACCGGAGACGUUUCUCGGUCAUGACGGUUAUAUUAUGAGUUUAUGUGUUUUGAUGUACCGAAGGUAGUUCGGAGUCCCGGAUGUGAUCACGGACAUGACGAGGAGUCUCGAAAUGGUCGAGACAUAAAGAUUGAUAUAUUGGACGACUAUAUUCGAACACCGAAAUGGUUCCGGGGGUUAUCAGAUAUAUACCGGAGUACCGGGGGGUUACCGGAACCCCCCCCGGAGGUUAUUGGGCCUCAUGGGCCCAAGUGGUGGAAGAGGAGAGGCGGCCAAGGGGCAGCCGCGCCCCCCUUUCCUUUCCCCCUCUCUCUCCUUCCCUCUCCUCUCCUACUCCAACAUGGAAGGGGAGGAGUCCUACUCCUGAUGGGAGUAGGACUCCUCAUGGGGCGCUCCAAGGGUGGCCGGCCCCCUCCCCCUCCUCCACUCCUUUAUAUACGGGGAGGGAGGCACCCCAUAGAGACACAACAAUUGAUCCCUUGGAUCUCUUAGCUGUGUGCGGUGCCCCCCUCCACCAUAAUCCACCUCGGUCAUAUCGUAGCGGUGCUUAGGCGAAGCCCUGCGUCGGUAGAACAUCAUCAUAGUCACCACACCGUCGUGCUGACCGAACUCUCCCUCGGAGCUCGGCUGGAUCGGAGUUCAAGGGACGUCAUCGAGUUGAACGUGUGCUGAACUCGGAGGUGUCUUGCGUUCGGUACUUGAUCGGUCGGAUCGUGAAGACGUACGACUACAUCAACCGCGUUGUGCUAACGCUUUCGCUUUCGGUCUAUGAGGGUACGUGGACACACUCUCCCCUCUCGUUGCUAUGCAUCACCAUGAGCUUGCGUGUGCGUAGGAAAAUUUGGAAAUUACUACGUUCCCCAACAAUAAGAUACCCCUCUUCUUCGGAGUGGGUUUAAGUGGUGGUUUUGGAAGACUCCAAUCAUCAUAAUUUUCAAUAUGUUAUUCAAUAAUUCUUCAGCUUGUGAAUAGUUCGUUCCCUGAAAACACAACUAGCACAACUAUCUAGGAAAUCCCUAGAAGCAUCGGUUAGUCCAUUAUAGAAGAUAUCAAGUAUUUCAUUUCUCUUAAGAGGAUGACCAGGCAAAGCAUUAAGCAAUUGGAGAAGCCUCCCCCAAGCUUGUGGGAGACUCUCUUCUUCAAUUUGUGCAAAGUUAAAUAUUUCCUACAAGGAAGCUUGUUUCUUAUGAGCAGGGAAAUAUUUUUCCGAGAAGUAAUAAAUCAUAUCCUGGGGACUACGCACACAACCAGGAGCAAGAGUAUUGUACCAAGCUUUAGCAUCACCCUUUAAUGAGAACGGAAAUAAUUUGAGAACAUAAUAAUAGCGAAUCUUCUCAUCAUGAGCAAAAAGGGUGGCUAUGUCAUUCAACUUAGUAAGAUGUGCCACAAUAGUUUCAGUUUCAUAACCAUGAAAAGGAUCAGAUUCAACCAAAGUAAUUAACUCUGGGUCGACAGAAAAUUCAUAAUCCUUAUCAUCAAUAAAGAUAGGUGAAGUAGCAAACUUAGGAUCACAUUAACUCUGGGUCGACAGAGAAUUCAUAAUCCUUAUCAUCAAUAAAGAUAGGUGUAGUAGCAAACUUAGGAUCACAUUUCAUUCUAGCAUUCAAAGAUUUCUCCUUAUACUUGCAUAAUAAUUUCUCUAGAUCAUCUCUAUCCUUACAAGCAAGAAUAUCUCUAGUCGUCUCCUCAUUCAUAACAUAACCUUCCAGUACCUUAGGCAAUUCAUAUUUAGGAGGACUAGUUCUAGUAGGUGUUUCAAGAUUUCCAGUUUCAAUCUCAUCAUCAGUUUCAACAAUAUCAUGCUAUCUUACUCUAGCAAUUUGUUCAUCAAGAAAUUCACCUAAUGGCACAUCAUCAUCAAGCAAGGUACUAACAUCAUCAUAAGUAUCAUUCAUAGUAGAAGUAGCAUCAUCAAUAACUUGCGACAUAUCAGGAUUUAUAGCAUGUGGUGCUAUUGCAAGUUUACUUAUAACAAAAGGUGAAUCUAAAGCAGAGCUAGAUGGCAGUUCCUUACCUCCCCUCGUUUUAGAGGGGAAAAUAUUAGUCUUAUCAUCCUUCAGAUUCUUCAUAGUGAUAAAUUGAUAAUAAUCCCAAGUGACUCAAAAAAUAUAGCUAUGCUCCCUGGCAACAGCGCCAGAAAAAGGUCUUGAUAACCCACAAGUAUAGGCGAUCGCAACAGUUUUCGAGGGUAGAGUAUUCAACCCAAAUUUAUAGAUUCGACACAAGAGGAGCCAAAGAAUAUUUGUAAGUAUUAGCAGCUGAUUUGUCAAUUCAACCACACCUGAAGAUUAAUUAUCUGCAGCAAAGUGAUCAGUAGUAAAGUAGUAUGAUAGUUUUGAUAAUAGUAGCAGCAGAAAUAGUAACGGUAACAGUGAUAGCAAUAGUUUUGUAACAAGUGCAGCAGUAACGAUAGCAGUAGUAACUUAGUAAGAACAAUAUAAGAGAAAUUCGUAGGCAUUGGAUCGAUGAUUUGUUGGAUGAUAUUCAUCAUGUGACAAUCAUAAGCUAGGGCGAGACGGCACUAGCUCCAGUUCAUAAAUAUAAUGUGGGCAUGUAUUCCGUAAAUAGUCAUACGUGCUUAUGGAAAGAACUUGCAUGACAACUUUUGUCCUACCCUCCCGUGGCAGCGGGGUCCUAUAGGAAACUAAGGGAUGUUAAGGCCUCCUUUUAAUAGAGAACCAGAAUAAAGCAUGAACACACGGUGAAUACAUGAACUCCUCAAACUACGGUCAUCACCGGGAGUGAUCCCAACUAUUGUCACUCCGGGGUUGCCGGAUCAUAACAUGUAGUAGGUGACUAUAACUUGCAAGAUCAGAUCUAGAAUGUAGAUAUAAUGGUGAUAGCAUAAACGGUUCAGAUCUGAAAUCAUGGCACCCGGGCCUAAAGUGACAAGCAUUAAGCAUGGCAAAGUCAUAGCAACAUCAAUCUCAGAACAUAAUGGAUAAUAUGGAUCAAGCCCUAACAAAACUAACUAGAUUACAUGAUGAAUCUCAUCCAACUCCUCACCGACCAGCGAGCCUAUGAAGGAAUUACUCACUCUCAGUGGGGAGCAUCAUGGAAUUGGCGAUGGAGAAGGGUUGGUGAUGACGAAGAUCGAAGAUCCCCUUCUCCGAAGCCCCAAACGGACUCCAGAUCUGGCCUCCCAUGAAGAACAGUAGGUGACGGAGGCUCCGUCUCGUGAAAUGCGAUAAUUCUUUUCCCCUGUGUUUUUUUAAAAUAGGAUUUUAUAGCGUCGGUUUCAGGGUCUGCGGGCCACUAGGUGGGGACAACCCACCUGGGCGCGCAGGGGGGCGCCCUGGUGGGUUGUGCCCACCCAGGCGCCCCCCUCCGGUGGUUCUUGGCUCUAGAAAUUCUCUUUAUUGAUAUAAAAAAUCCUCACAAAGUUUCAUUCCAUUCCGAGUACUUUUAUUUCUGCACAAAAACAACACCAUGGUAGUUCUCCUAAAAACAGCGUCAGCCCGGGGUUAGUUUCAUUCAAAUUAUGCAAAUUAGAGUCCAAAACAAGAGCAAAAGCGUUAGGAAAAGUAGAUAUGUUGGAGACGUAUCAAGCAGACAAAUCGCCGAACACCUGGCAGGCGUGGUGGGCGCACGGCCGCCGGUAUCCCGCCCUGCGCAGCCGGAGCGCCGGAAAACUCGCCCAGGAAGGUGGUGGAGAGGUUGCCGCGGCGAAACCCCUCUCUUUUUCGGCGGGAAAUGGCCUAUCUAGUGGUGGUGGGUGAUGGGAGGCGCCGGGAUUGACAAGGUGGCGGGAGGAGUGGGGGGGGUGAAUCUGGCCGUUUGUCUUAACUUUUCUCCUGACAGUGUCUAGACGUGGUUUUCCCUUCCGCCGGAGCCCCCGAGCGCUGGGUUCGGCCUGGGAUCACCGGGCCAAUAAAGGGCCGAGUCGAUGGAUUUUGGCGUCUUAGGGACGCGACUGGGGGAUUUUUCAUCGCCGACGCGAAAAAUGUCACCGUGGGGGGCCUGUUGGGGGCUGGGCGCCAUCGUUAGCGCGGAAGAGGAGGCCGUAGUGCUUCUUCAACCUCUGGUCUUAUUGCUCCAGCCGCCCAAAGCAGCGCCGGUCGUGCCGCAUGCUCCUGCCUCCCAUGGCCGGCUGUGCUGCCGCGGAGAACUCACCGCCCCUACUAUUCCCACCGCUGGCCAGACCCUUCGGCGACGGCAGCCUCACACCGCAGCCGAACCGGUGAACCCUUGUACUCCUCUCCGCGCGGGCUUCCACUGCCGCGUCUUCCCCGGCUCCGCGUCAUCCCCUUCCUAGGCCUCGCCGUCGUCCACCGCCCUGGUGCUCUCGGCGCGGCGUGCUCAACAUGCUCAUGGAACGGCUUCCAUCAGACGUGGACUGUACAUGGAGAGGCUGACAGCUGGGUCCACAGCCGCAGCAAGGAAGUGCCUCCUUAUUACGCGCAAAAUAAUUAUUCCUCCACCUGACAGCGGGGACCCACCGGACGGGCCACCGUAUUUCGUGAAAAAAACGUUUCCCCCUGACUGCGGGGAGCCACCAGCUACAUCUUCGCACGCAAGGAAGUGCGUCCGAGCAAAAAAACGAUUCGCCCCCCUGACUGCUGGGACCCACCAGCUACAUCUUUGCAGGCAAGGAAGUGCCUGACAGUCGGGACCCACCUGGUCGAAGCAUAUGUAGCAUUGUCAUUCUGGUCGCGAACGUGUACGUACAUACUGGUCGAUGUAGAGGCGCGCACGUGUCGUAGUAGAGGCACGCACGUAGCAUGUACACGUACGUACAGCGGCCAGUGUGCAAGAAAGAAAAUACGGCCACGUACGUACAUACGGGCAGGGUCUCGAAUGCCUACUCGCGCAUACGUACGGCCAGGGCUCGUGUACAUGGCUGGGUCAGAAUGGAGAAACAGCGUCGUCGUCGUGUUCAUGGGGAGCCAACCGGCUGGGUCGGAACGGAAUGCGUCGUCGUGUUCAUCGGGAGGGCUUGGACGGAACAGCCGAUGGAAACGAGGCCUGGCAUACCGCAGAACGGAGGAAACGGCCUUGUGUUCGACCGGCCACGUUUGAAACGGGAUCCUGUUCAUCGGGAGGGGUCUGGCGUACCGCAAAAUGGAGGAAACGGACCUCCUACAGUCGAAAUGGGGGUCCUAUUGAUCGGGAGGGGUGUGGCGUACCGCAAAAUGGAGGAAACGGACUUGUGUUGGAGCGCUACGGUCAAAACGGGGGUCCUGUUCAUCGGGAGGGGUGUGGCGUACCGCAAAAUGGGACUCCACGGGAUGCUGUUCAUCUCCACCGUCGACCCCCUCCAGCCUCCACGGGCUACUGUUCAUCCACCGUCGACCUCCUCCAGCCUCCUGCGACUGUUCAUCCACGGGCUCCUGUUCAUCCAGCCUCCACCACGCGCUACUCCACCGGCUACUGUUCAACCAGCCCUCUCCACGGGCUCCUGUUCAACCACCCCUCCACGGGCUACUGUUCAUCCAACCCUCCACCGUCUACUGUUCAUUUUGCCCUCCACGGGGUGGUCCUGUUCAUCCUGCCCUCCACGGGGUCCUGUUCAUCCAGCCCCAACCGGCUCGAUCGAUCGGGGUCCUGUUCAUCCAGAGGCAACACCACGGGGUCCUGUUCAUCCACCCCCACCGGGAACUGUUCAUCCAAACCCCCCAGCAACGCUCACUAUUCAUCCAGAGGCAGCAUCGAUUGGCUUCAGUUAGCAGCACUAGCGAAGGAAUCGCUCGAUCGGGUUCAGUUAACAACCAUCGAUCGAUCGCUCGGGUUCAGUAACGCGUAGCCUGCAGUGCAAUCACUCGGGUUCAGUUAGAGCCCAACGCCUCGCUCGGGUUAAGUUAGAGCCCAACGCCUCGCACCCACGCGCGUGCGUGUAUGAGAGAAACGCGCAUUGCUCGGCCCCGACCACCCACCGUAACCGGGAACACCCCGAUAUUUUCCUCGCCCUCGCUUCUACCAUGGUUUUUUCCGUCAUGGACGGCCAAAAGAAUGUCAUGCAGCUGCGUCUCCGGCCCGCCUAGGACGAAAAGCCCAUUUUCUGUCAUGAUUUUUUGUCAUAGAAGUAGGACCCCACCACAUCUAUGAUGAUACCGGGUUUUGUCACAAUUAUCGUCAUAGAAGUGUCAUAAGUAUGACAUGAAAAAAAUUCGUUCGGCCCAAAAUGUCACGGAUGUGUCUUAUUUUUGUAGUGAAAGCAGUAUGCACAAUACCAAUCAUAGUUAAAAAAGGCGCGCCUAAGCGAGCGCGUAAGCGCGCCUAGGCUCUAGGCGCUGGUGAAACGCAUUGCGCAUAACUAUGCUUAAUCUAUGCAUAACUACGCAUAAGCAUUCGCUUUGGUCAGUAAAGCGCAAGGCGGUGGCAAAAUGCACAAUUAACGCCUAGCGCUUUUUUGAACUAUGAUAGCAAUGGAAUCUUAAAUUAGAAUAGUUGUUCUUCAGGUUUAGGCACUUGUUCUACAUGAACAGAGUACAGUAAUGCGCAAGAAUGUAGUACUUAAAAAUAGAAAAUGAGCUCAUAGACCUUACCACAUUCUUGGUUCGGGACCAGUACAGAACAAGGCGUUCCGAGUCAUCAUCCAGUAAAUGUGUCUCAGGAGAACGUAAGGGAAUUUGAUGAGUUUCUUUGCCGGUGAAGUACGUUUUCUUCAGGUAAUUCUGAUACUACCACCAAGCAUUUUUGAAGAUAGCAGAGGUAUUAGCACAAGUUACCUCAUCCUGAGUUUCCAUAUCGGUCCUUCUAUAUAGAGAAAAAUGGGAAAAUUUGCUGUAUUAUAACCAUCAUGGAGGUAGGAUGUAUGGGACUGAUACGUCUCCAACGUAUCUAUAAUUUUUUUAUUGUUCUAUGCUAUAUUAUAUUCUGUUUUGGACAUUAAUGGGCUUUAUUAUACACUUUUAUAUUAUUUUUGGGACAAACCUACUAACCGGAGGCCCAGCCCAGAAUUGCUGUUUUUUGCCUAUUUCAGAGUUUCGCAGAAAAAGAAUAUCAAACGGAGUCCAAACGGAAUGAAACCUUCGGGAACGUCAUUUUCGGAACGAACGUGAUCCAAAGGACUUGGACCCUACGUCAAGACAUCAACCAGGAAGGCACGAGGUAGGGGCGUGCCCUCCACCCUCGUGGGCCCCACGUUGGUCCACCAACGUAAUUCUUCCUCCUAUAUAUACCUACGUACCCCCAAACUACCAGAUACGGAGCCAAAAACCUAAUUCCACCGCCGCUACCUUCUGUACCCAUGAGAUCCCAUCUUGGGGCCUUUUCCGGAGCUCCACCGGAGGGGGCAUCGAUCACGGAGGGCUUCUACAUCAACACCAUAGCCUCUCCGAUGAUGUGUGAGUAGUUUACCUCAGACCUUCGGGUCCAUAGUUAUUAGCUAGAUGGCUUCUUCUCUCUUUUUGGAUCUCAAUACAAUGUUCUCCCCCUCUCUUGUGGAGAUCUAUUCGAUAAUCUUCUUUUGCGGUGUGUUUGUUGAGACCGAUGAAUUGUGGGUUUAUGAUCAACUUUAUCUAUGAACAAUAUUUGAAUCUUCUCUAAAUUCUUUUAUGUAUGAUUUGUUAUCUUUGCAAGUCUCUUCAAAUUAUCAGUUUGGUUUGGCCUACUAGAUUGAUCUUUCUUGCAAUGGGAGAAGUGCUUAGCUUUGGGUUCAAUCUUGCGGUGUCCUUUCCCAGUGACAGUAGGGGCAGCAAGGCACGUAUUGUAUUGUUGCCAUCGAGGAUAACAAGAUGGGGUUUAUAUCAUAUUGCAUGAGUUUAUCCCUCUACAUCAUGUCAUCUUACUUAAAGCGUUACUCUGUUCUUAUGAACUUAAUACUCUAGAUGCAUGCUGGAUAGCGGUCGAUGUGUGGAGUAAUAGUAGUAGAUGUAGGCAGGAGUCGGUCUACUUGUCUCGGACGUGAUGCCUAUAUACAUGAUCAUACCUAGAUAUUCUCAUAACUAUGCUCAAUUCUGUCAAUUGCUCAAUAGUAAUUUGUUCACCCACCGUAAUACUUAUGCUCUUGAGAGAAGCCAUUAGUGAAACCUAUGGCCCCCGGGUCUAUUUUCCAUCAUAUUAAUCUCCCGUCAACAAGUUAUUUCUAGCGUCGUCUUUAUUUUGCUUUCUUUACUUUGCAUCUUUAUCAUAAAAAUACCAAAAAUAUUAUCUUAUCAUAUCUAUCAGAUCUCACUCUCGUAAGUGACCGUGAAGGGAUUGACAACCCCUUUAUUGCGUUGGUUGUGAGGAUUUAUUUGUUUGUGUAGGUGCGAGGGACUCGUGCGUGGCCUCCUACUAGAUUGAUACCUUGGUUCUCAAAAACUGAGGGAAAUACUUACGCUACUUUGCUACAUCACCCUUUCCUCUUCAAGAGAAAACCAACGCAGUGCUCGAGAGGUAGCAAGAAGGAUUUCUGGCGCCGUUGCCGGGGAGUCUACGCAAAAGUCAACAUACCAAGUACCCAUCACAAACCCUUAUCUCCUGCGUUAAAUUAUUUGCCUUUUGCCUCUCGUUUUCCUCUCCCCCACUUCACCCUUGUCGUUUUAUUCACCCUCUCUUUUUCGUUCGCUUUUUUUUCUCACUUGCUUCUUGUUUGCUCGUGUGUUGGAUUGCUUGCUUGUCACGAUGGCUCAAGAUAAUACUAAGUUGUGUGACUUUACCAAUACCAGCAAUAAUGAUUUUCUUAGCACUCCGAUUGCUCCUCUUACCGAUACUGAAUCUUGUGAAAUUAAUGCUGCUUUGUUGAAUCUUGUCAUGAAAAAUCAAUUCGCCGGCCUUCCUAGUGAAGAUGCCGCUACCCAUCUAAAUAACUUCGUUGAUUUGUGUGAUAUGCAAAAGAAGAAAGAUGUGGAUAAUGAUAUUGUUAAAUUGAAGCUAUUUCCUUUUUCGCUUGGAGAUCGUGCUAAAGCUUGGUUUUCAUCUUUGCCUAAAAAUAGUAUUGAUUCUUGGAAUAAGUGCAAAGAUGCUUUUAUCUCUAAGUAUUUUCCUCCCGCUAAGAUCAUCUCUCUUAGAAACGAUAUUAUGAAUUUUAAGCAACUUGAUCAUGAACAUGUUGCACAAGCUUGGGAGAGGAUGAAAUUAAUGAUACGUAAUUGUCCUACACAUGGUUUGAAUUUGUGGAUGAUCAUACAAAAUUUUUAUGCCAGAUUGAAUUUUGCUUCUAGAAAUCUUUUAGAUUCGGCCGCGGGAGGCACUUUUAUGGAAAUCACUUUAGGAGAAGCUACUUAACUCCUAGAUAAUAUUAUGGUUAAUUAUUCUCAAUGGCACACAGAAAGAUCUACUAAUAAAAAAGUGCAUGCGAUAGAAGAAAUUAAUGUUUUGAGUGGAAAGGUGGAUGAACUUAUGAAAUUAUUUGCUAGUAAAAAUGUUUCUUCUGAUCCUAAUGACAUGCCUUUGUCUACUUUGAUUGAGAAUAAUAAUGAAUCUAUGGAUGUGAAUUUUGUUGGUAGGAAUAAUUUUGGUAACAACGCGUAUAGAGGAAACUUUAAUCCUAGGCCAUACCCUAGUAACUCCUCCAAUAAUUAUGGUAAUUCCUACAACAAUUCUUAUGGAAAUUUUAAUAAGAUGCCUUCUGAAUUUGAGACUAGUGUUAAAGAAUUUAUGAAUUCACAAAAGAAUUUCAAUGCUUUGCUUGAAGAAAAAUUGCUUAAAGUUGAUGAAUUGGCUAGGAACGUUGAUAGAAUUUCUCUUGAUGUUGAUUCUUUGAAACUUAGAUCUAUUCCACCUAAGCAUGAUAUCAAUGAGUCUCUCAAAGCCAUGAGAAUUUCCAUUUAUGAGUGCAAAGAAAGAACCGCUAGGAUGCGUGCUAAGAAAGAUUGCUUUGUGAAAGCGUGUUCUUCUAAUUUCUAUGAAAAUAAAGAUGAAGAUCUAAAAGUUAUUGAUGUGACCCCUAUUAAAUCUUUGUUUUGUAAUAUGAAUCUUGAUAAUGAUGGGAUUGAAUAUGAUCCAACUUUACCUAGAAGGCGUUCCAAAAAUUCGGAGUCUUUAGAUCUUGAUGCAAAAAUUGGUGAAAGUGGGAUUGAAGAGAUCAAAACUCUAGAUAUUAAUGAACCCACUAUUUUGGAUUUCAAGAAAUUUAAUUAUGAUAAUUUCUCUUUGAUAGAUUGUAUUUCCUUGUUGCAAUCCGUGCUAAAUUCUCCACAUGCUUAUAGCCAACAUAAAGCUUUUACUAAACAUAUCGUUGAUGCUUUGAUGCAAUCAUAUGAAGAAAAACUUGAGUUGGAAUUUUUUAUCCCUAGAAAACUUUAUGAUGAGUGGGAACCUACUAUUAAAAUUAAAAUUAAAGAUCAUGAGUGCUAUGCUUUAUGUGACUUGGGUGCUAGUGUUUCCAUGAUCCCAAAAACUUUGUGUGAUUUGCUAGGUUUCCGUGAUUUUGAUGAUUGCUCUUUAAACUUGCACCUUGCGGAUUCCACCAUUAAGAAACCUAUGGGAAGAAUUAAUGAUGUUCUUAUUAUUGCAAAUAGGAAUUAUGUGCCCGUAGAUUUUAUUGUUCUUGAUAUAGAUUGCAAUCCUUCAUGUCCUAUUAUUCUUGGUAGACCUUUCCUUAGAACGAUUGGUGCAAUUAUUGAUAUGAAGGAAGGAAAUAUUAGAUACCAAUUUCUGUUAAGGAAAGGCAUGGAACACUUUCCUAGAAAGAAAAUAAAAUUACCAUAUGAAUCUAUCAUGAUAGCCACUUAUGGAUUGCCUACCAAAGAUGGCAAUACCUAGAUCUAUCCUUGCUAUUAUGCCUAGCUAGGGGCGUUAAACGAUAGCGCUUGUUGGGAGGCAACCCAAUUUUAUUUUUAGUUUUUUGCUUUUUUGCUUCUGUUUAGGAAUAAAUAUUUGAUCUAGCCUCUGGUUAGAUUUUUUUUAUGUUUUAAUUAGUGUUUGUGCCAAGUUUAACCUAUAGGAUCUUCUUGGAUGAUAGUUAUUUGAUCUUGCUGAAAAUUUCAGAAACUUUCUGUUCAUGAAAAUAAUUGUUAAAAAUCAUCAGAACGUGAUAAAAUAUUGAUUCCAAUUGCUGAUGAUCAAUAAACAAAUUGUCUAGGUCUUCCUAUUUUGUCUGAAUUUUUGGAGUUCCAGAAGUUUGUGUUAGUUACAGAUUACUACAGACUGUUCUGUUUUUGACAGAUUCUGUUUUUCGUGUGUUGUUUGCUUAUUUUGAUGAAUCUAUGGCUAGUAAAAUAGUUUAUAAACCAUAGAGAAGUUGGAAUACAGUAGGUUUAACACCAAUAUAAAUAAAGAAUGAUUUCAUUACAGUACCUUGAAGUGGUGUUUUGUUUUCUUUCGCUAACGGAGCUCACGAGAUUUUCUGUUAAGUUUUGUGUUGUGAAGUUUUCAUGUUUUGGGUAAAAGAUUUGAUGGAUUAUGGAACAAGGAGUGGCCAGAGCCUAAGCUUUGGGAUGCCCAUGGCACCCCAAUAUAAUCUAAGGACACCAAAAAGCCAAAGCUUGGGGAUGCCCCGGAAGGCAUCCCCUCUUUCGUCUACUUCCAUCGGUAACUUUACUUGGAGCUAUAUUUUUAUUCACCACAUGAUAUGUGUUUUGCUUGGAGCGUCUUGUAUGAUUUGAGUAUUUUCUUUAUAGUUUACCACAAUCAUAUUUUCUGUACACACCUUUUGAGAGAGACACACAUGAUUCGGAAUUUAUUAGAAUACUCUAUGCGCUUCACUUAUAUCUUUUGAGCUAUAUAGUUUUUGCUCUAGUGCUUCACUUAUAUCUUUUAGAGCACGGCGGUGGUUUUGUUUUAUAGAAACUAUUAUUCUCUCAUGCAUCACUUACAUUAUUUUGAGAGUCUUAAACAGCAUGGUAAUUUGCUUAAAUUGCGAAAUUAAUCCUAAUAUGUUAGGUAUUCAAGACUAGUAAAAAACUUUCUUAUGAGUGUGCUGAAUGCUAAGAGAAGUUUGAUGCUUGAUGAUUGUUUUGAGAUAUGGAGGUAGUGAUAUUAAAGUUGUGCUAGUUGAGUAGUUGUGAAUUUGAGAAAUACUUGUGUUGAAGUUUGCAAGUCCCGUAGCAUGCACGUAUGGUAAACGUUAUGUAACAAAUUUGAAACAUGAGGUGUUCUUUCAUUGUCCUCCUUAUGAGUGGCGGUCGGGGACGAGCGAUGGUAUUUUCCUACCAAUCUAUCCCCCUAGGAGCAUGCGCGUAGUGCUUAGUUUUUGAUGACUUGUAGAUUUUGCAAUAAGUAUGUGAGUUCUUUAUGACUAAUGUUGAGUCCAUGGAUUAUACGCACUCUUACCCUUCCAUCAUUGCUUGCCCUUUCUCACAUUGAGAGUUGGUGAAAACUUCGCCGGUGCAUCCAAACCCCGUGAUAUGAUACGCUCUUUCACACAUAAACCUCCUUAUAUCUUCCUCAAAACAACCACCAUACCUACCUAUUAUGGCAUUUCCAUAGCCAUUCCGAGAUAUAUUGCCAUGCAACUUUCCACCGUUCCGUUUAUUAUGACACGCUCAUCAUUGUCAUAUUACUUUGCAUGAUCAUGUAGUUGACAUCGUAUUUGUGGCAAAGCCACCGUUCACAAUUUUUCAUACAUGUCACUCUUGAUUCAUUGCUACCCCAGUAUACCGCCGGAGGCAUUCAUAUAGAAUCAUACUUUGUUCUAGUAUCGAGUUGUAAUAAAUAGAAGUGUGAUGAUCAUCAUUCAUAAAGCAUUGUCCCAAUAAAAAAAAGAGACAAAGGCCAACUAAAAAAAGAAGGCCCAAAAAAAGAGAGAAUAAAAAGGGACAAUGCUACUAUCCUUUUCCACACUUGUGCUUCAAAGUAGCACCAUGAUCUUCAUGAUAGAGAGUCUCUUGUUUUGUCACUUUCAUAUACUAGUGGGAAUUUUUCAUUAUAGAACUUGGCUUGUAUAUUCCAACAAUGGGCUUCCUCAAAUUCCCUAGGUCUUCGUGAGCAAGCAAGUUGGAUGCACACCGGCCCACUUAGUUUCUUUUGUUGAGGUUUCAUGCAUUUAUAGCUCUAGUGUAUCCGUUGCAUGGCAAUCCCUACUCCUUGCAUUAACAUCAGUCGAUGGGCAUCUCCAUAGCUCAUUGAUUAGCCGCGUUGAUGUGAGACUUUCUCCUUUUUUGUCUUCUCCACAUAACCCCCAUCAUUAUAUUCUAUUCCACCCAUAGUGCUAUAUCCAUGGCUCACGCUCAUGUAUUGCGUGAAGGUUGAAAAAAGUUUGAGAUUACUAAAGUAUGAAAUAAUUGCUUGGCUUGUCAUCGGGGUUGUGCAUGAUGAGAGCAUUCUUGUGUGACGAAAAUGGAGCAUGACUAAACUAUAUGAUUUCGUAGGGAUGAACUUUCUUUGGUCAUGUUAUUUUGAGAGGACAUAAUUGCUUAGUUAGUAUGCUUGAAGUAUUAUUACUUUUAUGUCAAUAUUAAACCUUUAUCUUGAAUCUUUCGGAUCUGAAUAUUCAUACCACAAUUAGGAGAAUUACAUUGAAAUUAUGCCAAGUAGCAUUCCACAUCAAAAAUUCUGUUUUUAUCAUUUACCUACUCGAGGACGAGCAGGAAUUAAGCAUGGGGAUGCUUGAUACGUCUCCAACGUAUCUAUAAUUUUUUAUUGUUCCAUGCUACAUUAUAUUCUGUUUUGGACAUUAAUGGGCUUUAUUAUACACUUUUAUAUUAUUUUUGGGACUAACCUACUAACCGGAGGCCCAGCCCACAAUUGCUGUUUUUUGCCUAUUUCAGAGUUUCGCAGAAAAAGAAUAUCAAACGGAGUCCAAACGGAAUGAAACAUUCGGGAACAUUAUUUUCGGAACGAACGUGAUCCAGAGGACCUGGACCCUACGUCAAGAAAUCAACCAGGAAGGCACGAGGUAGGGGGGCGCGCCUACCCCCCCGGGCGCGCCUUCCACCCUCGUGGGCCCCACGUUGCUCCACCGAUGUACUUCUUCCUCCUAUAUAUACCUACGUCCCCCCAAACUACCAGAUAUGGAGCCAAAAACCUAAUUCCACAGCCGCAACCUUCUGUACCCGUGAGAUCCCGUCUUGGGGCCUUUUCCGGAGCUCUGCCGGAGGGGGCAUCGAUCACGGAGGGCUUCUACAUCAACACCAUAGCCUCUCCGAUGAUGUGUGAGUAGUUUACCUCAGACCUUCGGGUCCUUAGUUAUUAGCUAGAUGGAUUCUUCUCUCUUUUUGGAUCUCAAUACAAUGUUCUCCCCCUCUCUUGUGGAGAUCUAUUCGAUGUAAUCUUCUUUUGCAGUGUGUUUGUUGAGACCGAUGAAUUGUGGGUUUAUGAUCAAGUUUAUCUAUGAACAAUAUUUGAAUCUUCUCUGAAUUCUUUUAUGUAUGAUUGGUUAUCUUUGCAAGUCUCUUCGAAUUAUCAGUUUGGUUUGGCCUACUAGAUUGAUCUUUCUUGCAAUGGGAGAAGUGCUUAGUUUUGGGUUCAAUCUUGCGGUGUCCUUUCCCAGUGACAGUAGGGGCAGUAAGGCACGUAUUGUAUUGUUGCCAUUGAGGAUAACAAGACGGGGUUUAUAUCAUAUUGCAUGAGUUUAUCCCUCUACAUCAUGUCAUCUUACUUAAAGCGUUACUCUGUUCUUAUGAACUUAAUACUCUAGAUGCAUGCUGGAUAGCGGUCGAUGUGUGGAGUAAUAGUAGUAGAUGUAGGCAGGAGUCGGUCUACUUGUCUCGGACGUGGUGCCUAUAUACAUGAUCAUACCUAGAUAUUCUCAUAACUAUGCUCAAUUCUGUCAAUUGCUCAACAGUAAUUUGUUCACCCACCGUAAUACUUAUGCUCUUGAGAGAAGCCACUAGUGAAAUCUAUGGCCUCCGGGUCUAUUUUCCAUCAUAUUAAUCUCCCGUCAACAAGUUAUUUCUAGCGUCGUCUUGAUUUUGCUUUCUUUACUUUGCAUCUUUAUCAUAAAAAUACCAAAAAUAUUAUCUUAUCAUAUCUAUCAGAUCUCACUCUCGUAAGUGACCGUGAAGGGAUUGACAACCCCUUUAUUGCGUUGGUUGCGAGGAUUUAUUUGUUUGUGUAGGUGCGAGGGACUCGUGCGUGGCCUCCUACUAGAUUGAUACCUUGGUUCUCAAAAACUGAGGGAAAUACUUACGCUACUUUGCUGCAUCACCCUUUCCUCUUCAUGGGAAAACCAACGCAGUGCUCAAGAGGUAGUAGGGACAAAGCAAAGUAAUUGCCAUGAAUAACAUUACUUACACAUAACUCCUGGACAAACACCUGCAACUGGCAUUUUCCUUCAUCUUCAGUAUAAUAUUUCCAAGAUGGGAAGAUACGCACAUACGAUUUAACAACAUCAAAUGCGAUAGAUGCUAAACUACGACUAGCUGGUUGUGCUUCCUCCACAGGAAUAGGCGUACUAACUGGUGGAGUUGGGGUUCGCCGUGGUAGUACUGGCCCUUUGGGAACUGGAGCUGUCUUACUAGCUGCUCUUGUUUGGGAGCUCUGUGGUGGAGAUGGUGUUGUGUCAACAGGAACUGGGUUACUAUCUGCUGGGGUUGGGGUUAGAUUGGGUGAAGCUGGUUCUCUGUCCAUCGCAAUAGGGGUACAAUCUACGAGAGUUUGGGUUAUGUGUGGUAGGGCUGGUUCUCGUGCAUGUACAACCGGGGUGCUACCUCCACCAAGAGGUAGCACUGUUUUAUUUGAAGACUGUGUUUUUAGUCCGCUAGAUGCUGGCAUCACCCGCUCCAAUUCAAAUGGCUGAUAAACAGGAAACAUAGUUGAAUGUACAGACAUUGUAUGAGAGACAGAUGCAAUAGAUAGUGUGGAAAAAAGAGGGCAUGAAAUAGUUGACAUGUAUAUUGUUUAACUAAAAUGGAUAGCAUGACAUAAUUUCACAUAUAUGAUGUCUAUCUAAAUUGGAUAGCAUAGCAUAACAUAAUUCAAAGAUAUGAUGAAUAACUAAACAGGAUCGCAUGACACAAUUCACCCACAUGUUAUCUAAGUAAUCAGGAUCGCAUCAUUUAAUUCACAUAUGUGAUUUAUAUGCUAAACAGAGGGCAUUAGAUAUGAUGUCUGAACUAAGAACAUGGUGUUGAAUAUUGUGUAUAUGAUGUCUAAUAUAUGCAAUGCAAGACACCAUAUGCAUGAUAUGAGCAGUAUAACCGUGCCAAGUUAGAGCAUACACCUCGGUGGGGGAAUAGGACUGGUCAUCUGUCUCUGAAUCCAUCUCUGAGGAGCUAUCGGGGCCCAACAAGAGAUCUGCUUCGACAGGUAGCACUGUCUGCUCAGAAGGCCUUGUUUUCACUCCAGAUUUUUCAAUCUCCCACCCAAAUGGCUGAUUCACAGGAAGAGUAGUUUAAUGUACAAACAUUGUCGACAAAUGGAAAUGUAAUGAAGAAAAGGAUGGGCAAGAUAUCAUUCAAAUAUAUGAUGCCUGGUUAAACAGGAUGGCAUUGCACAUUUCACGUAUAUUAUGGCUGGCUAAAAGACAUGAGACUGCACAAUUCCCAUAUAUGAUAUAGAAACUAAACAGGUGGCAUUACAGAACAUGUCUAAACUAAGCAGAUGACAUAUAUGAUUUCAAAAGUAGGCACUGCAAGGCAACAUAUGCAUGAUAUGACUAACAUCAUCAUGCCAAGGUAGAGCAAACACCUUGGGGGUAAAUAGGAGUGGUCAGCAACGUCUGAAUCCGCCUCAGAACAGAUAGCUUCCUCUGGAUUACAAUCUGGAGAGGGGUGGGGAGGGUUUGCCAUUGAACCCACCAUGGAGCGAUGUCUGCAUGACAUUGUAUUGCCGCGCAAAACUCUUCUCUUUUUCUCUACAUGUUCAGCAUGAUUGUGUACAAUAUCUGACAUGCAUACGAAAAAAAUAUGGUGAGAUUAUGUAAGGAGAGCAUGCAGAAAUUUAGAGUGAUGGUAACAACCAGUGGAUGGAUCCAAAAAUAAUGAUAGCAGGCUCAUGAUUGCUUUAAUUUAAUAAAAAGACAGAUGAUGAUUGCUUUACUAUUUGUUUCCCACCCAAGAUGAACAACAUAGGCAUACCCUAGGUGAACCAGAUAUUAGACAGAGAUACUAUUCAUUGCUUGCUCGAUAUGUGCCCCAUAACUAAUUUAGAACUCAAGUUUGAACAUUAAUUUGGACCUGACUUAACUGUCGAAACUGAAAUUUACUGUGGAAUCUGAAUGUUACUGUCGAAACUGAACGCAAUGAUAGCAGAGAGGCACUUGACAUGUAGUUUAGGGAGGGCAUGCAGUUCAUCUUCAACCUACACCCCCUUGAGCCGCCAGCCACCACCGGCCGAACUGGUGGCCCCAGCGCCGCCUCGCCGCCCCGAAACAACUCCCCACCGCCGGUCCGCCGCCGCCCCGGCCAGCCCUAUAGGCCCCCCGCCCCCACCCUGAACCCUAAGAUAGAUAGUGGGGUACCUCUCCGGCGAGCCCCCGUCCCCGCUGCAGGUGGUUCUUCCUUANNNNNNNNNNNNNNNNNNNNNNNNNNNNNNNNNNNNNNNNNNNNNNNNNNNNNNNNNNNNNNNNNNNNNNNNNNNNNNNNNNNNNNNNNNNNNNNNNNNNNNNNNNNNNNNNNNNNNNNNNNNNNNNNNNNNNNNNNNNNNNNNNNNNNNNNNNNNNNNNNNNNNNNNNNNNNNNNNNNNNNNNNNNNNNNNNNNNNNNNNNNNNNNNNNNNNNNNNNNNNNNNNNNNNNNNNNNNNNNNNNNNNNNNNNNNNNNNNNNNNNNNNNNNNNNNNNNNNNNNNNNNNNNNNNNNNNNNNNNNNNNNNNNNNNNNNNNNNNNNNNNNNNNNNNNNNUUGAUUGACCCAAAAGUCGAUUCAUUCGACUAAAGUGUAGCUAAAUUAGAGCAGAGCAGCAACACAAGUGAGGGGGAGAGCAGCAGCAGCAGCGCGAGCGAGCGAGCGAGAGCCGGAGCAGCAGCAGCUGGGCGAGCGAGCGAUCGAGCGAGAGCCGGAGCAGCAGCAGCUAGGCGAGCGAGCGAUCGAGUGAGAGCCGGAGCAGCAGCAGCAGCGCGAGCGAGCGAGCGAGAGCCAGAGCAGCAGCAGCAGAUCCGGCUGGUAUGGACGCCGCCGCCGAAGGGGCCUCGCACUGGGGGAGAGCCGCCGUGGAGAUGUCGCCCGCGGCGCCGGCUUCAAGGUAGCCGCUCCAUGGGGGUGCGGGAUGGAGCACCGUCGGCGCCGGGAGGUCGAGCUAAGGAGAAGGUGCGAUGCGAUGAGUGUACAACCUCUUUGGUGGCGCCGAGUAGGCCUCGGCUUCGUCCAAGGAGUCGGUAAGGAUGCUGCGGUUCCGGUGGAGCAGGUUAAGGCGGCGCUGUGGGGAUGGAGCAGCCGCGAUAGAUGAGGCGAUCGUCGAAGCAGCUCCUUGGAGGUGGAGGACGGGGCGGUUGAACCGGCGGGACGACGAGAUGGACGAUGGAUCCUCAUCCGGGGAGGUGGACGAGGGACAUCGAGCUGUUGCGGUGGACGACAUUGUCGGGGAAGAGGCUCCGGCUGGGCAGCGGUGAGGUGGCGGACGGAGGAGGGUGGGGUUUCGCGGCUGGAGCGGAGAGGUUAUGGCGGCCUGGGAUUUCGAAUGGCAAAAAGGAGGCGAUGGGAGGGGGUGAACCAUGACUUAGGGACGCGCUUGUCCAAAAUGUAGGGUGUGUUACAAAAGUACCCCGCACCGAUUUGAACUAGCGGCCCUUUUGGCUCAGGGUUAGAAGGGGGAUUUCGCGUGUCGGGAUUUGGCAGCUGGAGGGAGUUUUCGCGCGCGUUGUAAUUUCGGGAUAGCAAGGCGCGGGUUGUGAAGGCGCCAGUUUUGGGAGCACGAUAUCUGAAUUUUCGGGAUAUAACAAGGCGCGGGUUGAAUUCUAGGGACAAACCUAACGUGUAAUAUUGUACUUGUACGUACCAAAUCAAUUCGCACUUCCCUCAACCAAAAAGAAAACGAAAAAAUAACACUAUUCACACCACACAAAGAGAGAGUCUUGCCCCGUUUUACUAUAAAAAUGCUAUUUAAAGCUACUCAUACCAACAAUUUAGUGCAAUUAAAUGCUAUUCGGUAGUAUGAAUCCAUGUUAUGUCCAAUUAAAUUUUUUCGCUCGCUAUAUAAUGCAUGUAACCUACUCAUACCAACAUUUUAGUGCAUUCGAAAUGUCUAUACUACCUCUGCAAUUCGAACUGAAUUUGAAUUCGUUUCUCUAUUUCAAUAACAAAUCUACAAUCAUGAUUGUUGCCAACUUCAACCAUCAUUCGUGUAUUACCUUAAUAACACACCACAUGAUUACUAUAGAGAUAGAUAUGAACUAUGUGUACUACAUGAACUCGAAUUCUAUUUUUUGAAUACACUUGAUGUUGAUUCCAAAUAAUAGUACAUUUGAUGUACUAACUAUAUAUUCAUAAUCUAAACCAUGUUCCAUAGGUGUACACCGUGUUUAUCACACAUAGUAUAGUGCCCCGCCCCCUACAUUAUGACAAGUAUUUAGACCUGAGCUGCAAAAGCCACACAUUAGCCCAAAUUAUGAUCAAUGUUCUAUAUGUUAUACGUAGUACUAGCAAGAUGCCCAUGCGUUCCACAGAACAUCAACAUGAUCAAGGGGAGGCCUAAUUUGCAAAUAUGGAGAGGGGUGUGGGUAUCUUUUUCAAAAUUGCCAUAGUUUCGUUCCUAUCCGUCAGAUAUAAAUCGGACGGCCUAUAUUGCAGGAUGGCACCAUCAUCAACAACUCCUUUUUUUAUAAGAGUAGAGAUAAAAUAUAUUAUAUGUAGUAUAACCUGUUCAUAACCACACCAUGUGUAUCACCGUUAUAUAUAUUCACACAUGUGUCGGUUUAAAACACUAUGAUAAAUUCUUCAAAUAUCCAAAUUUGCUUUUUAUAAUGAAGUAUGAUCUCUAUUCGUAUUUUACACCCACACAAUCCCCUUAUCUUUGUAGCUAGCUAGCGCUAACUUUCUCUCGUGCAUGCAGACGCCCGCAUCCCUCUAACCCUCCCUCAGCAUUCUCUAGCUCCAUCGCGCAAAUUCGUCUUUUCACUUUAGGUCAUUCACCCACGGUGUGUGUAGGCCCCCCAGCUCCUUUACGGCACACAUCGAUCUAUAUGCCUCUCUAGCCAGGUGUGCCUAGCACAAAACACAAGCUUCCCCUCUUCUCUUAUCACCGUCCAUGCCUCACUCCCACCACUCUUUUCAUCGAUCUCGUACUCGCACACUUCUCCCCCUUGAUAUAGUAUGACUCUCGCACCACCUCCUAGAUGCAUCCCUCUCUCUUUAUCCUUCUCCCCGUGCCUCAUUUGCUUCUAACACACACAUGCAUGUAUACCGAUCGAUCUCCCAACAUAUACCUAGGUCGACUUUAACUAUUCCCCCCCCAUCGAUCGACAUACCUCACAAGUUAUGUCUCUCCUUUCUCUGACAAAGGACGAUUGAUCUUCCUAUGUAGUUAUGUCUGCUUACCACAUCCAUAUCGCCCCCCAUCAUUCGUGCAUGCCUCCUGACCCGUCUCUCACACGCACGUGCACAGACAGGCAGCCAUCCCCUCUCUUAUUGAUAUUGCAGGCGUGCCCGCCGGUUGUCUAGCAAUCCUAUCCCACCAUUUGUUAGAAGCAACUCCACUACCACCCCCUCCAACACUCUAGCUCUGUCUCUCUCCCAACCUUAUUCCUCUCCUGCACAUAUGCAUGGAUGCCGAUCGAUCUCCCUUAAUACAUGAGGUAGAUCGAUAUCCCUUAAUACAUGAGGUAGGCCUCUCUCCUCCUCCACACAUAUACCAGCCAUUGUACCUCUAUAGUUAAUUAGGCCUCCCUCCCCCCCCCACCACACACCGAUAGUCGAGUGAUGUAGGUAGGUAUCCAUGCCACAGAGACAAACUGCACCUGUCCCCUCUCUCGUUCUAGUAGGCCAGCCACUCUAUAUCUUUGACGUGGGCACACACAAAUUCGAUGGCACUCUUUAUCGACCGCACGCGCACACACACACACAUCAUCUCUCUCUUCGAUUCUAUGGACACCUCAAGUCGAUGAUACCUCCACUCUCUUCUCGUGGAUCGCCCCCUCUAUAUAUAUGAUAUAUCCAGGACUCUAUUUCACACACAUUGCAUAUGUUACAUUUUUUGAUUGACCCCCCCCCCCCUAAAAAAACUCUCACGAACCCACACACUAUAUCUCUCUACGUGUGUAUCUCUCUCACACAACCCCACGUAGGUGGUGUACGUAUACAAGAAGAGAAUAGGUGCACCGUGCACUUACUCACGCUUCAUGCCCAGCCACACCCGCGCGGGUACACGGUGGAGCUCAUUUCUGUAAGAAAUGGCAGCCCACGUGCUAAUUUGAACGCGUGUAGCGGUUGUUUACCUACGGAGGUCGUGUACCACGCGUGCACGAAACAAAGUUCGACUUGAUGCGUUGGCGCGUUAUUUUUAAAUAAAGUUAUAUCGCUCAAUGGCACGUACACAGAAUAUAAACCGAUUUUUAUGGAGAAAAAGGUAGUCUGCUCCACUAUAUACAAUGGAGCCUCCCUGCCUGGUUUGUCUCUCUUCAGAGUAUCUCACACAAAGGCUGCGGUGGCCUCUCUCUCUCACCGUUGGUCACUGAUCCGGCCACAUCCCGUCCGCAGGCGGAAAGGGAGGACGUGCAUCGUUUCUUCGUUCGACGGCGCCGAGGCAGCACGUCCCUAUCUGCGGUACACGCCGUUCUCUCUGACCAAGCUCCGGCGUGGUAGGGCCUACGCCACCUGCUCGCUGCCGCAGUAUGGGCAGAUUCCGCCCGCCGCCGCUCACCUAGUUACAUCCCGACGACCUCCAGGUAUCCCCUCCGGCCUUGCUCCACUGCCCAUCUUCCCACGUCGUUGCAUGUGGAUCUUCCAUAGUUCUUUGCACAAAACGUAGCUCGUCCGGCGUACUUUCCAUAUUGCAAUCUCAUCCUCACACCGUUUUAGACAAACACAACCAUGUUGUUAUCUUCCCUUAGGACAAGGAAUAUGCUUCUUUUUGUCGUCGCAACUGUCAUCAACAAUAUUUGUCUUUUUACAAAUUUCAAAUGGGCAUAUUUUAGAGUGUAGAUUCACUCAUUUUGCUUCGUAUGUGUACUCCCUCCGUUCCUCAAUAUUUGUCUUUCUAGAGAUUUCAACAAGUGACUACCUACGGAGCAAAAUGAGUGAAUCUACACUCUAAAAUAUGUCUAUAUACAUCCUUAUGUAGUAGUCAUUUGAAUCUCAAAAAAGACAAAUAUUUGAGUAGUCACUCGUUGAAAUAUCUAGAAAGACAAAUACUCCGGAGUAUAUUUAAGAACCGAGGGGGUAGUGCACAGCCGCAUGGGAGACUCAGACCGGUCGUUCCGCCGCAUUAAUAGUGAGUAAUGAGCAGUCAAAUCAUAAGCCCCACCUUUCCCACUGUAAGUUGCUCGGAAGAAGCAACCGUCAAUACGCUCUUCUUUGAAUCCGCUCAUACUACUCCAUCCGUCACUGUUUAUAGAGCGCGCUUCAGAAAAAGAGAAAAUCUCUGGCACCAAGGCGACUAGCGGUCGGCCUGAAAAAUAGCAUUGGUAGUUAUAGCACGGAGUCUAUUAAUAGAGGAAAUAAUGCGUACACACAUGCAUGCAGUGCUUCCACCCUGGGUAGACACAUGCAUGCACGUACUCCACUCCGUAGUACUACAUCGAGAGAAAAUUGCGGUUACCACGCCCUAAUUAAUUGAGCAUUAAACCAAACGCGUCUAAAGUCUCUCUCGUGGUGGAAAUUCCAUGAGAGAAAUGCAUCAUAAUGAAGUGCGCCCUGUAAACUGUGACAGAGGGAGUAGUAUGAAGGUGCAAAACCAAGUACGCGUAUGGCCAGUCGGUCAACGCACCUCAUCUUGGCAUAUCACUGACAUGUGGGACUGCAGUGUGAGCAAACCGAUCUCAAUUGACGGCAAAAUGGCCAACCCGCCGUUCCUUGAGAGAGACGAGGAGUGAGAACACACAGACGGGCUCGCACGGAGGCCAAGAUAUAUUCGAGCAUGGUUGAUCGAUAUCAUCAUUACAUGUUGGGCUGCCGUUUUCCGCCCUUCUCCGGAAUAAAUGUGUACUUUAUCAAAGAUUAAGAAAAAUAAGAGUACAGAGGCUCCACCAUGCGGUUCUAGUAGUAGUACUACUCGUACUACUAAACCUUGCGCUUGGCUCUUCGCCUCUUCGUGAAGUCGAACAAUGAUGGUACUCCGCAUGUUCGGUACUACAGUGUAUGCCUCUGGCAAUCUGACACCGAAUGAACUGAUGCAUGUCCACUGCCUGGGCGAGGUACGUUGCAUUAGUCAAAAGGCGUAAGUGAGCUUCACCUUGUCCUGCAAGCUUCUCCUUGUUCUGCGAGUUGACGGGACACACCAACAAGUAGUGCUAGUCCAUACUCCCUCCUUUUCGGUUAAUAUGGCUUAAUCUUUUUUGCGGGUAAAUGAGAGAGCAUUAUUCAUAUAUAAGUAUUCGUAGGACGAUUAGCCAAGACACUGGUCACUAGGAAGCGAGGUACCCCGAAAAAAAAGAAGUAGGAAGCGAGGGGUUUCAUCAAGCCAGCUCUCGGCCACAUUCAAAGUGCAGCAAGCACGGUUCGCACAAAGAUGCGCCGCAAGGUUUGCUGACCUGUUUACAUGCUGAAUAGUAAAAAAGAGAGGAAAUAUUACCGAGCGCUCCUAUUUGUAACAGGAUAUGAGCCAGAAUUAAGCGAGAAUUGUGGCGAGUGUUCCAUGCAAUCAACUUCCAUUAUCACAUGCGAGAACCCUCGAAGAGAACCAAAUGUGUUGAAGAUUGCUUUAUCACAUUUUAAAAAUAUAAUAAGAAUGCAGAUGCUCCUCCAUCUGGUUCCUAGUACUAGUAAACUUUGCGCUUGGUUGUUCGCCUCUUCGGGAAGUGCAACAAUAAUAGUACUAGUAUAGUGUAUGCUUCUAGCAAUCUGACACCAAAUUAACUAUUGCACGCCCACCGCCUGAGUGAAGGACAGCUUGCAUUAGUCAAAAGUUUCUCCUUGUCCUGUGAGCCACCGCGCGCAAGCUUCUCCCAUCCUGCAAGCUUCUCCUCGUUCGGCAAGUUGACAUGACACAGCAAAGUAAUGCUAGUCCAUACUGCCUCCUCUUCGGUUAAUAUGGCUUAAUUUCAAACGAGAUAAAUACACAAUCAGUCAUUGUAUAUCUGUAAAAAUACGGUCAGUGGACUUCAUAAUAAGCUCAUUGCGCUCAAUAUAUACAUUUUCCGGUGUUUAUACGGUCACUAGCUCAACCUGGCUGAGUAUGUGUGUGCAUGCACGUGUAGGUUGAGCACUUGAGCGUGACCGUGUGUGUUCCGUCGUGUGCUCGGAGAUGCAUGCAUUAGGGUGUCGCGCGCGUUUUUGCGUCCAUGUGUACGUGUGACUGUUGCAUACACGUAGGGGGAGUACGUGUAGGGGCCACUAAAGGAGCAGUCAAAUCACACAGUAAGUUAGUCGGAAGAAGCAACCAUCAUUUCACUCUUCAAUGACACGUACGCAAUAUAAAAUGGUUGAUAUGGAGAGAAAAAGAAAACCACUAUAUAUACACUAGCAGGAGCCUAAGCUACAAGCCUGCUUGCUUGGGUUGCUCUCUUCACAAGCAUCGAACGACGGUGGCCACACCGCUGGUCACAUAUCCGGCCUGACCCCGCAGCUGGGGGAAGGGAACAAUGUUCUGCGUAGACGCGGUCGACAUCAGCGAGGGAGAAAAUCCACAGUCGGUGCAUCCCAAUCGGGGGUCACCGCGGUAUGGGCCAAUGCUGCGUCCCAACCGCCCUUCUAGCUACAGCCCGACGUCCGUUUCGAAAAUAUUAGUGCAUGUCAACAAAAAUUAUACUAGUAUCACUGUUCUGUUUCGGAAAAAAAGCAUAUAGGCUAUUACUUCUUACCCAAAGGAUCUUUAUAUCCAAUAGACACAAAAUAUCCAUUCGACUGUUCGAAACUACUUUCACUGCUGAUCUGAUGUCGAGGUAAUUGCUGCAUUGCCACCAAAACCCACCAUCUCUUAAGCUAAAGUAGACCGAGCUAACCCCUAUAUUAGCAUAAUACUAACAUAAACAGAAGGCACUAUAGAAUCAUUUAGGAUGUGAGCUUGUCAAUAUGAAUGUGGAGGGACACCAGCUUAGCCCCGGCCAGUAGCUUGGGCGGAACAGUGAAGAAGGUCAGCCCCUGCACGGCGACGACGCCGGGAUCCCUGCUGCUUGUCACCUCCAUUUCCACCUUGAUGGCGUCGGUCCUGCCUUUGGGCUCCCCCGGCGGGCCGUUCGCCCACAGCUUGGCCACAUAGUGCGGCAGUGGGGAUGCCCCCGCUCUGAUGCAGACGAAUGACAGGGCGAUAGGCGCGCCGAUGUCGAGCACGCCGCUGACCAAGAAAAACGUGCGGCCGUCCUCCUUCGCGAACAGCAAGAGCCGUGGCUCCGACAGUGGCACUUGCAGGUGGAGCGCCUUGCCGUACUGGAUCCUGUGCACGGGCAUGGGAUGCACGGUGCUGAUGUGGUGGGAGAGCCACGGCGGUGGGCCUUCAUAGCCACAGACGGGCACGGGGCAUUUGCAGGGCGCGAGCGGACACACGCUCUGGUGAUCGGCGAGCUUGUGGUAAGUGAUGUAGAGCCCACAGCCUUCGUGCGUGCACUCCACCCUCACCGAGGAGAGGACGGCAUCCACCGUCGUGUUCCGCACGUCGAAGCCACAGCCGCGCUCGCACUUCUGGCACUGCCGCUGGUUCCCGGGGCGCUCGACGCGGCAGUCCGCGCAAGCCAGGUGCCCUCCCUUGCACUGCACAAAUCAAUCGAACAACAUAUCAAUCAAGAAACCUGCACCUUGCUCGAUCAGCCGAACGGACGAGGUGUAUUCGAACCUCAUACACUGGAGGCUUCAAGGGGCGGAGGCACAAGGGGCAGUGGAGCAAGGUGAGGUCCAUCGCCCUCCUCGUGCACAACCAUCUCUCGCUUUAUUAGGGCCGGGGCAUUACAAAGCUUUACCAUCACCUAUUCAUACUACUUCAAGGUGCAUUAAAUCAACACAUGCAAGUAUCAAAAGGAGAGUCACGACAUGCAUGCAUGUGUUGUAAUUAAUGCAUCGGUAAACGCAAAUUAUUGAAAUAUAUCGAGUGCAGUGCUUUGAUGUGUCGCGUCAACUCGUACAAGACCGAGAAGUUUGAUUACUACAACGCAUUCUCGCCUUAACCGCACCUGCCUUUGGCUGCAUGACAGGUGGGCCACCGACCUGUUGGGCCCACCUGUCAUGGACGCAAAGGCAGGAGCAGUAAGUCAAUGAAGCUGCGUCCCUCCCUCGCCCAUGAUCGUGGUGGCUGGCAGGACUAGGAGAAGCUUUCGUUUGCUACACGCUCUCCCUCCCGUACGCGGUGGACAUGCAGCAGUUCAAUCGGUGUCAGAUGGCCAGAAGCAUACUGUAGUACUGCUCCACUGCAGUAGUACUCCAUCAUUUUGUUCGACUUCCUGAAGAGGCGAAGAGCCAAGUGCAGCUCGGACGCUCGUGUGGCAGUUUCAUGUGUAGAGUAGUCUAGGAUAGCGUGUAUUGUGCCUGUAAGCUUAAAAUCGUUGGGGUCGGCUCCAUGCUAUAUUUUUUUGAUUAAAAUUAUCUUCUAGCCCUACCUGUCAUCCUAGUGAUUCUAGUUUGCACGCUCAUCUGGUCAAGACAGGAAUAUAUAUUUUAAUUUGUGGUGGGGUAAAUGUUAGAGGUUGCAGCAAAUGGAGUAUUGUACACUGCGGGUCUUUCAGCCAAGUUUAGAGGCAACCAUGUGGGGCCAGUGCUAUGAUGUGUUAGGUCAACUCGUACAACGAGGAGAAGCUUGAUUUUACUACUACACGCCUUCUCCAUCGCCCAUGCGCGCGGUGGCUCGCAGACGAGGACAUGCUUUUGCUUAUACUAUAGUACUACAACAAGCUAUCCCUCCCGCUCGUGGUGGACGGACAUGCAAUAGUGUAUUUGAUACUGUAGAAGCAAUAGUAGUAACAUCAUUGUUCGUCUUCUCGUAGAGGCGAAGAGCCAAGUGCAACCCGAACGUGGCAGUUGUGAACCUUGGAGCACGCAUAUAGCCAGGCUCUUGCAUGAGACAAAAUUGCUAUGUGAGCCCACUAUUGUAGUAAGUACUUGCCAGUAUAGCCCUGUAAACCAGAAAGGAGUAUUUUCCUUUCUAGAGAUUUCAACAAGUGACUAGACUAAUCCGAGACGGAUGUAACGCCCAUGAUGCGGCUAUAUCUCCCACGUGUCGAGGCACGACUUAGAGGCAUAACCGCAUUGUGGUUUUGUCGCAAGAAGGGUCAUCUUCACACAAUCCCAUGUAAUGAACAAGAAUGGGAUAAAGAGUUGGCUUACAAUCGCCACUUCACACAACACAUAAAUAAAACAUACAUCAUUCAGAGAUACACACAUAGGUCCGACUACGGAACCAAAAUAAAGAAGACAACCCAACUGCCAGAUCCCUGAUCGCCCCAACUGGGCACCACUACUGAUCAACAAGAAAAGAAACAACACAACGAACAAGAUCUUCAUCGAGCUCCCACUUGAGCUCAGUUGCGUCAUCUGCACUGGUCUCAUCAGCACCGGCAACUGUUUUGGAAGUAUCUGUGAGUCACGAGGACUCAGCAAUCUCACACCCGCGAGAUCAAGACUAUUUAAGCUUAUAGGAAAGUAUGGGGUAGUGAGGUGGAGCUGCAUCAAGCACUAGCAUAUAUGGUGGCUAACAUACGCAAAUGAGAGCGAGAAGAGAAGCAACGGAACGGUCGUGAACUAGCAAUGAUCAAGAAGUGAUCUUGAACUCCUACUUAUUUCACUUCCCGGACUCCGCCGAGAAGAGACCAUCACGGCUACACACGCAGUUGAUGCGUUUUAAUUAAGGUCAAGUGUCAAGUUCUCUACAACCGGAUAUUAACAAAUUCCCAUCUGCCACAUAACCGCGGGCAUGGCUUUCGAAAGAUAAUACCCUGCAGGGGUGUCCCAACUUAGCCCAUUAUAAGCUCUCACGGUCAACGAAGGAUAAACCUUCUCCCGGGAAGACCCGAUCAGUCUCGGAAUCCCGGUUUACAAGACAUUUCGACAAUGGUAAAACAAGACCAGCAAAGCCGCCCAAAUGUGCCGACAAAUCCUGAUAGGAGCUGCACAUAUCUCGUUCUCAGGGCACACCGGAUGAACACUACGUACAACUAAAACCAGACCUCGAGUUUCCCCGAGGUGGCGCUGCAAGUGGCUCUAGUUUGGACCAGCACUCAGAGGAACACUGGCCCGGGGGUUUAAAAUAAAGAUGACCCUUGAGUCUGCAGAACCCAAGGGAAAAAGGCUUAGGUAGGCAAAUGGUAAAACCAAGGUUGGGCCUUGCUGGAGGAGUUUUAUUCAAAGCGAACUGUCAAGGGGGUCCCAUAAAUCACCCAACCGCGUAAGGAACGCAAAAUCAAGGAACAUAACACCGGUAUGACGGAAACUAGGGGCGGCAAGAGUGGAACAAAACACCAGGCAUAAGGCCGAGCCUUCCACCCUUUACCAAGUAUAUAGAUGCAUUAAUUAAAUAAGAGAUAUUGUGAUAUCCCAACAUAAACAUAAUCCAACAUGGAGCAAUCUUCAACUUCACCUGCAACUAGCAACGCUAUAAGAGGGGUUGAGCAAAAGCGGUAACAUAGCCAAACAACGGUUUGCUAGGAAGGGUGACAAAGGUUAGAGGUUCAUGGCAAUAUGGGAGGCAUGAUAUAGCAAGUGGUAGGUAGCGCAGCAUAGCAAUAGAGCGAACAACUAGCAAGCAAAGAUAGAAGUGAUUUGUAGGGUAUGGUCAUCUUGCCUGAGAUCCCGCUAGGAAGAAGAACGAGUUCAUGAGGAAGACAAACGGACGGAGUCGAACGAGUCCUCACAACUCCGGAACGAAACCGAAGCUAACGAGAGAAGCAACCCGGAAAGAAACAAACAACAUAGUAAACAACCACCACAUACACAUGGCAUGAUGCAUAAACAAGUAUGAUGCAUGUCCGGUUUAAUGAGGCAUGGCAUGGCAAAGUGCAACAAACAACACUACAAAUUAAGUGGAGCUCAAUAUGCAACGAGUUGCAAAUUGACGAAACACCACAUUCAAGUUAUUUAGUAUCGAUCUUGUUUAUGUACCCAACAAUAUUAAAUGUUGUUAAACAUGGCAAGAGGGUGAAGCAUAAAUAAAAUAACUAUUUAAGCAAGUAAAAUGAGGCCGGAAAUAACAAACAACAAUUCCGGAAAAUCCUCAUGUGCAUAUUUUAGAUUUGGUACUGUUCUGCCAUAAACGCAAUUUUAAUGUUGUUAAACAGCAAAAUGAAGUGAACCAUGUUAAACUAGGCAUUUUUCUACCCCAUUUACAUAUAUAAUUUAUUAAAAACCGAGCUACGGUUAUUUAGUUAUGAAUUAAAGCAUUUAGCAUGUUAUUUGAGCAAAUUUAAUCAAACAGCAUUUUAAACAAUAUUAACAUGGGUGAAAGUUGCAUAUUAUUAAACUACACAAAAUUCUAAGCAUUUUACAUGUUUAAAUCAUUUUAAUCCGAUGCACGGUUUGUGAGAUAUUAUAUGCAUGAUGUGCAAGGGGUUUUCUAUAAAACUGUAAAUCCUCGGAUAAUUACUAAAAUCGCCGGAGGGAAAAAACAAGAACUGGGCCGAAUCUAACUGGCCCAACAGUGCAACAGGUUUGGGUGGCUGCUCACAUCGGGCUCUCGGGCCGGAAGCGGAGAGGCGGCUGGGCCUUGGCACCUGGGACUUGGAGACCGGCCACGCUGGCGCUGGACCAAGUCAACGAAGGGGCAGCGCUGGCUGUCUCGUUCGUGAAGCAGGGGACGGCGGCUGGCGAUGCGGGAUGCAGGGCAUGGCGGCGAAGAAACUCCAGGGCGGCUGCACGGGACUCUGGGGCGCUGGCGGCGGGAUCCAGGAGACGGGAUGGAGGGGGCGCGAGCGAGGCUCUCGUCGAGGCCCUCCGGGAAGAAGAGCAGCGGCGCGACGCGGAGCAACAAAGGGACUCGGCGGAGCUCGGUACCUCGCCUGCUGCAAGACGAACGGGACGGCGAGGGAGAUGGCAGGGCGCGACGGGGCCUGCCUGGGGUCGCCGGCGACGCAGGGGAACUUGGGCAGGGAAGUAGCGAUCAGCUCCUGGUGGUGGUGGUCGACGCCUUGGUACUUGCAGGUUGUCGCGCGGGCCGGCGAGGAACUCGGGCGACGGGUGGCUGACGGUGACGCGAGCACCAGCAACGGGUAGAGGGAGGCGGAUCCGGGGAAGCUCAACUCCGGCGAGCUACUGCUCGUUGUCGGUCGGAUGGAGCUGGGUCGAGGGCGGCGGCGCUCCUGCUAGAACGAGGUGAGAGAGAUAGAGGGGUGAGACGAUGGAGAAGCACGGGAGAAAAUUAAGGCACGGAGCGACGGGACUGGCCUGGUCGCUGCUGCAGCUGGUUGGAACCUCCGGCGGGGAAUCACCGGCAAGGAGGAUGUCGUUGGGAGGCUCGGGGUCGAGCUCCUCUCGAUCUGGAUCGAUGAGGGAGCAGGAGGCGCGGCUGCGGUGGUGAAAUCGAGGGAGAGUGGGUGGCAAGCGCUGCUUGGCCCGGCGCUGAAGACGAGGGGCGUUGUCGGGUCGGCUGGUGGAAUGGAUGGAUUGGAUCGGGGAAUCAUGAGGAAGAGGGUGGCGGCGGCAGGGAACAGGUGGAUGGGACAGGUUAGGACUAGGGUUAGGCUGUUUAAAUAGCUAGGUGGACUAGCUUAAGGCAAAACAGGCCCUCCGAUCAAAACUGAACGGUCGAGAAAAAAGCUGUGGAGAGUCCAACAAAGAAAACGGUGAUGUUUUGUAGAUGUUUGGGGAUGAUCCGAAUCCAACGGUGAUAACAACCCGGGUCGGGUUCGGGGAGGUUCCGGACGCGCGAGAGGGGUCUAUGCACUGCGCAAGGAGGGGUUCGGUGGUUGUGCAGAGAGGGUCAAACGGUCAGACAAGAGAGAAUCGAAAAUCUGGUUAGGCUCAGAAUGGUCAACGAAUGCAAGGGGGGAUGCGGCAACUACGAGCGGAUGCAAGUUUGAAAAAACAAUGACGGCAACAGAGUGCCGAUGCAAUGCGAAUGAUGCGAUGAAGAAAGCAACAACAAAAUAAAUAACAGAGCUGACUCGCCAAACAAGGAAGGCAAUCGGAGCGUCGGUCUCGGGGCGUUACAAUGCUCCACCACUACAAGAGGAUCUCGUCCCGAGAUCUAGGAUGGCACCAGAGAGAAACGGAAGAUGAGGAGAAGAGGUAAAACUAAAUUGCUUCUUCGAGAAACGAGUGAAACCACGAUCCUUUAGAGGUUGGACAACUUGAAAGAAAGAGUACAACGGAGACAAACAAGAUAGCAAACACUCUCUUGGCAAAGAGGAACAAGGAACAUUGCGAGAACCUUGUAGGUUGAAAGACAUGAAUGGAAAAAUCAAUGAACGAGAAAUACAUGCAAGCACUCCGGUUGAAACGAGAUGUACAAGGAACGAUAAUGAUCAAUUACGAUAACGCUCCGGUUGGAAAAUGGAAGGGGUACAAUAUGGACUUGGCAAAAUGAAAGAACUUGGAUGUGACUCCGGUUAGAAGAGGAAUGAUAGACAUCAACACUCCGGUUAAAACAAGAUAAAGAAGGAAUGAGAAUGGUAUAAUUUGGGCAGCACUCCGCCUGUAAAUGGAAGGAAUUGAACAUGAUCUUGACAAGAUGAGAGGAUACUCGAGGAAAUUAACAACACAUUGCCUCCAGAACUAAAGAAAGAAUGGCACAAGGGGUAAGAAAGAUUUCAGGCCGCACUCCGGUUGAGGAAGGAGACAAAACUUGACAGAAUGGGAAGAACUUGAAAAGAGGGCACGACACUCCGGUUGGAAAUGGAUAGGCACGAAAAGAACACGGUCCUCACAAACCGAGAAGAUGAGUGAAGAGAGCAACAUCACAAUGCCUCCGAAAGAAAAAUAGAAGAUAGAUCAUUGGAAUAAAGAAUGGAGAAGAAAAUGACAACUUCCGCACAAAUGAGCUUGGAAAGCAUCCUUCCAAGAAGGUUAGAACGGAAUUGUUGGAAAACCAACAACGAAAAGAAUAAGCUUGUAGUGGGCUUAUGGAAAACUUCUCAAAAUUAUGAGGUGACAACCCGCCACUAACGGAAACAAAUGAUUGGAUUGAUAUCAACAAGGAGAUGAAAACUUCUACACCGAGAUGAGAAGGAGAAAAUUUGGAUCAUUGAUAACCACCACAAAUAGCUACAUUCCUUAGGGAAGGCUUUAGGUGAAUUAUAACCCAAUAUAACUCCAACAAAAGAUUGAUUGGUUGAAAAGAUCUCUUGAACAAAACAGAAAAUGAUGGAUUUAAUUAUCUCAUUCCUGACAACUUGUGAAUCAUGAAACAUGAAGGAAAUUGUCAAAAAUGACAUAACACCAUCCCAAAAGAUAAGGUAGAGAGAAUUGCACUUCGGAAUGCAAGAUGAAGAAUGUUUGAACUCCUCAAAACAACACAUGUGUUGAGCACCAUGUUUAUUUAAGAGUAUAGCUUGACAGAUCAUAGCUUCGAGAGAAAUUUUGAAGAACAAUUGAAGAAUGAAAGGAAUCCUUGACGACGCAGCAUGUAGAGCCUCCAUGAAGAACUCCGGUAAUAUAAGAAUGAUCAAACGAAAUGGAAACUUAAAAAGAACUCCGGGAGAAGCCUUGCAAUGAUUAGAUGAAGCUUUGAAAUGAUAUAAUUGAAAUAACAUGGAGCUCCGGAAAAAAAAUGAACAAAUGAGAUGAAGAAUUUUGAUGAAUCUCCGGAAUAGGAAUUAAUCACUUGGAUGAAACAAUAAUAAGAAUUACGUUAUGCGUAUCCUUCACCAAUUUAAAUUGAUGACAAGCAACGGAUUUUGCAUACUACUUAUUGUCGUAGAAAGGAUUAAGAUAGAUAUAGCGCAAACUUGAAUAAGGUCUUGAUGGAACCACCGGUGGGAUUUGGAAACACCGAAUGAAUUAAUAUGAUAACCAAGAAAGAGAACUCUUGAACGAACCACCGUAAGAAUUGAAAACAAUUGAAGAAAAGAGGACGAAACACCGUAAGAAUUAACGAACACGCAAAAAUACUCGAGGAAAACUAGAUACAUGAGAACGAAUAGAUCACGAGCUGACUAGAGGAUAAUUGAACGAUGCACCAGGAGAAUAUGGAGAUGAACGAAGAGACAUCAAUUUAGAGUAAUUGGAGAACGAAGCUGAAAACUUAGAACGAAGAAAUCUUCUGAAAUGAUGGCCUUUGGAUGAUCAAGAAAUGAAAACAACUCUAAAAUUCUCCAGAUGGGUAUGAAAAGAAUUGCGCGAUUGGAAACAAUUACGAGAGGAUGGCAUAAGCUAGAACUAUGAAUCUUGAGAGAACGGAUAAGAUUUGGAAGAAAAACUCUUCUUCGGUCUUCAAAUGUUGAGAAUGAUGACAAGAAACACCACCAUGAAUUGUUGAGAUACUCUGGGAUGAAAAUUAGAAUGGUUGAACCAACAAUGAAAAGAAUUUGAAAGAUCUUGGAGAGAGACAUUUGAUUGAUGAUAAUUCAUUCUUACGUCAAACUUUGCAAUGAAUUUGAGAAUAACUCUAGAAAGAAUUAUAAGAGUCAGGUAAGAUCCUGGGAAAAGACCUGUGGGUUAGGGCCCACUGAAAAGAACCACCGUUGAAAUGAUUACUUGAAAAGGAGAUUGCACCGGUUGAAUUAAAUGGCUUGAAUGAGGUAACAACCUCGAAAUAGUUAGAAUUGAUGCAGAGUGGAAACACGAAUCUUCAGAGAUAUCUUCAGCACUCCGGAACAAUUGAAUAUCAAGCGGGGAAUGAUUAAGAGAUAUACCGGCAUGAGAAAGCAUUUGAAAGGAGGAAAGGGAUAAUCAACACUGUAAGCUUGAAUUGAAUCGACCGGAGAAGAAAAAGAAUGAAGAAUGAAAAACUUGAAGAACAUCUUCAUGAGAACCACCGGGUAAGAACAUUGAUUGAAAAGAAUGAAGGGACUUCACGUGAAUAAAAUGGAUACUUGGUUACGACAUCUGAUUCCUUGAAGGAAAAGGGUGGGAGGGUGGCAAAACAAAGGCAACUUGGGUUGGAUGAAACGAACACCGUUGAGAAAAAACUUAGAAUUGAUCUUGCAAAUGUUGGAAUGAUUGGAUCCACUUGAAGAGAAGCACGCCGAUUGGAAAGAAUUGAAAAGACAACCUUGAAGAUGAAGAAGGAUUAGUAUUCACAUAGCAAUAUGAGAACACCGUUUAGGAAAGGUAUGGAUUCAACAUUUGUCAUAGAAGCAACUCGAAUACCACAACUUAAAACAAAACAAAGGAUUGGCUCAGUAAAUAAGCCAGAACAAACAUAUGAUAGAGAUUUCGUCCGAAGUUUUCGUGGUGGGGCCCACACGGGCUCGAUCGUACAGCACCAUCAUGUACAAGGCAGUGCACAUGACAUACGAAGCGUCCCCAAGUCGGCAUAGCCAAGGACUCUUUAAGACACUACGAGACCACUGUAAAACCAACCGUGGAAAGACGGACCACUAGACGUCGAACCCCAAUCUCAUAUCAUGCAUCUGUCGGAAAGAUAUCCUAAGUGCUACUUGAAUUCCCACUUAUAAACUCCCGAAACUUUCUGGUUAUGCAAUCAGGUGUUGGGGAUACAGGGGACACAAAAUAUAUCACCCAAACUAACAAUACCUAGAUCGAGCUGUAUCCAUCCGUCAACACAUAACCAAGAAAUCUUCGGAAAUCGUUUACCUCAACCUUCGAAAAGCAUCCGUUAUACGAGUUAUGGCAAUACUCCCGAACUCCCGCCCCAGUACUGGGUGGCGUCGAGGUGAUCUCACCAACAACUACAUAAAAGAGAUUUUGAUGUCGGCGAAACUCAGGUAUUCCAGAACUGCAACGAUAAAAUUGUGACGACAACACCUCGGAGCUCAACUCCCCGGGACACUGCCACAACCCCUAAAUGUCAGGAGGCACCAAGAACAAUGUUCUCGUCACAAAAACAUUGGAACGAUUCCAAGAUACCCGCGUGAUCCUAAAUUUUUUUAGUGAAAUUUGAGGAGAGAAUAGUCAAAACUUCUACGUCAGGAGGCUCACCAGAGCGACGAAGGGACUGAGGAGUAAAAAGAAUCCUACUCUCCGAUAUAUAUAAUCCUAAGACUCAAAACAUUUUUGUUCUAGACUCAACAACGCCAACGAUUCGAUCAAGCAGGGGGCUCCUAAGUCGGGGAUGGCUCUGAUUACCAACUUGUAACGCCCACGAUGCGGCUAUAUCUCCCACGUGUUGAGGCACGACUUAGAGGCAUAACCGCAUUGUGGUUUUGUCGCAAGAAGGGUCAUCUUCACACAAUCCCAUGUAAUGAACAAGAAUGGGAUAAAGAGUUGGCUUCCAAUCGCCACUUCACACAAUACAUAAAUAAAACAUACAUCAUUCAGAGAUACACACAUAGGUCCGACUACGAAACCAAAAGAAAGAAGACAACCCAACUGCCAGAUCCCUGAUCGUCCCAACUGGGCACCACUAAUGAUCAACAAGAAAAGAAACAACACAACGAACAAGAUCUUCAUCGAGCUCCCACUUGAGCUCAGUAGCGUCAUCUGCACUGGUCUCAUCGGCACCUGCAACAGUUUUGGAAGUAUCUGUGAGUCACGAGGACUCAGCAAUCUCACACCCGCGAGAUCAAGACUAUUUAAGCUUAUAGGAAAGUAUGGGGUAGUGAGGUGGAGCUGCAGCAAGCACUAGCAUAUAUGGUGGCUAACAUACGCAAAUGAGAGCGAGAAGAGAAGCAACGGAACAGUCGUGAACUAGCAAUGAUCAAGAAGUGAUCCUGAACUCCUACUUACGUCAAACAUAACCCAGAAACCGUGUUCACUUCCCGGACUCCGCCGAGAAGAGACCAUCACGGCUACACACGCGGUUGAUGCGUUUUAAUUAAGGUCAAGUGUCAAGUUCUCUACAACCGGAUAUUAACAAAUUCCCAUCUGCCACAUAACCGCGGGCACGGCUUUCCAAAGAUAAUACCCUGCAGGGGUGUCCCAACUUAGCCCAUUAUAAGCUCUCACGGUCAACGAAGGAUAAACCUUCUCCCGGGAAGACCCGAUCAGUCUCGGAAUCCCGGUUUACAAGACAUUUCGACAAUGGUAAAACAAGACCAGCAAAGCUGCUCGAAUGUGCCGACAAAUCCUGAUAGGAUCUGCACAUAUCUCGUUCUCAGGGCACACCGGAUGAACACUACGUACAACUAAAACCAGACCUCGAGUUUCCCCGAGGUGGCGCUGCAAGUGGCUCUAGUUUGGACCAGCACUUUAGAGGAACACUGGCCCGGGGGUUUAAAAUAAAGAUGACCCUUGAGUCUGCAGAACCCAAGGGAAAAAGGCUUAGGUAGGCAAAUGGUAAAACCAAGGUAGGGCCUUGCUGGAGGAGUUUUAUUCAAAGCGAACUGUCAAGGGGGUCCCAUAAAUCACCCAACCGCAUAAGGAACGCAAAAUCAAGGAACAUAACACCGGUAUGACGGAAACUAGGGGCGGCAAGAGUGGAACAAAACACCAGGCAUAAGGCCGAGCCUUCCACCCUUUACCAAGUAUAUAGAUGCAUUAAUUAAAUAAGAGAUAUUGUGAUAUCCCAACAUAAACAUAAUCCAACAUGGAGCAAUCUUCAACUUCACCUGCAACUAGCAACGCUAUAAGAGGGGCUGAGCAAAAGCGGUAACAUAGCCAAACAACGGUUUGCUAGGAAGGGUGACAAAGGUUAGAGGUUCAUGGCAAUAUGGGAGGCAUGAUAUAGCAAGUGGUAGGUAGCACAGCAUAGCAAUAGAGCGAACAACUAGCAAGCAAAGAUAGAAGUGAUUUCUAGGGUAUGGUCAUCUUGCCUGAGAUCCCGCUAGGAAGAAGAACGAGUUCAUGAGGAAGACAAACGGACGGAGUCGAACGAGUCCUCGCAACUCCGGAACGAAACCGAAGCUAACGAGAGAAGCAACCCGGAAAGAAACAAACAACAUAGUAAACAACCACCACAUACACAUGGCAUGAUGCAUAAACAAGUAUGAUGCAUGUCCGGUUUAAUGAGGCAUGGCAUGGCAAAGUGCAACAAACAACACUACAAAUUAAGUGGAGCUCAAUAUGCAACGAGUUGCAAAUUGACGAAACACCACAUUCAAGUUAUUUAGUAUCGCUCUUGUUUAUGUACCCAACAAUAUUAAAUGUUGUUAAACAUGGCAAGAGGGUGAAGCAUAAAUAAACUAACUAUUUAAGCAAGUUAAAUGAGGCCGGAAAUAACAAACAACAAUUCCAGAAAAUCCUCAUGUGCAUAUUUUAGAUUUGGUACUGUUCUGCCAUAAACGCAAUUUUAAUGUUGUUCAACAGCAAAAUGAAGUGAACCAUGUUAAACUAGGCAUUUUUCUAUCCCAUUUACAUAUAUAAUUUAUUAAAAACCGAGCUACGGUUAUUUAGUUAUGAAUUAAAGCAUUUAGCAUGUUAUUUGAGCAAAUUUAAUCAAACAUCAUUUUAAAAAAUAUUAACAUGGGUGAAAGUUGCAUAUUAUUAAACUACACAAAUUUCUAAGCACUUUACAUGUUUAAAUCAUUUUAAUCCGAUGCACGGUUUGUGAGAUAUUAUAUGCAUGAUGUGCAACGGGUUUUCUGUAAAACUGUAAAUCCUCGGAUAAUUACUAAAAUCGAUGGAGGGAAAAAAACAAGAACUGGGCCGAAUCUAACUGGCCCAACAGUGCAACAGAUUUGGGUGGCUGCUCACAUCGGGCUCUCGGGCCGGAAGCGGAGAGGCGGCUGGGCCUUGGCACCUGGGACUUGGAGACCGGCCACGCUGGCGCUGGACCAAGUCAACGAAAGGGCAGCGCUGGCUGUCUCGUUCGUGAAGCAGGGGACGGCGGCUGGCGAUGCGGGAUGCAGGGCAUGGCGGCGAAGAAACUCCAGGGCGGCUGGACGGGACUCUGGGGCGCUGGCGGCGGGAUCCAGGAGACGGGAUGGAGGGGGCGCGAGCGAGGCUCUCGUCGAGGCCCUCCGGGAAGAAGAGCAGCGGCGUGACGCGGAGCAACAAAGGGACUCGGCGGAGCUCGGUACCUCGCCUGCUGCAAGACGAACGGGACGGAGAGGGAGAUGGCAGGGCGCGACGGGGCCUGCCUGGGGUCGCCGGCGACGCAGGGGAACUUGGGCAGGGAAGCAGCGGUCAGCUCCUGGUGGUGGUGGUCGACGCCUUGGUACUUGCAGGUUGUCGCGCGGGCCGGCGAGGAACUCGGGCGACGGGUGGCUGACGGUGACGCGAGCACCAGCAACGGGCAGAGGGAGGCGGAUCCGGGGAAGCUCAACUCCGGCGAGCUACUGCUCGUUGUCGCCCGGACGGAGACGGGUCGAGGGCGGCGGCGCUCCUGCUAGAAUGAGGUGAGAGAGACAGAGGGGUGAGACGAUGGAGAAGCACGGGAGAAAAGGAAGGCACGAAGCGACGGGACUGGCCUGGUCGCUGCUGCAGCUGGUUGGAACCUCCGGUGGGGAAUCACCGGCAAGGAGGAGGUCGUUGGUAGGCUCGGGGUCGAGCUCCUCUCGAUCUGGAUCGAUGAGGGAGCAGGAGGCGCGGCUGCGGUGGUGAAAUCGAGGGAGAGUGGGUGGCAAGCGCUGCUUGGCCCGGCGCUGAAGACGAGGGGCGUUGUCAGGUCGGCUGGGUGGAAUGGAUGGAUUGGAUCGGGGAAUCCUGAGGAAGAGGGUGGCGGCGGCAGGGAAUAGGUGGAUGGGAUAGGUUAGGACUAGGGUUAGGCUGUUUAAAUAGCUAGGUGGACUAGCUUAAGGCAAAAUAGGCCCUCCGAUCAAAAUUGAACGGUCGAGAAAAAAGCUGUGGAGAGUCCAACAAAGAACACGGUGAUGUUUUGUAGAUGUUUGGGGAUGAUCCGAAUCCAACGGUGACAACAACCCGGGUCGGGUUUGGGGAGGUUCCGGACGCGCGAGAGGGGUCUAUGCACUGCGCAAGGAGGGGUUCAGUGGUUGUGCAGAGAGGGUCAAACGGUCAGACAAGAGAGAAUCGAAAAUCCGGUUAGGCUCAGAAUGGUCAACGAACGCAAGGGGGGACGCGGCAACUACGAGCGGAUGCAAGUUUGAAAAAACAAUGACGGCAACAGAGUGCCGAUGCAAUGCGAAUGAUGCGAUGAAGAAAGCAACAACAAAAUAAAUAACAGAGCUGACUCGCCAAACAAGGAAGGCAAUCGGAGCGUCGGUCUCGAGGCGUUACAACGGAGUACAUAUGGAGUAAAAUGAGUGAAUCUACACCGUAAAUAAAUACAUACUAGUUCUCUCGUUUUCCUCUCGGCCUUGGUCGUGGUGCACAAUAUUGAGUAUACUAGUACUAUCAUCUUGAAAUUUACGAAGUCACCAUAGGCACCUCGUCGUCGAUGGGAACGUCUCCUGACACGCGAUAGACGCGAGCGGCAGUCGCCUCCAUAGGUGCUUGAAUGCCAAGGAGGGAGAGGGUAGCGGUUCCCGAGAGGCUGAACGGUCAAUGAUGCAUCCUCAUAUUACUCUACAUGCAGAUGGAAUUAAUUGGAGAAGCAGAAUAGAGCCAGCACGAUGUGAGUGCAACAGAGUUUGGAUUCUCAUAUAAAGGCGCCCCACCACUCCAAUCCAUCUACUCCUUAGUCUCUGCGCAACACUUCUCACUCCAAUCCAAGACCAAGUGACUAGAAGCCAGAAGCAUCCAAAUCAUCCAAGCAGUCGGCUGUCGGCUGUGCCAAAUCAUCCAAGGCGCCGGUCUGCGGCCCCGCACCGCGCAGCGUUUCCAGACGAUGCUGGCGACCGCCGGCGUCGUAGCCCUUGCCGAUGCCGGCUUCGCCUCUCGCAUGGACGACAUGAUGGUCAAUUCCAUCCGCAAGUUCGCCGCCAUCAAGAAGCGCGCAGACGACCUUGCCGUACUGCUCCAGCCCGCGCGCCCAGGCUCCUCAUUGCCUGCCACCCUCAUCGCCCUCCAUGGUGAAGAACUCUUUCAAGCCCUGGUGGCCCUGCAGUUGCCGGUGGUCGCAAUGAAGAAUGUGCACCUCGAGGCCGCGCUCGUCGCGCAGCGCCUCGCCAUGCAAGAAACCGUCGACCUGCACAUCCACAUCUACGAGGAAAUCGUCUACACAGGCCACUACAAGGCCAGCGAGGACAGAAAGACGUUGGCCUUCUUCCAGCGGCUGGAAUCUUUGGACGCCAUUGUUUAGAAGCACGUCGACCUGGCCACGAAAGCCGCUGCUACUUAGCCGUCGUUCGAUGCAUCUCUUCUUCUUGCCUGCUGUAACCAGCACUGCAUCGCCUCAUGGCCUUAAUGUUUUAUUAGUAUAGGAGUAUAUGGCAUUUUUAUUCCAGUAGUAACGUUUUCACUGUGAGGUGGGGCCGUAGUUGAGCAAACCGACCAUCGGCAAAUCCCCACCCCGCCCACCGGGCGUCGGCUGAGUUUAGAAUUACUAGAAGAGAGAAACGAGGGAGAAGAGCUAGCUGUAGCACAGACGCCGUUGUCAGAUGGGACUCGUGUUGAUAGAAUAGGAGUACUGAGCACUCGUACUUCUUUUUUUAGGGAAAAAGCAGUCAUAUGUCUAGUACUACCACUAGUUGGGUGCAUGCGACCUAUACCUGUCAUCACUUUAGGUCUCCUUUUCGAACCGCAGCUACGCUUCACCGUACAUGUGGGACAUAGAGCAUCUGGGUCGUAGUGCAUGCACGACUCGGAGCAUAUGCCAGGGUACUUUACAUUUCAGACCUCACGAAUUACAUGCAAACCCCCCGCAGAAGAAUAAAUAAAUAAAUGAAUUACUACAUGAAACCAGAUUAUUUUCAUAGAAACCGGAGCACGUUCAUUAAAUUUUGGACAUAACACGUUUAUAAAAAAACUACCGGACCUAAACCAGUCUAAGGACCUCUUUGAUCCGCAGGAUACUGAAAACACAGAAAUGGGGAAAGUAUGAUGGCGAUGAACCGAGAAGAGGAGAACUCUACUAACUCAGUUAGAGGUUAGAGUUAGAUUCUAACCCUGAACUAACUCUAAACCAAAGAGGUCUAUGGAUGGCAGGGUUAGAUUGACAAUAAAUGUUCUUUCUCAAUCACUGCGCAACACUCCUGACUCCAAUCCAAGACCAAGUGACCAAAAGCCAGAAGCACCUAUGGAGGCGAUGGUCGCGAGCGGCAGUCAGCUGUGCCAAAUCAUCCAAGGCGCCGGCCUGCGGCCCCGCACCGUGCAGCGUUUCCAGACGGUGUUGGCGACCGCCGGCGUCGUAGCCCUCGCCGACACCAUCUUCGCCUCUUGCAUGGACGACAUGAUGGUCAACUCCAUCCGCAAGUUCGCCGCCGUCAAGAAGCGUGUAGCGAAAGCUCCUACUAGUCUUGCCAGCCACCACGCUCAUGCACGAGGGAGGGGUCAUUGUAGUAAUCAAACUUCUCGGUCUUGUAUGAGUUGACGCGACACAUCAAAGCAUUGCACUUGAUAUAAGUCUUUUUACACAUUUCAAAUGGACUACCACAUACGGAUGUAUGUAGACAUAUUUUGCUUCGUAUGUAGUCACUUGUUGCAAUCUCUAAAAAGACUUAUAUUUGGAAACAGGGGGAGUACAACGCAUGCAUGCAUGUCGUGACCUCCCUUUUGAUACUUUCAUGUGUUGAUUUGAUGCACCUUGCCAAAUUUUGACUAUAAAUUUAACUAACCAAAUUUUCAUGCUUGUCACAAAAAAUUAUGGGGCUGUUUGGAUUGUGACUAUGUUUGUCUUAUGUUGCCACAUUAUUUUUCCCAGACUUGCCACAUUUGCCUAACUUGAGUUGCUCAAAUUGUUAGACACACUUUGGCUUGCCUAAGGGAAUCUUGCCACACUUUUUGUGUCUAUGACAUGUGGGCUUCACUGCUAAUAAAAAAAUGCUUGUCUUAGGUGUGGCCAAUAAAAAAAGACUUAUAUUUAGGAACGGAGGGAGUAGAAAAUAUAAAUAAUAAUGCAUGUUGGGGCAACCCACGUUUCCGAUAAUUUUAUCCGUGGGCUUGUUCACAAUUUUUAUGAGGGGGUGGUUGUUCAUUUAAUGGAGGGACUUGUACCAGACUUGAACGAUACAAAGUGCGACCUGGCACACCGUAACACCACUUGGAACAAGCGGGUAGCUAUCUCAAAAAACAAUCAACAACUAAAAAACGGCGACCUGGCACGUACUCCAAUUUUAAAUGAUUGUUUGAUGGAGUGAAAAAGGAAAACUACCCCACUACGUAUAUAUAGGCCGGAUCCUCCGGGCUUGCUUGCUAGGGUUGCUCUAUUCACACACUCUCAUCCUCUCCAGAUCUAAACAAGAUAGGGGGUGGUAACACUGUCUUUCUCCCUUCAAAAAACACUGUCUUUCUAUCCUCACCGCUGGUUACAGAUCCAGACGUAUCCCCCUUCGCCGGUGAAGGGGGGAGGGGCAGCGUUUAGGCCGUCGUCGACAGCGAGGGAGGAGACCCAUUGCCAGCUGCACCAUUAUCUCUGGCCGAGCGCCGGCGUGAGAGGUCCUCCGAUCCCUUCGUCGUUGCCCUAGUGUGGGCGGAUCCGGCCUCCCGCCGCCCACCUAUCCACAUCCCGACGACCUUCAGGUAUAUCUUCCUUCGAAACCGCCUUAGCUCUACGUCCCUAGUUCGCUACGUCGCUGCAUGUGCAUCAUUUUCUACCUCUCAGCCCCUCUCGAUCGGAUGGUCCAACGUCACCUAUUUUUUUCUUCUAUUGUUAGAGGUAAAGCUACUUCAUGGAGUCGAAUCUUGUACUUGGUUCAAACAAGAAAUAAAGUGGGGGUGGGGGAAUUUAGUACGUAGUACAUCGGACUUGGUACAAAUAGGAAGGAAAGGGGGUGAAAGUAGUACAGACUGGUCAUCCAACCGGUCUCUUGGUUGAAAAGGGAAAUAGGGGUAACGCUGUACACAGUGGUAUGACCAGGACUAUAUUUGCUAUCCACACAUAGGAGUAGGUGGCUAGAGUGAAAAAAAAUGGGACAAACCCAGACAUGUUUCUUGGAUGUUUGUUUCUCGGGGCAACAAACUAUGAAUCACCACUUUAUGCCCCUGUUUAGGUACAUGGUGCUGGACUGCUGGUGCACCCACUGUCCCAUGCCCUUAUACCAAAUAUUUAGCUGUUCUUAAUCUAAUGCCCCUGGUAAAAAUGAAGCCAUGCCACUGUUAUAAGCCAUGACAAGUUUAGCCAAAUGUUUUUGCCUGUAAUUGUUUGAGACUCUGACUGUUUCCUUUGUAGCUUUUUGUGCAAACAGGGAUAUCCAUUUCACCUGGUUGCUAUUGUGACCUUUUGGUGCACUACACAAAACUCUUCUUAAAAGAAGUGACUUUUGUGCUGUUUAACUGGAAUGUCAGAAUGGAACAGUUGGUUCAUUUUGGUGGAACUGCACAAAGGGAGAUCUGUGUUCCAAUCCUCAUCAUCCAUAUUAGCACCAUAACCUUCCUUUAGGUAAGAAUGAUAUUUAAUGCAUGUGUUCAUCUCUAUUUUGCGACUGCCAUGAGAAAAUAAUGCUAUUUUUUACUAGUACACUUGUACUCCCUCACUGACAAAACCAAUUCUGAAAUAGAAGGUCAAUCAUGUACUUGGUUUCACCAACUGGUGAGGAGACUGAGAAACAGAGCAUGAAGAGGAAGAAGAAGAAGAGUAAAGAGUGCCAAGACGAUCUUGCUGAAGCCAGAGGCCUCAGUCGAGGCCAUUCAAGGGCUCCGGCAAUGACUACCUUACAUGUGAGACGAUCCUCCAGGGAGCCCUUCCACUUCUGUUGUCUCACUUAAUUAAUUAGGAGUACUUAAGUACCACUAAUUUAUUGCUGCCUAAUUUUCCUGUCGGAGUUAAACAAAUCUUUAGUAGCACCCUAUGCUGAAUCAUGUACGUGUGUAUGUUUGUCUAUGAGGUGAAUCAUGUGGUGGAGCAGGGAGGGAAUGCUAACUUUACCCAUUAAGAUAAUGAGGGUGCUUCUAUUUGUUAGUGUAUGUUUCAUCAACUAGUCCCACUAUUACAGUAAUCUCACUCUCUCAAUAUAUGUGCCAACAGGGAUGCUCGAUUUGGUGGAACUGCACAAAAACUUUGGGUGCUUCAUUGCCUCGACAGCUUCCUUCCUUUCCUAUUAGUCGCUAAUCUCGGCUUGUAUUCUUCCUUUGCUGUCAGUCGCUUGGCUUAUCUCGGCUUCCAGUCAAAGGAAAUAGUAAUUGAUAUGCUACCUCACACAGGUUGGUACUGGUAUUUAUCCUGAUUAUUGUGCUUGUCAUAUGUAUUGGUAAUUUGGUAUUGUGCUACUGUUUGCCGAUUUCAUAAAGGAGUAACUUGGAGCCUGAACUCGCAGGCAAAUCAUUACAUCGGGUGAUUUCAGUAGAACUGCACAAAAAGAUCAGAUGGACAAGUACUUAUGUUGCUGCUAUGUACUCCAAAGUUCACUCAGACAAGCAUCGAUGUUGACAAGAAGAAGUGCCAAUAUUCAUUCGAGUAUCAACCGGCAUCAACCAAUUGUCAAACUCCAAGUAUUAGGGGAGUGAACGCCAAAAAUAUUGCUUGGCGCAUAGCCCAGAAAAACGCAGUCCAGUCUUUCGUCCCAACUUGUGCCUUUCGGUUAUCUGCACAUAUGGUAGCGAACUGUAUGGCAUGGAGUCUAAAGAUUCCAGACAAGUUGGUUGACGCGUAUAUUCAUCUGGCACUUAAUGAGUCUGCACGCCAGGGAUGCUCCAUUUCAGUUGAACUGCACAAAAAAUUUGGGUGGUUCAUUUUCUCAACCGCCUCCUUUCUCGUCUGCAAUGUAGAAUUUUGGCGAGAUACACGACCAAGAUGAGCCAGUAAACUAGUUGGAUGAAAGUAGUGGCCAAGUUUCUCAAACCUUCCUCGGCACGAGGCCACUAUUUGAGGAUAAACCUACAAGCAAAGUUCAGAUUGUCUGUGCUGCCUCUUAUGUACUCUAAAGUUUACUCGUAGAAGCAUUAAUUUUAGCAAGAAGUACCUCCGGCUGAACACCAUUUACCAGUCUGCAAUGUAGAAUUUUGGCGAGCUACAGGACCAAGAUGAGCCAGUAAACUAGUUGGAUGAAAGUAGUGGCCAAGUUGCUCAAACCUCCCUCAGCACGAGGCCACUAUUUAAGGAUAAACCUACAAGCAAAGUUCAGAUUGUCUGUGCUGCCUCUUAUGUACUCGAAAGUUUACUCGUACAAGCACUAAUUUUAGCAAGAAGUACCUCCGACUGAACACCAUUUACCAGUUUGUACCCCAGGUAAUUAAAGUUCGUCCAUGGAUCAUAUUGGCUGUGAUCUCAAUCAUUUGGAUGCAUAAACAUACUGAACAUGUGUAUAUCUGAAUCUUUUUGUGAACUAUCUAUGAAUAUUGUUGUGUGAUCUAUCAAUCAUUUGGAUCCAUAGACAUGAUGAACUUGUGUAUAUAUGAAUCUUUUGAGUUGUUGAUAGUGAAUGUUGGCUAUGAAUAUGAACGUGUCAUGUGAACCUGAGUUUGAUACGAAUGUUUACCUUUUCUGUUGUGCUUGUGUGUGAACUUGUUAGUAUGCCUACUAUGGGGUAUGUGACGUGUGGGUGUCAACGGCACACCUUCUUCCCAAGAAGAAUUGCACCUGCUUUGUUAGGGUAGCAACAGCGCAUCAGCUCUUUUUAAUCUUUUUGCUUUGUCUUGCCCCCUCCCCCGCUCAACCCCUACCGUAAUGUUUUCGGCCUCAAAACACACAUAGUACUGCGUUGUUUUGGGGGCUUGAUGAAAACUUGAGUGCUGGUUUCUGUAGGUUGGCCCGCCCAGCAAAUGGGCUGCUGGUCCACCAUGGACUAGGACGCUAAAAAUACAAGUUGUAUGGUGCAGAGGCAAGUAAAAAAACGCCAUCGAGAGCCAUCCACUGAAGAAAAAAAACUCUCCUGAUGUGCUUCUUCAGUCGUGCCGCCGGCCCCCUCUAUAAUCCAGUUUGCUCGGGGAUCUGGUAUUGAUUUUUCCCAGAGGGCGAACAAGUAUCAGCUAGGCCUAGGUUUUGUAUUAUAACAUGCGUAGCCCACGACAUACGGGUGAAAGUGGUUUCAACUUAUUUUUUGAGAUCCAUACUGGCCUAUGGGCUUUUUGUUAAAGAUUGGCAGCCCAAUGUACUUUUUUAACCACAUUAUAUAUAUUUAUAUUAUUACUAUUAUCGUAUAUUUUAUAGAGACUUAUAUAUACAUUAUGAAAACAUCCCACGUGUUAUUAACUUAUAAAAGUAAAUGUUUAACAGAAGUUGGCAAGAAAAAUCCUGGUUGUUUUUGACUCACAGGCAAGGAAAAUCCUUGUGAUUGCAUACAAAAGCUUGCGAAGAUUUUAAGUACCAAUGUAAUAAUAACGCGCUCAUUUUUAUUUUGAGCAAUAACUCGCUAAUUUGUUAAUUAUGUAUAUAAAAAAUCUGCCUCUCCGGUUUAUUUUUGAUAUUAAUUGCUCCUUCUAACAUAACAUUAUAUAUAUAACGAGCCCAACUAAUUCAUGUAUUUGAAGGACGUGCAAAUGAGCUGAGAUUUCUUAGAUAAUAUAAAUGGGCCGCAUUGAUGCGAAAUUAUUUGUUCACCCAGCCCAGCAAAUGGACUGUACAUUCUAGAAAACAUGGGUUAAAUAUAUGCCACAUUUUUGCAGGCUGACAUGUGGGCCAAUAGGUCGAAGCCUACGCAGGGCGUUGUCAACUUGGUCGGCAUGCACCUUGAAUCUCUCGUCUCCUUCCUCCAGCGUCGCCGGGACCGCCUGGUCCGGCCUCCGGCGGCUAGCGGCUCUGCUUAGCACGCAUCACUGCGAAGCGCUACCCCACCGCCGGCCAGGCUAUCCCUCCACCCCUCCACACCUCCUGUUAUUCUCCACGGACUGCAGCCCCACGCCGCACCAGAACUAAUUAUAACCCUUCUCCUCCACUCAAUCUGCGACUCCACUACCGCGUCUUCCCAUCUCCGAGUCAUUCCCGUCCGGGGCCUCGCCGUCGUCCACCGCCUCGCUGCGCUCGGUGCGGCGUGGUCAACAAACGAGAGUCAUCGGAAGAGGACUGUACGUGGAGAGCCUGACGGCUGGGACCCACAAGGUCCAUGGUCGCACGCAAGGAAAGUUCCUCCUUAUUAAGCUGAAAAAAAUGUUUCCUCCACCUGAUAGCUCGGACCCACCGGCUGUAUCUUCGCACGGAAGGAAGUGCCUCCUUGUUAUGCAAAAAAAUUAUUCCUCCCGUUGACAGCUGGGACCCGUCAGAUUUGGUGGCUGACUUGUGGGCCUACUAAGCGGACGUGUACAGAGGGCUUUGUCAACUUAAUCAACAAAUGAUUCUAGCAGCUGGACCGUUGGAUGUUAAUCCAACAGCCGUGCUCCUUCUUCAACCUCUGUUCUUGCUCCUGUCUCCCGUGGGCGGCACCGCGGCUGUGCUGCCGCGCACCCGAACCAGUCAAGUUUCCCACUCCUCUCCAUCUGCGACUCCACUGCCCCGUCUUCCCCAUCUCUGGGUCGUUCCAGUCUGGGGUCUCGCCGUCAUCCACCGGCCUUUGGUUCGCUUGGCACGGUAUGGUCAACGUGGUCAACAACCGAGAGUCAUCGGAACAUGACUGUACGUGAGAGGCUGACAGUGGGGACGCACCACGCCCAUGGACGCAUGCAUGCAACGGAACGCGGUGUGGUCAACGUGGUCAAGGAACGACUUCCAUCGGAAGUGUACUAUACGUGGAGAGGCUGACAGCUGGGUCCACAACCGCAGCAAAGAAGUGCCUCCUUAUUGCGCGGAAAAUAAUGAUUCCUCCAUCUAACAGCUGGGACCCAUCGGACGGGCCACCGUAUUCUGCGAAAAAUAUGUUUCCCCCCUGACUGCUGGGACACACCGGACGGGUCACCGUAUUUCACGAAAAAGCCUUUCCCCCCGCUGUCAGCUCGGACCCACCGGAUGGGCCUCCUUAUUACGCACAAACAAAUGAAUACUCCCGCUGCUAGUUGGGACCCACCUUGGUGGGUGGCUGACUUGUGGGCCUACUAAGUUGACGGGGACGGAGUGCUUUGUCAACUUAGUCAAUAUGAACGAUUCUAGCUCCAGUGACCAUACGAUGUCCAUCCAACGGCCAUAGUGCUUCUUCAACCUCUGGUCUUGUUGCUCCAGCCGCCCAAAGCAGCGCCGGUCGUGCUGCAUGCUCCUACCUCCCGUGGUUGGCUGUGCUGCCGCGGAGGCCUCACCGCCCCCUACUGUUCCCACCGCUGGCCAGGCCAUCCCUCUACUCACCCACACCCCCUGUUAUUCUGCGGCGACGGCAGCCUCACACCGCAGCGAACCAGUGAACCCUCGUACUCCUCUACGCGUGGGCAUCCACUGCCGCGUCUUCCCCGGCUCCGCGUCGUCCCCUUCCUAGGCCUCGCCGUCGUCCACUGCCCUGGUGCUCUCGACGGGGCGUGGUUAACGUGGUCAAGGAACGACUUCCAUCGGAAGAGUACUGUCGUGGAGAGGCUGACAACUGGGUCCACGGCAGCCGCAAGGAAGUGCCUCCUUAUUACACGGAAAAUAAUUAUUCCUCCACCUGACAGCAGGGACCCACCGGACGGGCUACUGUAUUUCGCAAAAAAAAACGUUUCCCCCUUACUGCUGGGACCUACUAGCUACAUCUUCGCACGCAAGGAAGUGCGUCCGGGCAAAAAAACGAUUCGCCCCCUGACUGCUGGGACCCACCAGCUACAUCUUCGCACGCAAGGAAGUGCCUGACAGUCGGGACCCACCUGGUCAAAGCAUAUGUAGCGUUGUCAUUCUGGUCGCGAACGUGUACGUACAUACUGGUCGAUGUAGAGGCGCGCACGUGUUGUAGUAGAGGCGUGCACGUAGCAUGUACACGUACAUACAGCGGCCAGUGUGUAAGAAAGAAAAUACGGCCACGUACGUACAUACGGGCAGGGUCUCGAACGCCUACUCGCGCAUACGUACGGACAUGGCUCGUGUACAUGGCUGGGUUGGAAUGGAGAAACAACGUCAUCGUCGUGUUCAUGGGGAGCCAACCGGCUGGGUCGGAACGGAAUGCGUCGUCGUGUUCAUCGGGAGGGCUUGGACGGAACAGCCGAUGGAAACGAGGCCUGGCGUACCGCAGAACGGAGGAAACGGCCUUGUGUUCGACAAGCCACGUUCGAAGCGGGAUCAUGUUCAUCGGGAGGGGUCUGGCGUACCGCAAAACGGAGGAAACGGACCUCCUGCGGUCGAAACGGGGGCCCUGUUGAUCGGGAGGGGUGUGGCGUACCGCAAAACAGAGGAAACGGACUUGUGUUGGAGUGCUACGGUCGAAACGGGGGUCCUGUUCAUCGAGAGGGGUGUGGCGUACCGCAAAACGGGACUCCACGGGAUACUGUUCAUCUCCACCGUCGAACCCAUCCAGCCUCCACGGGCUACUGUUCAUCCACCGUCGACCUCCUCCAGCCUCCACCUGCGAUUGUUCAUCCACGGGCUCCUGUUCAUCCAGCCUCCACCGCGCGCUACUCCACCGGCUACUGUUCAACCAGCCCUCUCCAUGGGCUCCAGUUCAACCACCCCUCCACAGGCUACUCUUCAUCUAGCCCUCCACCGUCUACUGUUCAUCCUGCCCUCCACGGGGUGGUCCUGUUCAUCCUGCCCUCCACGGGGUCCUGUUCAUCCAGCCCCAACCGGCUCGAUCGAUCGGGGUCCUGUUCAUCCAGAGGCAACGCCACGGGGUCCUGUUCAUCCACCCCCCCGAGAACUGUUCAUCNNNNNNNNNNNNNNNNNNNNNNNNNNNNNNNNNNNNNNNNNNNNNNNNNNNNNNNNNNNNNNNNNNNNNNNNNNNNNNNNNNNNNNNNNNNNNNNNNNNNNNNNNNNNNNNNNNNNNNNNNNNNNNNNNNNNNNNNNNNNNNNNNNNNNNNNNNNNNNNNNNNNNNNNNNNNNNNNNNNNNNNNNNNNNNNNNNNNNNNNNNNNNNNNNNNNNNNNNNNNNNNNNNNNNNNNNNNNNNNNNNNNNNNNNNNNNNNNNNNNNNNNNNNNNNNNNNNNNNNNNNNCCAACGCUCACUACUCAUCCGGAGCCAGCAUCGAUCGGCUUCAGUUAGCAGCAGUAGCGAAGGAAUCGCUCGAUCGGGUUUAGUUAACAGCCAUCGAUCGAUCGCUCGGGUUCAGUAACGCGUAGCCUACAGUGCAAUCGCUCGGGUUCAGUUAGAGCCCAAUGCAUCGCUCGGGUUUAGUUAGAGCCCAAUGCCUCGCACCCAUGCGCGUGUGUGUACGAGAGAAACGCGCAUCGCUCGGCCCCGACCACCCACCCUAACCGGGAACACCCCGAUGUUUUCCUCGCCCUCGCUUCUACCGCGGUUUUUUUCGUCAUGGACGGCCCAAAGAAUGUCAUGCAGCUGUGUCUCGGCCCGCCCAGGACGAAAAGCCCAUUUUCUGUCAUGAUUUUUUGUCAUAGAAGUAGGACCCCACCACAUCUAUGAUGAUACCAGGUUUUUUCACAAUUAUCGUCAUAGAAGUGUCAUAAGUAUGACAGAAAAGAUUUUCGUUCGACCCAAAAUGUCACGGAUGUGUCUUUUUUUGUAGUGAUUGGGUGUGUUGGGGACACAAGAGACUCUUUGUGAUUUGGUUGCAGGGUUGUUUGAGAGAGACCAUCUUCAUCCUACACCUCCCAUGGAUUGAUAAACCUUAGGUCAUCCACUUGUGGGAAAUUUGCUACUGUCCUACAAACCUCUGCACUUGGAGGCCCAACAACUUCUACAAGAAGAAGGUUGCGUAGUAGACAUCAGCAGGCUUGUCAGGGGUGCCAUGAAUCUGGCAAGGCCUCUCUAGUAUUUUCUCCAAGUUUGAUGGACCGUCUCUAUUACCUUUAAUGGCUUCUUUCGCUGACCGGGUUUAGAGCCACUGAAUCCGGCAUUUACUGCUGAAUCCUCGGUUUCAUUGUUGUUCUGGCGUUUGGUUUUGUUGCACCAUGGCCUGCCAUUGCCAUCCCUGGCCUCAGAAGUGUCAGGGUUGCUGGAACUGUUGCUUCUACGAGCCAACCAGUUGUCUUCGCCCGCACAGAAGCGGGUCAUAAGUGCGGUGAGAGCUGCCAUAGAUUUCGGCUUCUCCUGACCAAGGUGUCGGGCGAGCCAGUCGUCACGGACACUGUGUUUGAAUGCCACUAAGGCUUCGGUGUUCGGAUAGUCCAUGAUUUGGUUCUUUUUAAUUAAGAACUGAUUCCAAAGUUUGCGAGCUGACUCUCCGGGCUGCAGAAUUAUGUGACUCGGAUCAUCAACGUCUGGUGGUCGGACAUAAGUGCCCUGAAAGUUGGCUCGAAAAGCAUCCUCUGAGUCUUCCCAACUUCCAAUGGAGUUCUCUGGGAGCCUGUUCAACUAGUGUCGUGCUGGUCCUUUCAGCUUUAGGGGGAGGUAUUUAAUGGGGUGGAGAUCAUCUCCGCGAGCCAUGUGAAUGUAGAGGAGGAAAUCUUCAAUCCAUACCGCGGGAUCCGUCGUUCCAUCGUAUUGCUCGAUGUUCACUAGUUUAAACCCUUCCAAAAAUUGGUGCUGCAUUACCUCAUCGGUAAAGCACAUAGGGCGUGCGGCACCUCUGUACCGGGCGACAUCGCGAAGGAGUUCGGAUGACAUAUGUGUUCAAUGUUAAUCCCGGACUAGGUUAUGUUUGUCACGCCAGGCUUGAUGGCCGUCAUCUCGUGCUAGGGCACAUCCUCUUGAUCCAUAGAUUGAUCUGGUCUGGCCGGCUCUAUUGGUCAGGUCCUGACGUAGGUCGUACAUGUAGCCCAGAGCCGUUGUCUUGCCCCUAUGGCGAGGGGGUGCGGGCUGGUGUUCAGCAUAAUUGGUCGUUUUGUCCCGUCCACGUGGUGGUCGGUCCAGUUGAUUCGCCUGAUUGUUUCUUGACGGUAUUGGCUCAAGGGCCUCGUCAUCGAAUUGUGGCAGUAGCCUGCGUUUUGGGUAACUCUUUGUUGGGCGCUCGAAGCCAUAUUCUUUGGCGGCUAGGACCUUGGUCCAUCUAUCAUUGAGCGUAUCCUGUUAGGCUUGAAGCUGCUGUUGUUUCUUUUUUAGGCUCCGCGCGGUGGCGAUGAGCUGUCGCUUGAAGCGUUCUUGUUCGAGGGGUUCCUCUCGGAAGAUGAAAUCAUCGUCACCAAGGCUAACAUCCUCUUCGGAGACAGGUAAGUAGUUACUAUCUUCCGAAUCCUCGUGAUUGGCGUGUUCGGGGCUGUAUUGACCCUCUUCCAUUUCAUCCUGCUCGAACGCAGGCUCGACAGGAUGGUCAGGGUAUUCGGCUUUGUCUAGAGUGUCAUUGUCCCCAGUGCCGGUAUUGCUUUCCCUUGCCCGACGCGAUCGUGAGCGACGCCACUGACGCUGGCGUUUUGGUGGUUCAUCGACGGGCUUGUCCUCAUCUGGAUCUUGAGUGCCAUCGUCGUCCUUCUUCUCAUGUGUAUCCACCAUGUAUACAUCGUAGGUCGAAGUGGUCGUCCAACGCCCCAUUAUGGGCGGGUUGGAUCUUGGCUUGGCCUCGACAUCGUCGUCCAUGCCGUCGAUGUCUUCGGAGGCGUAGUCUAGCAUGUCGGUUAGAUCCUCGACAGUGGCUAUUAAGUGGGUGGUGGCUGGGAUGUAAAAUUUCCUACUCUUAGACUCCGGUCCAAGCCGGGCGUAGUUCGGAGGUGAUACUUCCGCGAUGGCGAGAGAUCGCAUUAAGUCCAGCGUUUCGUUUAAGAGCGAAAGCCGGAUAGGAGUCUGUGGAUCUGCGGAGCUAGGCUCGGUGACAACCACUUGAUCGAGCCCGAUGGACGCAAACCUUGAAAGUCCGGAGUGGACAUCCAGAGGCGAGUCCGGCUUCUUGAUGACGGGGAGAGUCCCAUUUGAGUCCGGGUCUGCCGAUGGCGUGAACACAUCUGGGUCUUCGGCUAGAAGCUCCUUGAUGGGAGAGAGUCCGGCAGGGUUCACACUCCCGUCUUCGGACAAAGUGGUCCACCCUGGAUCUAAGGCCAUGGCGGUCAUGAGAGUCGACCCCUGGAUGGGAUCUGACAGUGGAUCCGAAGGGCCUUCUUCGUACGGAUGGGGAGUGGCGGCCGAGGCUGUGAACCCCUCGAAGAUCAGAUCUCCUCGAAUAUUGGCGAUGUAGUUGAAACUUCCAAACUUGAGUUGGCACGUAGCACGAAGCCGCCAAACACAAAUAGUUGGCCAGGGAGAAAGGUCUCCCUGGACACGGUGUCGUCGUUGAUGACAAGGCGAGCCAUCGAUCCUUUUGUCGACAGCCCAAUGGAACUCUCAAUGAAAGCACCAAUGUCGGUGUCAAAACCGGCAGAUCUUGGGUAGGGGGUCCCAAGAUGUGUGUCCGAGGAUCGAUGGUAACAGGGAACGCGAGGGACACAAUGUUUACCCAGGUUCGGGCCCUCUUAAAGGAGGUAAAACCCUACGUCCUGCUUGAUUAUAUUUGGUGUGUAUAAGGGUUACAAGAGUUGAUCUACCUCAAGAUCGUAAUGGCUAAACCCUAGCUGUCUAGCCUAUGAUUGUUAUGAUGGCCUCUAUGGACUAAACCCUCCGGUUUAUAUAUACACCAGAGAGGCCUAGGGUUGUACAGAAUCGGUUUACAAAGGAAGGAAAUAGUACAUCCGGACACCAAACUUGCCGUCCACGCCUAUAGGAGUUCUACCCGGACACGGGGGAUAGUCUUCUGCUUUAUCUUCACGGCCCAUCAGUCUGGCCCAUAUCGAGUAGACUGGACACCCGAGGACCCCCUAAUCCAGGACUCCCUCACUUAUACCAAGAAAUUAUGAAUGAUAUUGCACCUCCUGAGAUACAAGACAUUGAUGUUACUAUUAAGCUUGCAAAUUAGAGAUACUAUUUCACCGCUUGGGAUUGUUAGAGAUAUUGAAGUCUUGUGUGGAAAGAUCAAAUACCAUACUGAUUUUCUAGUUCUUGGUUCUCCACAAUAUGAUUUUUGUCCCAUUAUAUUUGGUAGACCUUUCCUGAAUACCGUUAAUGCUAAAAUCGAUUGCAAUAGGGAAAUCGUCGGUGUUAAUUUUGGUGAUGUGUCUCAUGAGUUUAAUUUCUCUUAGUUCCAUAGGCAACCUCGUAAUAAAGAAUUUCCUAGUAAAGAUGAAAUUAUUGGUCUUGCUUCUAUUGCCGUGCCUCCUACUGAUCCAUUAGAACAAUAUUUGCUAGACCAUGAAAAUGUAUCAUAUGAAUGAAAGAAAUGAAAUAGAUAAGAUAUUCUUUGAUCAAGCACCUAUCCUUAAACAUAAUUUGCCUGUAGAAACUCUAGGAGGUCCACCUCCUCCUAAGGGUGAUCCCGUGUUCGAAUUAAAACAAUUACCUGACACGUUGAAAUAUGCUUAUCUUGAUGAAAAGGAAAUAUAUCCUGUUAUUAUUAGUGCAAACCUUUCGGAGCAUGAAGAAAAUAGAUUACUCAAAACUCUGACGAAGCACUGUUGCUAUUGGAUACACUCUUGAUGAUUUAAAGGGAAUUAGUCCCACUCUAUGUCAGCACAAGAUUAAUAUGGAGCUUGAUGCUAAGCUAGUUGUUGAUCAUCAACGACGAUUGAAUCCUAACAUAAAGGAUGUAGUAAGAACUGAAAUAUUAAAGCUUCUGGAGGUAGGUAUAAUCUAUCCCAUAGCUGAUAGUAGACGGGUAAGCCCUGUUCAUUGUGUCCCUAAGAAAGAAGGCAUCACCGUUGUUCCUAAUGAUAAAGACGAACUUAUCCACAAAGAAUUGUAACUGGUUAUAGGAUGGUAAUUGAUUUUAGGAAAUUAAACAAAGCUACUAGAAUCAUUACCCCUUGCCUUUUACUGAUCAAAUGUUAUAAAGAUUGUCUAAGCAUACACACUUUUGUUUCCUUGAUGGAUAUUUUGGUUAUUCUCAAAUAUCUGUGUCAAAAGAAGAUCAAGAGCAAACUACUUUUACUUGCCCUUUGGAACUUAUGCUUAUAGAUGUAUGCCUUUCGGUUUAUGCAAUGCACCUACUACCUUUCAAAGAUGUAUGACUGAUGUAUUCUUUGAUUUUUGUGAAAAUAUUGUUGAGGUUUUCAUGGAUGAUUUUCAUUUAUAGGACAUCUUUUGAUGAUUGCUUAAGCAACCUUGAUCGAGUUUUGCAGAGAUGUGGGAGAAGUGUCACUUUAUGGUGAAUGAAGGUAUUGUCUUGGGGCAUAAAAUCUCUGAAAUGGGUAUUGAAGUUGAUAAAGCAAAAGUUGAUGCAAUUGAGAAAAUGCCAUGUCCUAAAGAUAUAAAAGGUAUACGAAGUUUUCUUGGUCAUGUUAGUUUCUAUGGAAGGUUUAUUAAAGACUUCUCUAAAAUUUCUAUGCCUCUUACUAAUCUUUCGCAAAAAGAUGUUCCAUUUGUUUUCGAUGAUGAUUGCGUAGAAGCCUUUGAAAUAUUAAGAAAGCCUUAAUCUCUGCACCUAUUGUUCAACUACCUGAUUGGAACUUGCCUUUUGAAAUUAUGUGUGAUGCUAGUGACUAUUCUGUUGGUGUUGUUCUAGAACAAAGAGUUGAUAAGAAAUUGAAUGUUAUUCAUUAUUCUAGGACAGUGCUCAAAGGAAUUAUACUACUACUGAGAAAGAAUUUUUAGUAGUUGUGCUUGCAUGUGAUAAAUUCAGAUCUUAUAUUAUUGAUUCUAAAGUAAUUGUUCAGAUUGAUCAUGCUGCUAUUAAAUAUCUUACGAAAAAGAAAGAUGCUAAACCUAGGUUGAUUAGGUGAGUUCUUUUCCUACAAGAAUUUGACUUGCAUAUUAGUGGUAGAAAGGGAGCAGAGAAUCCCGUAGCUGACAAUUUGUCUAGAAUGGAAAAUGUUCUUGAUGACCCACUGCCUAUUGAAGAUAGUUUUCGUGAUGAACAAUUAGCUUUUAUAAUGCUUCUCGUAAUACUCCCUGGCAUGCAGACUAUGCUAGUUACAUUAUUGCUAAAUAUAUACCCCUAGCUUCACAUAACAAUAAAAGAAAAAGUGCUUCUUUGAUUUAAUACAUUACUUUUGGGAUGACCCACAUUUAUAUAAAGAAGGAAUAGAUGGUAUCAUUAGACGUUGUGUACCUGAGCAUGAAGAUGAACAAAUCCUACAGAAGUGUCACUCCGAGGCAUACGGAGGACACCAUGCUGGAGACAAAACUGCACAUAAGGUAUUACAAUAUGGUUUUUAUUGGCCUCCUCUCUUCAAGGAUGCACGUAAGUUUAUCUUAUCAUGUGAUGAAAGUCAAAGAAUUGGUAAUAUUAGUAGACGUUAGGAGAUGCCUAUGAAUUAUUCACUUGUUAUUGAGCCAUUUGAUGUUUGGGGAUUCGAUUAUAUGGGACCUUUCCCUUCCUCUAAUGGGUAUACACAUAUUCUAGUUGUUGUUGAUUAUGUUACUAAGUGGGUAGAAGCUAUUCCAACUAGUAGUGCUAAUCAUAAAACUUCUAUUAAAAUGCUUAAAGAAGUUAUUUUCCCGAGGUUUGGAGUCCCUAGAUAUUUAAUGACUGAUGGUGGUUCACAUUUUAUUCAUGGUGCAUUCCGUAAACUCCUUGCUAAAUAUGAUGUCAACCAUAGUUGCAUCACCUUAUCAUCUUCGGGAGAAAGAAUUACGGCGAUCCACGAGAUGGAGCCGCCGCCAAGCCCUAUUCUUCCUCGGGAGGGCAGAUCUGGAGUCCGUUUGGGGCUCCGGAGAGGGGGAUCUUCGUUAUUCGUCAUCACCAACCCUUCUCCAUCGCCAAUUCCAUGAUGCUCCCCACCUGGAGUGAGUGAUUCCUUCGUAGGCUCGCUGGUCGGUGAGGAGUUGUAUGAGAUUCAGCAUGUAAUCGAGUUAGUUUUGUUAGGGCUUGAUCCCUAGUAUCCACUAUGUUCAAAGAUUGAUGUUGGUAUGACUUUGCCAUGCUUAAUGCUUGUCACUUUGGGCCCGGUGCCAUGAUUUCAGAUCUGAACCGUUUAUGUUAGCACCAUUAUAUCCAUGUUCUAGAUCCGAUCUUGCAAGUUAUAGUCACCUAUUACGUGUUAUGAUCCGGUAACCCCGAAGUGACAAUAACCGGGACUUCUUCCGGUGAUUACUGUAGUCUGAGGAGUUCAUGUAUUCACUUUGUGUUAAUGCUUUGUUCCGGUUCUCUAUUAAAAGGAGGCCUUAAUAUCCCUUAGUUUCCAAUAUGGACCCCGCUGCCAUGGGAGGGUAGGACAAAAGAUGUCAUGCAAGUUCUUUUAAUAAAGCACGUAUGACCAUUUAUGGAAUACAUGCCUACAUUAUAUUGACGAACUGGAGCUAGUGCCGUAUCGCCCUAGGUCAUAACUGUCUCAUGAUGAAUAUCAUCCAACAAGUCACCGAUCCAAUGCCUACGAAUUUAUCUUAUAUUGUUUCUGCUAAGUUACUAUAUUUAUCAUCACUGUUACACUUGCUACAAAAUUACUGCUAUCACUGUUAUUGUUACUAUUUCUCUUGUCACUACUAUCAAAACUAUCAAACUACUUUGCUACUGAUCACUUUGCUGCAGAUAAUUAAUCCCGAGGUGUGGUUGAAUUGACAACUCAGCUGCUAAUACCUUCAAAUAUUCUUUGGCCCCCCUUGUGUCGAAUCUAUAAAUUUGGGUUGAAUACUCUACCCUCGAAAACUGUUGUGAUCCCCUAUACUUGUGGGUUAUCAAGACCUUUUUCUGGCGCCGUUGACGGUGAGCAUAGCUAUAUUUGUUGAGUCACUUGGGAUUAUUAUCAUAUUAUCACUAUGAAGAAUCUGAAGGAUCCUAAGACAAAGAUAUUUCCCUCAAGUACAAGUGGAGGUAAGAAACUGCCAUCCAGUUCUACUUUAGAUUCACCUUCUGUUAUGAGUAAACUUCCAACACCAUCACAUGCUAUUGAUACGUCUCCAACGUAUCUAUAAUUUUUGAUUGUUCCAUGCUAAUAUAUUAUCCAUCUAGGAUGUAUUAUAUGCAUUUACAUGCUAUUUUAUAUGAUUUUUGGGACUAACCUAUUAACCCAGAGCCCAGUGCCAGUUUCUGUUUUGUCCUUGUUUUUGAGUAUCGCGGAAAAGCAAAACCAAACGGAGUCCAAUUGACCUGAAAUUUCACGGAGAUUGUUUUUGGACCAGAAGAAGCCCACGGAGCAUCGGAGAUGGGCCAGAAGAGUCCCAAGGCACCCAUGAGGGUGGGGGGCGCCCUACCCCCUGGGCGCACCCCCCUACCUCGUGGCCGCCUCAGAGACCCCCCUGACUUGUUCCUGACCCCAAAACCUCUUAUAUAUACAGAAACCCCCAGAACAUAACCUAGAUCGGGAGUUCCGCCGCUGCAAGCCUCUGUAGCCACCAAAAACCAAUCGGGGCCCUAUUCCAGCACCCUGCCGGAGGGGGGGAUCACUAACCGGUGGCCAUCUUCAUCAUCCCGGUGAUCUCCAUGACGAGGAGGGAGUAGUUCACCCUCGGGGCUGAGGGUAUGUACCAGUAGCUAUGUGUUUGAUCUCUUUCUCUCGUGUUCUUGAUUUGGCACGAUCUUGAUGUACCGCGAGCUUUGCUAUUAUAGUUGGAUCUUAUGAUGUUUCUCCCCCUCUACUCUCUUGUAAUGGAUUGAGUUUUCCCUUCGAAGUUAUCUUAUCGGAUUGAGUCUUUAAGGAUUUGAGAACACUUGAUGUAAGUUUUGGUGAUCAACUUGCAGGUUCCGUAACAUUGUGAACUUAUGCAUAGGGGUUGGCACACGUUUUCGUCUUGACUCUCCGGUAGAAACUUUGGGGCACUCUUUGAAGUUAUAUGUGUUUGUUGAAUAGAUGAAUCUGAGAUUGUGUGAUGCAUAUCAUAUAAUCAUACCCACGGAUACUUGAGGUGACAUUGGAGUAUCUAGGUUACAUUAGGGUUUUGGUUGAUUUGUGUCUUAAGGUGUUAUUCUAGUACGAACUCUAUGAUAGAUCGAACAGAAAGAAUAGCUUCGUGUUAUUUUACUACGGACUCUUGGAUAGAUCGAUCAAAAAGGAUAACUUUGAGGUGGUUCCGUACCCUACAAUAAUCUCUUCGUUUGUUCACCGCUAUUAGUGACUUUGGAGUGACUCUUUGUUGCAUGUUGAGGGAUAGUUAUAUGAUCCAAUUAUGUUAUUAUUGUUGAGAGAACUUGCACUAGUGAAAGUAUGAACCCUAGGCCUUGUUUCCUAGCAUUGCAAUACCGUUUGUGCUCACUUUUAUCAUUAGUUACCUUGCUAUUUUUAUAUUUUCAAAUUACAAAUACCCGUAUCUACCAUCUAUAUUGCACUUGUAUCACCAUCUCUUCGCCGAACUAGUGCACCUAUACAAUUUAGCAUUGUAUUGGGUGUGUUGGGCACACAAGAGACUCUUUGUUAUUUGGUUGCAGGGUUGCUUGAGAGAGACCAUCUUCAUCCUACGCCUCCCGCGGAUUGAUAAACCUUAGGUCAUCCACUUGAGGGAAAUUGCUACUAUCCUACAAACCUCUGCACUUGGAGGCCCAACAACGUCUACAAGAAGAAGGUUGUGUAGUAGACAUCAAGCAAUUUCUAGCGCCGUCGCCGGGGAGGUGAGUGCUUGAAGGUAUAUCUUUAGAUCUUGCAAUCGAAUCUUUUAGUUUCUUGUUUUAUCUCUAGUUUAGUUUAUAAAAGAAAAAUACAAAAAAAUGGAAUUGAGGGUGCCUCAUAUGCUUCACCUUUUUAAUGUCUUUCAUGAAAAUAAGGAUUUCAAUAAUUGUGCCAAAGUGUUAGAAGAAGAAUGCAUUAGAAUGUUUGGCACUAAAUAUUUGAAUGAUGAGCAUGAUUGCAAUGUUGUUAGUAUGAAUUCUUUGAAUAUCCAUAGUACUAAUGAUGAUUGCACUAGUCAUGAUGAAAAUGUCUCUUAUAAGCAUGUCAACUUUUGUGGAACACAUAGAGCUUUCAAGUACACACCAAAUAGGGAAGAUAGAUUUUGCAAGAGGCAUAAGUAUUUGGAAACUAAAUGGUUGCAAGAAAGGCUAGAUGUUUGUACUGAAAAAUUCAAUAUUUAUCGCCAUCCUUGUGAACUUUGCAAUGAACUUGGUCAUUUAAAGUUCCAAUGCUAUUUGUUUCAUGAUCAAAUCGUGUCCAAAAAUUGUGAUAACUUGAUUACCCUUGAGCAUCAUAAGGAGCUUAGUCUUCUUUUGGGGUAUGAAGAAAUGAAACGUAUAACUGAGGGUAUUCCAAAAUUUAAUCUUGAUAGAUUUCUUGAUUUUGAUCUAGAAGAAAUUUUUAUGUACUGUGUAGUGAAUUGCAUUGAAAAUCCUUAUAUUUCUAAUUACAUAAAGACAAGAAAACAAAUAGAAGAUAAAGAGAAUACUAAUGAAAGGGAAGAGACUUCCCAAUAUCCUCCUAUUAUUUCUUAUGAUGAAUCAGGUAACGAGGAGGAGCCUUCUAUUCAACCAAUCUCAUUAAUAAGGAGCUCCAAAAAGAGGGUUAAACCCACACAUGAUGUGAAUAAGAAAAAGAAAAGAUGGAGAAGCAAAGGUAGAAAGGUAUCCCUCCCAAAUGAUGUUGCUCCUAUUACUCAUUGUGAUGAUGAUAAUUGCUAUACUAUUGGUGCUAUCCAUACUAUUAAUGAUGAGAGUGAUUAUGCUGAUGAUAUGAAAAGGCCCAAGCUUGGGGAUGCUAUGUUUGAUGAGAAUGACAUGUUUGAGAAUAUAUUUUCUGCAAUUAAUGCUUGUCCCAAGCUUGGGGAUGCUAUGUUUAAUGAAGAUGAUAUUUUUAGCCUCCCAAGUUUUGAUGAACAAAUUUAUUAUGAUGAUAGCAUGCCUCCUAUUUAUGAUGAUUAUUGUGAUGACACUUAUGCUAUAAAAAGUAGUGAUGAUUAUAUUUAUAAAACUUGUCAUGAUUAUGAUUACCCUUUUUCUAAACAUUACUCUUUUAAUGUGGAAACAAUUUAUAGUAUUCGAGUCUCUUACGAUACUUCCACUAUUCCGAAUGAGAAGAAUUUUGCUUAUGUGGAGAGUAAUAAAAUUUCUAUGCAAGUAGAUCAUGAAAAGAAUGCUUUAUGUGCUGGUUAUAUGGUUGAAUUCAUUCAUGAUGCUACUAAAAAUUAUUAUGAGGGAGGAACAUAUCCUUGUAGGAAUUGCAAUAAUAUCAAGUUUCCUCUCUAUGUGUUAAAAGUUUUAAAGUUAUGCUUGUUUUGCCUUCCUAUGCUAGUUGAUUAUUGUUCCCAAAAAUUGUUUGUUCACAAAAGUCCUAUUCAUAGGAAGUGGGUUAGACUUAAAUGUGCUAGUCAUAUUCUUCUCGAUGCUCUCUUUAUGUUUCAGUUUCUAUCUUUUAUGUGAGCAUCAUUGAAAUCAUCAUGCCCAGCUAGGGGCGUUAAACGUUAGCGCUUGUUGGGAGGCAACCCAAUUUUAUUUUUGUUCUUUGCCUUUUGCUCCUGUUUAGUAAUAAAUAAUUCAUCUAGCCUCUGGUUAAAUUUGGUCUUAUGUUCUAAUUAGUGUUUGUGCCAAGUAGAACCGAUAGGAUCUUCUUGUGGUGAUAGUUGUUUGAUCUUGCUGAAAAAGAUAGAUACUUUGUGCUCACGAAAAUAAUUGUUAAAAAUCACCAGAACCUGAUAAAAUACUUAUUAUUUUUGCAGAAGAUUAAUAUAAAAAUUAUCCAGGUUUUCCUAGUUUUUCAGAAUUUUUCGAGUUACAGAAGUAUUCGAAUGAUACAGAUUACUACAGACUGUUCUGUUUUUGACAGAUCCUGUUUUUCAUUGUGUUGUUUGCUUAUUUUGAUGAAUCUAUGAGUAGUAUCGGAGGGUAUGAACCAUAGAGAAGUUGGAAUACAGUAGAUAUUACACCAAUAUGAAUUUAGAAUGAGUUCACAACAGUACCUAAGUGGUGAUUUAUUUUCUUAUACUAACGGAGCUCAUGAGAUUUUCUGUUAAGUUUUGUGUUGUGAAGUUUUCAAGUUUUGGGUAAAGACUCGAUGGAUUAUGGAAUAAGGAGUGGCAAGAGCCUAAGCUUGGGGAUGCCCAAGGCACCCCAAGGUAAAAUUCAAGGACAACCAAAAGCCUAAGCUUGGGGAUGCCCCGGAUGGCAUCCCCUCUUUCGUCUUCGUUCAUCGGUAACUUUACUUGGAGCUAUAAUUUUAUUCACCACAUGAUAUGUGUUUUGCUUGGAGCAUCAUCUUAUUUUUUUUGUUUUGCUUGCUGUUUGAAUAAAAUACCAAGAUCUGAAAUUCUUAAAUGUUAGAGAGUCUUCACAUAGUUACAUAAUUAUUCAACUACUCAUUGAUCUUCACUUAUAUCUUUUGGAGUAGUUUGCCGUUUGCUCUAGUGCUUCUGUAACAUACCAAAAUUCUAAAUUUUGGAAUGUUAUAUUAAAUAAAUGAUUAUGAAUGUUUGUUUGAUUGUUGUGUGAUCGAUUGUGUGAAAUUGAGUGGAAUCUGAAACUUUUUGAAAGUUGAAUGAGAGGGAAUAAAAGGACUUUCCCAAAACUUCCAUCUUGAAUUUUGAUCACCAUGAAUUCAAAUUCAUUCAUCACAAAACCCUAGAGUGAAGAUAAUAUGACUUCUUCAAUUUAAAGAAAUGAAAAUGGGUUUGAAAAUGAUUUGAAUUCCAUUUGAGAAUAUUUCAAAUCAGAAACUUUAUGCCACUCAAGGAUUUUCAUGAGAGAAGAUAAUAGGACUUCUUCAAAAUAUAUGAAAUAGAGUGGAGAGUGAUGAGGAGAACCUCUGAAUUUCAUUUGGUUCACUUUUGGAAAGUUUUUUCCAUUUUGAGUUUAAAAUCAUUUCCAUUUAUUCAAAUAAAAUAAAGAGAGAAGGAAAUAUGACUCCUUCAAAUAUCAGAAAGAAAAUAUGGAAAGGGAUUAGGAAACCAAUAGAUGUUAUUCUAAAAUUUGAAAUCAUUUGCAUCUCAUUACAUUUUGGAGUUUUCUUUCAAAUAUUCAAAUAAUUAUCCACUCGAGAAAAAGAAAUGAGAGGGGAUAAGAUGACUUCCUCAAACCAUACAAGACUUCGAAAUUUCAUUUUGAAUAUUAGUUGGAGUUUUUAUAGUUUAUUUGGUACUUACUCAAAUUGCAAAAGGUGCAUUAAAUACAUUAGGAAAAUAUUUUCAAAUUUUUCUAUGCUUGAUUAAAUGUUCACUGUGUUACAGAUAUUCGGAGAUAAUUUUAGAAAUUAUCAUGGUAUUUUUAGGAUUUUGUUUGGUUUCGUUUUGGCCUCGAAAAGUUUUCUGUAAAAAAAACCGCACACACCCCCGCCUGGACCGAAACCACUUCGGCCCAGGGGCACAACUCCGGCCCAGCCAGCCGCUGGCCAACUUCGGCCCAAGGCCAGCGCUCGAAGGCCACCGCAUGCUCGCCCGCCUUCGCCUUCCCCUCGCUCGCACGCAGCGCCCGCUACCAGAUGGGGCCCACUCCCCAUGUCACCCCAACCUCCCGCUCCUCCCGCUGGAUGAGCACGCACACGCGCUCCGCCCGAACCUGCCAGCCGAAGCUCUCGGGAUAAUGCUUAUCCCUCGCUCCCGAGCCCUCUCUCCGCGCCUAUAAGAAGCCCUCGACCCCCUCUCUCCAUUCUGCCACUUCGUUUCGCCUCACACCACCCGUAGCCGACGCCCUCCUGCUUUGGAUCUCGCCGAAGGCGGAGCUUCCUUGCUGGAGUAAAACGCCGCCAGUAAACUGCCCCGACCCUGUUCUUCUUCACCAAAAUAUUGCCCGGGUCGAUGAGCAUCUGUUUGACAUUUUUUUGCCAUUAGGGACCACCGGAGACAACGCCCUGACGUGCCGCGUCCUCACCGGAGCUCCGAACGCCGCCGCCUCCCGUCGCUCGUCGCCGGCCAUCCCCCCCGCCAACCCCACCAGCGAUCGCGCACGCCGUGCCGGACCCUGCCGCCUCCUUCCCCGUCGUCGAGGAGCGCCGGAGUCGCCACCCCAUCACCGGCCAACGCCAGCGCUGCCGCCCCUGUACAUCGUCGUCGCCUCUGUAAGACGACCGCUCGCUCCCUCCGUUCUUUUUUUAGAAUGGUUAACCGCGGGUUUUGUUAAAAACUGAUCAUUUUUUUUGCUUUAGUUAGUCGCCGCCGCCGUUUUGCUUAGAUAGCGGUUGUUCGCCGUAUAAGCUUCUGCAGCGAACACCUUUUGGCCAUUAGGAAUAUGCCACGUGGCCAUGGGCCUGUUCUCAGUUUAUUUUUCUUUUCUAUUUCACCGUUUAGUCCUUGGAAUUAGCAUAUAUAUUAGCCCUAAACUUAGGAUAGCCACAACUUUUUAACCGUAGAUCCAAACUCGAUGAAACCAGCGGCAAAUUCUUCGUCAUGUUCAGAUCUAUCCAGUAGCAUCAUGUUUGUAAACUUUUUCCAAAUUCAAAUUGAACUUUAUUCAGAUUUGAAUUCAAACUUCAACUGGCCAUAUCUCUUAAACCGUAGCUCCGAUUGAUGUGAUUCUUUUUGCACCGUGCCACUGUAGCCAAACCCUAUCACCUAGACCUUUCUCAAAAUAUUUUCAC